GUUUUUUUUUUCUAUUCCUAUGUUUUGAAAUUCCUACGAAUCAAAGAGGCCCUCAGUGAUUUUCUAACAACAACCGGUUGUGUUCCGGCGGAAUCUGCACACCUUGGGAGUCUUUUGGGUCAAUUCUAUGUACUCGCAUAUGGUUAAUGAAAAUGCUAUUUUUCACAGAAAAUUCAUUUAGAAACUCAUGUUCCUCUAGGAAUUAAGAUUGUUAUCUGUUACAUCCGCUGAUUUGCUCUGGGAUCUUGAGGUCGGCAUGCAGUAAUACAUUAGUAUUAUCUCAAGAUUUAUAAAUGGGCAAACUAUAAAGGCCCUGAAUAAGAAACGAUAAUGAUAUCUCUCCCGGUAGCCUUUUGGCCUGAGAAAUAUUAAACUGGUGGUAAUUAUUUCCUUGUAGAUACGGAGAUCGAAACACCAUUGCCAAUUGCGGUGAUCGAGUGUAGUGAGUGGUUACCCGCAAAAAAAAGUGUAUAUUGAGUGGUUCUUGUGAUCUCUAGCGUUUCUUAUUGUCCUUUUCCCUUAUUGAAGGGGGUCGUACUUAGGUGUACCACUAACGCGUUCCAAUAAAAGAAUUAGUUUGCCUACGCGAGGAUCCAGUCUAAUUAAGAUCAUGGCGUAUCAUCCUUCAUAUCUUAGCAAAUAUCUCAUUGAGAACAACCUCAACAGUUUACAUGUUAGGAUUAAAAUGCAAAUACAUAAAGUAUACUCUUAGAAUGAAGAUUUUGUCCUAGAUUAUGUGCCCUUAAAUCAAAGAACACCCUCGAUGGACUUCAUUAAUUUCCUCUUUGGGGGCUCGGAGUCUUGUAACAACCUAAAAAUCACCAAUGAUCACGGAAAACACAUACGCCUCAUGCCAUCGCACAAACAACUGAAGACGAGAAGGCUAGAGAAGGGAGAGGGGAUGGGUGAGCAAAAUCCCAAUUAUUUGACGUUUCGAGAAAACCCUAACUACCACAAAGCCCUACGGUUGAUUUCGUUGGUCUCCCAUGGUUUCUAGUUGUGGUUUUGACCCAUGAGGCGGGGGGACAUCAUGGAUCUUCGCGCUCAUUGAGAGUCAUGGUCUAUUUUGGUAGGUUUUGGCGUCCUCGUGUAGUUCGCCCAGGUGGUGGAGGUGACAACACAAUGAAAUAGGUACCUCGGGCUUCAUCCCCUCCUGGUCGCAGUGGCGUUGGUCUAGGCAUGGCCCAAGUCUACGCGAGGAUUUGGUUCCGUGAGUUUGAUAGGUUGGGUUGUGUGGGGGAGUUGUUGACUAGGAUGCUUCCGCAUGACGUUGUUAUGUCAGUGGUCUCUUUGUUAAGAUUCUGCAUUGACAGUUUCGACGUGGGCAUGGAGUUGGGUCUCCUCGUCUGGCCUCCAUCUUCUUCUCCAUAUAACAUGUCGUGCUUUAGAUUGUUGUCCCUAGCAUCUCAUGGCAACGUCUUAUGACUUCCCAUUUGUAGUUACAACGACUCUCUUGCUUUAGUAAUGUGGAGCAGGUGCAGUCGAGUUACACUCAUGAUUCUCCAUAUGUUUGAGCAAGUUCAAGGCGACAACGAAUUCCCCUUCAGCCUGUUUGUAAAACAAAAAUCACUAUGAGUGCUCUUGUAAGGCUAGGAUGUGGUUAAUAUAUGGCUUUUAGCAAAGAAAAAUAGACGGAAAAUGAGUGAGAUUUGCGAUGUGGCAAGUUAUUCUCUUUGGCAGCAUUUUGAUGUGGCCCAAGGUUUUCGUGGCACAGUUUCCUUUAUUAUGUACAAGAUUGAUUAUUUGCCGCAUCUUUUUUGUUUUAACUUACAGAGCUUCUAAUUAUUUUUAUUUUGUUUCAACUGAAGUUAGCAUUAUCUUUAUAAGCAUCAUGCUAUAGCAUUUAUUNNNNNNNNNNNNNNNNNNNNNNNNNNNNNNNNNNNNNNNNNNNNNNNNNNNNNNNNNNNNNNNNNNNNNNNNNNNNNNNNNNNNNNNNNNNNNNNNNNNNNNNNNNNNNNNNNNNNNNNNNNNNNNNNNNNNNNNNNNNNNNNNNNNNNNNNNNNNNNNNNNNNNNNNNNNNNNNNNNNNNNNNNNNNNNNNNNNNNNNNNNNNNNNNNNNNNNNNNNNNNNNNNNNNNNNNNNNNNNNNNNNNNNNNNNNNNNNNNNNNNNNNNNNNNNNNNNNNNNNNNNNNNNNNNNNNNNNNNNNNNNNNNNNNNNNNNNNNNNNNNNNNNNNNNNNNNNNNNNNNNNNNNNNNNNNNNNNNNNNNNNNNNNNNNNNNNNNNNNNNNNNNNNNNNNNNNNNNNNNNNNNNNNNNNNNNNNNNNNNNNNNNNNNNNNNNNNNNNNNNNNNNNNNNNNNNNNNNNNNNNNNNNNNCACUCGGGAAAUGCCAUUGGAACAUAUGAAUUUUCUUUCAAACCGCAAACAUUUUUUGAAACGGAAAACACUUAGUGAAACAGCGAAUUGUUUUUGAAAUUGUGAAUACUUUUUAAAACACAUGAAGAUUUUUUGAAAUCCCUAACAUUUUUUUGAAAAGGACAAUACUUAUUGAAAACGAACAUUUGUUGGAACAAAUGAUCGUUUUUUUAGAAACAUAAACAAAAUUUGAAACUGUGAACAUUUUUUAAAAAAUAAAUGCAUUUUAAAAACACCAACAUUUUUGGAACUUAUGAUUUUUACAAACAUAUUGUGAAACUUUCAAAUGAUAUUCGAACAUUUCAAAUAUUUUUCCAAUAAAACAUUCAGGAAAAUAACAGAAAAAUAAGUUAAAGGCAAUAGAAAAAUGGAAACAAAGAAACAGAAAAAAAAAAUCUGGUUACGAACCUUCUAUAAGGCUCCCUAAACUGUCAAGGCCCUUCGACAAGGUUCCCAAAACGGGGCCCCUGUAAUAUGUUCUUGGUGUAUAGACUAGCUCAUCUCAUUUCACCAGGAUAGCUUGCGUUGUCUCAAAAAAAGUUUGGCUGUGAAAUUAUAAGAUGACUGAAUAUUGUAUUGUAUUGACCUGACCCUCAUAUGAGGUAUAUAUAGGAGUACAACGUGGGAAGAUGAUUGAAGUACAAAGCAAGAUAUUGUGCGUUUCUGAUGGGUCGGUACCUAGGGUGAUGACUGCGUUCCCUUCUGGUGCCUUCCUUGUCUCUCCUCUCUCCCCUCCCGCAGUCACAGCGGGAGUGGCGUGAACGCUGGUGACGACACGGAUGUUGUUGACUGAAUUUGUUGCCGAUAUGUUGUUGUAGACAUAGUCAUUAAUGUCGAGGUAGCCGAUCAUGGUGAUGUAGCCGUGGCCGAGGUAGUCAUGGUCGAUGGUGUGGUCGUCGUGGAUGAUGGAGCCGCACAAAGCCGGAGGCGCAAAAAAAUGCGCUAUGACGGAGCUAAAGACAUGGACGGCGGAUGUCAGAGGGUGCCGUCGGCGAUGAAUCCAUCGGUUUUGCCAAGACCGGAGGAAGGCCAUCGAGCACACAUCGGCUUUGCCAGAACCGUGUGACCGUGAUGCGGUCAUCACUAUAGUGACGCCUUUUCGAUGCAGUCGUGCUGUCGUGGAUGACGUGGUCGAUGUUGUCGUCGUGACGCGGUCAUUGCCGUCGUCGAGGUCGCGUCUUGCAGAAAAAUCUGUCAGAGGACGCUAGUUGUCCAUCUUGUGAACGAGGCGGCGGCGGUGUGUUGACGAAGUUGUUGAUGAAGACCAUAUUGAUGAAGACGUUGAUGAUGAUGUGUAGGCGAUGAAGCAGCAUGCGUGUUGACGACGAUCGUCGCUUGAAGGCGUCACUUGUGGCGACGAUGGUGUCGAAGGCUUGCUCGUAGUUUGAUGGUGCCGUACAGCUUGAUGUAGUUGUUCGCGUCGGUGAUGUCUGGCUUGAUGCUGUGCAGAUGGUUGAUGCCGGUGCAGUCGCGCGUGGAGUCGUAAUGGCGUCGCUGGUCGUGUUGACGCCGGGUGAGGAGGCCGCCCUCCCGUGGUGGAUGCCGCUGCAUGUAGCUUGGACUCGCGAUCUGAUCUGUGACGCACACAACACGAACGGGCAAAUUUGACAAACUUGACCUAUAGACGGAAUCAAAUCACAGAAUGAACUAUCCGUGAAACUAUUUCACGCGGCUGACCUUUUUAUGUGACGCCCGACACGAAGGCGCCACACUACACUGUGCAACGCCUCGCAGAUAGGCGCUACACCGCCAGCGUCGCACACGUGUGAUCAGAAAAUUACUAAGUCGUGUGCAGCGCCUGAGAGCUAGGCGCCACACUAUAGAGUGUAGCGCCUAGCUCCUAGGCGUUGCACUAGUGCAGCGCCUAGCUCCCAGGCGUUGCACUAGUGCAGUGCCUAAGAGCUGGGCGUCACGGGUCAGCCGCGUGAAAUAGUUUCACGGAUAGUUCAUUCUGUAAUUUAAUUUCGUUUAUAGGUCAAAUUUGUCAAAUUUGCCAACACGAACGCUCUCCAUGUAGAAUUAGUAAUUUUCCUUUUAUGGAGUAUGUACCAUCUGUAUCCUGGGCCAAUUUGCUGUUGCAUGCAUGUGGAGGAGUCGCCGAGCACAUGCAUGGCUUCAUGCAAUGCCCGGCAUGAUUCAGGGGGUGUUUGGUUCAAAAGUCUUAGGAUUUUUUCUAGUCCCAGAGACUAAUAAAAAAAACUCUGUAGUAGAGUUUUUUUAGUCCCUGUAAAAAAGUUCCUCCCGUUUGUUUUCUAAGGAUUAUUUAGAAAUUUUUUCUAGUCUCUGGGACUCCCACUCAGGCGCGGGUGAGGCAGCUGGCUGGAGUCCCGGGGCGCCGCGCGUCCUUGUCUUCUGUAGGUGCGCGGUGUGUUGUCGAUGCCUCGGAAGGCUCAAGGCAGGUGGCGGCGUUGGCGGCGUUGGUACGUUGCAGAUUGGAUCUUGCUUGGAUCGUGCCCUGCGCCGCCGCAUGCAUCGAUUUUGCACUGAUUUUCACCGGAGAUUUGAGGGUCGUGAGGAUCUAAUCUAGGGAUUUUAUUUGUGGCUAAUUGGAUCUAAUCUACGAAUUGAUUUUUUUUGAAAUUGGGAUCUAAUCUAGUCUAAGGAACCGAUCCGAUCUUUGAUCGAUACCAGGUGCCGCGCCUCCGAGGAGAGGAGAUUAAUCUUCCCGGGGGCGGCGCGCUGUGGAAGUGGUGGAAGGUUCUAGGAUCUGUGUCGUUGGACAAACCGCUCCAAUACCAUGUAUUGAUCCUAGAAUUAUGUGUUGUUUCUAUUGUGUAUUGAUGUGACCCUAAUAAGGAGAUUUGUUAACGAGGUUCAUCAUCAUGGCUACGUCCCCGGGGCAUGACUACGGGCGCUCCUCCCCAUGACACUGCUACAAUACCGCACCCCGGCCGCCCGAGCGCCGGCUCCCCCUGCGUGGUUGUGCUAUUAUGUUUUUUUUAGAGAAAGCAUAUGCUAUUAUGUUGGCAUAGGUUACAUCGUGUGUCUAUCCCGCUAUAUAUGAGAGACCUACGAUACAAGUGUCCUAUUAGGACACAACUCCUACCCUGUCUACUUACAGUUCAAAACCAAGUCCAACUGUAACCUACCUUGUACAAUAAUAUUCAACGCAACAGUAACAAACUCCACAUUGGCGAAUAUUCUCCACCACCUUGGAUUCAUUCAUGUGUCGAACCUUCAUAUACAUUGGACUUGAGAUACACCAUGAGCACUGCUGCUAUUCCCAGACUUCAUGUGACUCCACCUGCAACUGUAGUCCCUUCUCGUCUUCUUCACAAUCAACACUCGAGCAAAAUCAAGUUCAUCAUGACUCUACUUUGUGCUUCCAACUUCCGGAGAAUCCAUUCAAUGCCAUCACACACCGACCACUGUCUGCGUGAAAGUGAACAACUCAUAUAUUGGACGCCACAUAUAAGAGUUACCUGAACUCAACGUCAUCGCUCCUCAUUGACCAUCUGUCUGAAACUUGAAGGAAUUUCACCAUCGCCCUGUGUCACCCUGAGUCAAAUUCGCAGUUAUCUCACCCUUCUUCCCGGAUAGUCUCUGGCAUGUCCCACAGCUAUAAAACUCCGCCUCCUUCUGUAUUUGUCAUCCAUACUUUGCCAUGUGCAUUAAACACCACGGAAUAUAUGGCCAUGUACACUCUCAGCUUUUGACAAUUUUAGACUCUCCGCCACUUUCUCAGAUUAUCCAUGGUCAACUCCUGUCCAUCAACCGGCACCGAUAGACCCAGUCACCACCUUGAAUCUGGUACUUGCCAACACUGCUUUAGCACCCCGUGCACAAUUUGUCUGACCACAUGUCUGACCACCGGUGCCUUGGUCUGUCGCUGUGUCCCGUGCUUACCGCACGCCUCGCCGCUAUCACCGCGUCGAACCUCUGCUGUCCUGGUCGAGUCUCCUGGGUCGCGUACCCACACCACUCAAACCCCUACUGCAGAGAACCACCGAUCAUCAUCGACCGAUGCCGAGUAUCACGUCUCCAUCGGACCACUGGUACCCAGUCCGUUCCACGUGUCUGUGGCACCCCGGCUCAGAGCGACCGAUUUACCCUGCAUUGCCAGCCCAGAGACCAUGUCUUCUGGCAACACACAACAACUUGGUACAGAAAAACAACCGCUUUAUUCAUGCUAGCGGAGCAUAGUUCAUAUUACAACAGUUAGCGAGGCCAAGCGGCACGCACGGUGCGGCUGAACAAUAUGUACAUUAUUUAGUAAACAUAAAGGGGCCUCGAUCGUGACAACUACGCGGCAGCGGAACAACGUCGUAGCGGGACUCCAUAGCACAGGGACACCGAUGUGGACACGAUAUAGACUCGGACAGCUCUCUUUUCCAACGAGACUUUCCUAAAAUCUGGCAUGACACACCAGGUCAGUACAUUGAAUGUACUUGCAAGCUCACAACAAGCAUAAACAUAAUGACAAACAAUAUCAUGAUAUUUAACCAAUUAAUAACAAUCACUACAAAAAAAAAGACACGUCCGUGACAUUUUGGGCCGAACGAAAUUUUUUUCUGUCAUACAUAUGACACUUCUAUGACGAUAAUUUUGACAAAACCCGGUAUCAUCAUAGAUGUGGUGGGCUCCUACUUCUAUGACAAAAAAUCAUGACAGAAAAUGGGCUUUUCGUCUUGGGCGGGCCGUUGACGCAGCUGCAUGACAUUCUUUGGGCCGUCCAUGACGGAAAAAACCGUGGUAGAAGCGAGGGGGAGGAAAAUUUCAGGGAGUUGCCGGUUACGGUGGGAGGUCGGGGGCUGAGCGAUGCGCGUUUCUCUCGUACACGUACGCGCGUGUGUGCGAGGCAUUGGCUCUAACUGAACCCGAGCGAGGCGUUGGGCUCUAACUGAACCCGAGCGAUUGCACUGCAGGCUACGCGUUACUAAACCCGAGUUAUCGAUCGAUGGCUGUUAACUGAACCCAAUGGAGCGAUUCCUUCGCUACUGCUGCUAACUGAAGCCGAUCGAUUGGAUGAACAAUGAGCGUUGCGGGGGGGGGGAGGUUGGAUGAACAGUGAGCGGUGGAGUUGCCUCUGGAUGAACAAGACCCCAUGGUGUGGAGGGCUGGAUGAACAGUAGACGGUGGAGGGGUGGUUGAACAGGACCCCGUGGUGUGGAGGGCUGGAUGAAAAGUAGAUGGUGGAGGGCUGGAUGAAUAGUAGAUAGUGGAGGGGUGGUUGAACAGUAGCCGGUGGAGUAGCGCGCGGUGGAGGCUGGCUGAACAGGAGCCCAUGGAGGUUGGAGGAGUCGACGGUAGCCCGUGGAGGCUGGAGGAGGUCGACGGUGGAGAUGAACAGUAUCCCCGUGGAGUCCCGUUUUGCGGUACGCCACACCCCUCCCGAUGAACAGGACCCCCGUUUCGACUGUAGCGCUCCAACACAAGUCUGUUUCGUCCGUUUUGCGGUACACCACACCCCUCCCGAUUAACAGGACCCUCGUUUCGACCAUAGGAGGUCCGUNNNNNNNNNNNNNNNNNNNNNNNNNNNNNNNNNNNNNNNNNNNNNNNNNNNNNNNNNNNNNNNNNNNNNNNNNNNNNNNNNNNNNNNNNNNNNNNNNNNNNNNNNNNNNNNNNNNNNNNNNNNNNNNNNNNNNNNNNNNNNNNNNNNNNNNNNNNNNNNNNNNNNNNNNNNNNNNNNNNNNNNNNNNNNNNNNNNNNNNNNNNNNNNNNNNNCGUUUCGUCCGUUUUACGGUACACCACACCCCUCCCGAUCAACAGGGCCCCCGUUUCGACCGUUGGAGGUCCGUUUCAUCCGUUUUGCGGUACGCCACACCCCUCCCGAUCAACAGGACCCCCGUUUCGACCGUAGGAGGUCCGUUUCCUCUUUUGCGGUACGCCACACCCCUCCCGGUCAACAGGACCCCGUUCCGAACGUGGCCGGUCGAACACAAGGCCGUUUCCUCCGUUCUGCGGUACGCCAGGCCUCGUUUCCAUCGCCUGUUCCGUCCAAGCCGGUUGGCUCCCACGCGUUCCGUUGCCUCCUGAUGAACACGAGCACUCCGUUGCCUCCCCAUGAACACGACGCAUUUCGUUGCCUCCCCAUGAACACGACGACGACUCUGUUUCUCCAUUCCGACCCAGCCAUGUACAUAUGCGCGAGUAGGCAUUCGAGACCCUGCCCGUAUGUACAUACGUGGCCGUAUUUUCUUUCUUGCACCCUCGCCGCUGUACGUACGUGUACAUGCUACGUGCGCGCCUCUACUACGACACGUGCGCGCCUCUACAUCGACCAGUAUGUACGUACACGUUCGCGACCAGAAUGAUAACGUUACGUACGCUUCCACCAGGUGGGUCCCGACUGUCAAGCACUUCCUUGCCUGCGAAGAUGUAGCUGGUGGGUCCCAGCAGUCAGGAGGGCGAAUCGUUUUUUUGCCCGGAUGCACUUCCUUGCGUGCGAAGAUGUAGCUAGUGGGUCCCAGCAGUCAGGGGGGCGAAUUGUUUUUGUUUUGCCCGGACGCACUUCCUUGCGUGUGAAGAUGUAGCUGGUGGGUCCCAGCAGUCAGGGGGAACGUUUUUUCGCGAAAUAUGGUGGCCCGUCCGGUUGGUCCCCGCUGUCAGGUGGAGGAAUAAUUAUUUUGCACGUAAUAAGGAGGCACUUCCUUGCGGCCACCGUGGACCCAGCUGUCAGCCUCUCCAUGCACAGUACUCUUCCGAUGGAAGUCGGUCGUUGACCACAUUGACCACGCCGCGCCGAGAGCACCACGGCGGUGGACGACAGCGAGGCCUAGGAAGGGGACAACGUGGAGCCGGGGAAGACGCAGCAGUGGACGCCCACACGAAGAGGAGUACGAGGGUGAGGCUGCCAACACCACAGAAUAACAGGGGGUGUGGGUGAGUAGAGGGAUGACCUGGCCAGCGGUGGGAGUAGUAGGGGGCGGUGAGGCCUCCGUGGAAUCACAGCCGGCCACGGGAGGUAGGAGCACGCGGCACGACCGGCGCUGCUUUGGGCGGCUGGAGCACGAAGACCAGAGGUUGAAGAAGCACGACAGCCGUUGGAUGGACAUCGUACGGUCACUGGAGCUAGAGUCGUUCAUAUUGACUAAGUUGACAAAGCCCUCCGUCCCCGUAAACUUAGUAGGCCCACAAGUCAGCCUCCCACCAAGGUAAGUCCCAGCUAGCAGGGGGAGUAUUCAUUUUUUUUGUGCGUAAUAAGGAGGCAUUUCUGGUGGGUCCGAGCUGACAGCGGGGGGAACAUUUUUUUCACGAAAUACAGAGACCCUUCCAGUGGGUCCCAGCUAUCAGGUGGAGGAAUCAUUAUUUUGCGCGUAAUAAGGAGGCAUUUUCCUGUGUGGGCCCCUACUGUCAGCCUCUUCCGAUGGCUGUUGUUUGUUGACCAUGUUGACCUCGCCGCGCCGAGAGCACAAACGCGGUGGACGAGGGUGGGGCCUAGGAAGAGAACCACCCGGAGCCGGCAAAGCCACCGCAUCGGAUGCCCACGCUGAGGGGAGAACAAGCGCUGACUGGUCGGCUGCGGGGUGAGGCUAACGUCGCCGGAAAAUAACAGGAUGUGUGGGUGGCUAGAGGGAUGGCCUGGCGGCAGCACAGCUAGCCACGAGAGGAGGGAGCAGGCAGUCCCGUCGGCGCUGGUUUGGGCGGCUAGAGCAGGAAGAUUAGAGAUUGAAGAAGCACAGCGGCCGUUGGAUGGACAUCCAACAGUCACUGCUGUGUGUUGACUAAGUUAACAAAGCCUUGCGUACGCGUCAAAAAAAAUUUAGGACAGCGUCAUCGUCAACCUAGUAGGCCCAAAAGUCAGCCUCCAAAUCUGUGAAAAAUAGCAUACAGCCCAUUAGCCAUUAUUUUUCAAUAAUUUACAGCCCAUUUGCUAAUUCUUAAGGAUAUUUGAAGCCCAUAUUAUUUUUAUUAGCAUUACAAACCAUAUAUUCUGGGCACUACUAAAAAAUUCAACGAAAUUUUGCAUAUUUUGGUGGGGUCCGAACUCUUUUAAUCACGAAAUUUCGAGUCACAUUAAAAAUAGUUUUCAAAAAAAUUAUAUCAAAAUAAAAUUCAAAAAACAAUUCUCCGCAAAAAAAUGAAUGAAAUUUAGAAUCUUAACUAGCAAGAUGCCCGUUCGUUGCACGGAACAUGAAGAUGCAUUUGUAUGAGUAGUUUAUCUUGUGGGUGAAAAGAUGAUAUUUUAAUGUAAUUUGCAGUUGGCGUUGGUUUUUAUAAGAGUAGAGAGUAGACAAAUGCUGAAAAAAAUGAUAUUUUAAUGCAAUUGCCGGUUGGCUUUGGUUUCAAAAUUUACAGCCCAUUUCUUACAACUUAUAGCCCGUUUUUUGGGGAAGCCCAUUUCUUAUCCCUCCUCGUCUUGAAAGAUUUGCAGCCCAGCAGGGCUGAGAAAAGCAAGUAGGCCUCGGUUUUGGUAUUCUCCAAAAAAAGAACUGGGCUAGCCAAUUUCAGAAGAAAAAAAUAUCAACUGAGCUUGUCAUGUGCUUAAUAAAAGCGUAAGCGUGGGCUAGACGGGCCACAGCCGCCGCACAGCGCGCAGUUGAGCUCCGUCUCUGAAACUGAAAAACAACUGGGUGAGCUGCUGGGUCCCUGGUGUUAUCCGCUCAUUGUGUAAUUUUCUCGUUUAUUGACUACAUUGACAAUGGCAUGAAACCUAGUUGUCAAACAAUUAGGAGGAAGUAUUGUUUUGGCUUGUAAUAACGAGGCACCUGCUUGCGAAAUGCAAUGACCCUGGUGGGUCCCUACUGUCAGCCUCUCCACGUACAGUCAUCUCCUGAUUCCUCUUGGUUGUUGACCAUGUUGACAACACCAAACGGCGGCGAGCACAGUGAGCUAACCAAGGCGGAGAACGAUGGCAAGGCCUCGGACGGGAACGAACAACAGCCAUGGAAGAUGCGGCAGUGUAGUGGCAGGUGGAGGGGAGUACGAGGGCAACAACAUGCAAGUCAAGCAUACAAAUGGUACAAAAAGCCCAAGGAUUAAUUGUUCAUCAAAUUUUUAGACAAACCCAGAUUGAACAUGACAAUAACAUCUAACCCAACCACUCUUUUUUGCAGUCACAAACAAAUGGAUCGGUCUGAUCCAUAAAAUCAACAUCCUGUGCAAAAAAAUUAUUUUAGGAUGUCUACAACUUGUUGUAAAUAGAAGCCGGGCACGUUUAGAAGCCCAUUUGUCCACCUGAAACUUCUUUGUUUGCUGUUCAACAUGUUUGUCCGUGAGAAAUCUCUUGCUGUAAAAAUUAAGCCUCAUGGACAAUAGUAACCUCGCAUUCAACAGGAAGAAUGUGACAAAGCUUCUGUUUGCCUGGUUGGAUGCAUAUCGUCCCUUCGUUAUUGUCCUCAAAUGAAUGUCAUGAGAACUGAGAAAAUCCUUGUGCUUAUUACGCUAACAAUUGGUUAUAUGUUUUUCUCCAUGUGGUUCUGCCUAAGUAGACAUGAAAACUGAAAACAGUUAAGGUCUGAAAAAAGAGUAUGUCAAAAGAACGACAGCUGAACAGUUAAUUCUAGUACAAUAUAUACGGGCUUUCAAUGUGCAUGAAAUCAUCACCUCUAUGUAUAAAUUCUCCAGAGAUUGAAAGCAUCGCAGCAAGCCAAUAAUUAUGUCCAGAUCAAAACUAUACAUUCUGAUAUAUAUAUGAUCUUGACAGAAUCCAGCAGCAUUGAUAGGCUAUCAGUGGACGAACUCUUCAUUGAGCAUAUAACAUAAUAUUAGUACCCAAAGUGUACUCCAAGAUGAUAUAAAACUUAUGCGCACAAAUGAAAAAUGCAGCAUAUGAUUUCAAAUGUGUAGAUGAUAAUAUACGGUACCUGAAAAGGUGAGGAUCCAAACACCAACUCCUUGUGAUUAUUAAACGGGUCACGAAUUACACCCAAGGUCUCCAGUUUGGGCGCAGAGAUGACAGUUAUUUCUGAAGGUGUAUAACAAUUAUCAAGGAGCAACCUUUCAAGUGAAGGGGCAUCUUCGAUGAUGAGCUGCUGUCCUUCAAAACAAAUUCCAAUGCUUUUAAGGUGAGGCGACUUUAUUUGGAGACAACUGAUACCGAUUUGUAUUCCCAAAACAAUCAGCAAGCGCUCCAGGGCAGGGCAACUGGAGUGGAUGAUGCUGUGCAGUGAGGCCUCCGACAGAUAAACCACCACAAGCGAAAGUUUUUUUAGCAGUGGGAGUCGAAGCAUUUGUACCAGAUCGUCUGGUAGAUGGCACCGGGCGAAGGUGGCGGUGUGGAGAGAGGAGGAAAACCGUGAGAUGGACAACGGUGGUGUGGGCACGAAUUCUUGGUACGUGGUAUGAAACUUUUCGUGGUAAUGGUAGAACUCAAACUGCUGGAGUUUUCUGAAUUCAGGGGAUGUCAACCAAGCGUCCACCUUGCCAGGUAUGGACAGCAGGUAGCUUGUCGGGAUGCAGAGGCGUUGAAGAGGGCCCUGCUGGUGAGAAGAGACGAUGGCUCUGAUGAGAUCAAAUUCAGGAAGGACUGAUAUCUGACGAUAGUCGAGAUUGAGGGGCGUGGUGCGCCAUAGAGGGCGCCACCGAGUUGAGAGGACUUGUGUGCGGUAGCAAUCCUUGGUGGGGAGAAGCGAGAUGAUCUCCUCAAGGAUGACGUCCGGAAGAUCACUGAUGCGGUCCACCAGAGAUUCUACUGGUUCCUCANNNNNNNNNNNNNNNNNNNNNNNNNNNNNNNNNNNNNNNNNNNNNNNNNNNNNNNNNNNNNNNNNNNNNNNNNNNNNNNNNNNNNNNNNNNNNNNNNNNNNNNNNNNNNNNNNNNNNNNNNNNNNNNNNNNNNNNNNNNNNNNNNNNNNNNNNNNNNNNNNNNNNNNNNNNNNNNNNNNNNNNNNNNNNNNNNNNNNNNNNNNNNNNNNNNNNNNNNNNNNNNNNNNNNNNNNNNNNNNNNNNNNNNNNNNNNNNNNNNNNNNNNNNNNNGAUGGCGGGAGCCUCAUCUUCUUGGUGCUGGGGCCAGCCGAGUCCAUUUUUCUUGUGGGCGUCGCGCUGAGCUCACGGUUUUGAGCAGAGUAGCCAGAGAUGAGCCUAGUGGUAGUGCGAGUGGGGAAGAAGGAGGGCUGGGGAUUCUAUAGGAGUGGAAGAAGAGGAGCAGGCGUUUUCUGUAAGAGUGAGGAAGAAGGUGAGCGGGGUUUUCUGGACGAGUGAGGAAGAUUGGGGAGCGGGGGGAAUUGGGUGGGGAGACGGAAGCGAGAGAGCGAGUUGUUCGUGUUUAUAAGGCCCGCUGCACUAACUACUCGCUUUUUCCCAAGAACCGCUCUCUUCUUUUGCGUUGCUGCAUGACUGGCCAUGCAUGCAGGAUGCAUGUGCCCGCCGGCCACUGCAUGCGUCUGGUUUGUUACUAGGCCUAUUUAAUAGGGUGGUUAUGGAGUAAAUUAAGGAGUAUUUUCUCUGUGUGCAUCCACCAAAUUAGAGGAUGCGGUACUGGAUGCAGACACUUACAUUAAACUAAAUUCAGAAGAAAAAAAGUUCAGCAUGUCUAUGCAUCUCAAUGAUUCACCAUACUAUAACCAAUAUACAAAACUGUGAGAAGGUGUGGAAAUAAAGAAAAUUGGUCGAUACUUCUCUGAGCAAAGGGCCUCCCUGCACACGCAUUAAUUUCCUGGGCAUGCUUGUUUCUUCUCAAUGUUGCGAGCACUUUGAGCAUGUUGGCAACUCCACAGCUAGCUAGCUGCCUCAUCUUGCAAUUGAUGCUGACACAUUUGCAGCAAACACAUGAGGCAAUAGAGAUGACUCAACAUGGGUCCAUAUUGUGCAGUUCCCCUGAUAUCAUAUUCAUUGUCCUGAAUCUGAAAAGAUAGGAAAAUAGUAGCUAUACUUAAACGGUGUUGCAAAACAGUAGCACAUAUCAAUAGCUCGGCAUGACAAAACACGAUCAUCUAGACGAAGGGGAUACUGACCUACCUGAGGAAGAUUACAUAUAACUCCAUAAGUCCUUGGUUGAUUUCCACCUUCGGCUGCACUGCUUGUUUGCUCCUUCACACAUGACAGGAUUGUUCCGCACUGCAGUUAGCAAGUCAACGUACGAAUAAGCUAACUUCAUCUUGCGGUGGUCAUUGUACCUAGUUACGAAUGUAGGAAUACCUGGAGCACCAUGAGGUUAGCUGACAGCAGGUAGAUGCAGCCAUAUAAAUUUUGUGCGGUGCUACCAAAAUUGAGGUUUGUAUCCCUUCCCAUUAUGAGAAAUCUUCUUGAAGUUGCUAGAAUGUGACGGCUUGUUCUUUGCAUCAAACUUGUCUUUCCCCUGAGAUUUGUUCUUGUUAUUUUGGGGCUGGUUGGGCUGGAAGUUCUUCUUGUGUACCAUGUGGGUACUAGAAGCUCCCUUGGCGACCCGAGCACGUGUGUCUUUUGCUCUCGCCUUCUCCUCAAAAUCAAGAGUGCUAAUGAUAUCCAAAACAGAAAACUCAUGUCUCUUGUUUUUCAGAGAAGUAGCAAAAUCGUUCCACGAAGGUGGAAGCUUGGCAAUGAUGGUCCCAGCAACAAAUUUGUCCGGCAACACACACUUAAAGUACUCAAGUUCCUUAGAGAGUGAUUGUAUGUCACGAGUCUGCUGAACAACAGAGCGCUCAUCAGUCAUCUUGUAGUCACAGAAUUGCUCCAUGACGUACAACUCGUUGCCAGCGCCCGAGGGCCCAAACGUGGCUUCGAGUGCAGCCCACAUGUCUUUGCCGCUGUCAAACAACAUAUACGAAUCCACAAUGGAAUCGUCAAGAACACUCAGCAGAGCGGCUUUGAAGAGGGUAUCCAUGUUCUCAAAAGCUUCAUGUUGUGUAGGAUUAAGAUCGCCCUCAGGCUUACCCUUAGUGGCGUCAUAGCAGUACAUGAUCUGAAACCAAUAUACUGCUCGUGUGCGCCACCUUUUAUAUUGCACCCCCUUAAAAGUAGGCGGCUUCAAAAGCGCAGCAAAACCACUCGGAGUAAAUUGCCUGUGAUCAAGUUUUUGGAUUGGAUUGUUAAAUAUAUGAGAAAUUUAGUAUGAGAUUUAAUCCGAAUCAGCGGUAAAUAGAUCGUGACGACAAUUGCAAACAUCAAAGUAAUGAUGCGGACUAAACCAGGAGGACAGAAUCACAUACUGUACAGUGGGAGCAGAACCGACGUGGUUGAUGUUGUCACUCAUGUCGUUGAUGAAGAGGUUACCGAGGUCGGGGAAGAAGGCUGUCAUUGAGGAAGUCGUCACUGGCAGCAGUCACAGGAGUGUGCUCCCUAAAAACCUGAUCGCCCCUCUCCCGUACAGGAUCACGAAAGGCAGGGUUCGGAGGAUUGCUGUCCCUUCUCGCGGUGCACGCUGAAAGGAGGGCUGGAGAAGAAUUGUGUGGCGGCGCUAAGAUCUAGAACGGUGUGAAACCAUAUGAUACAACGGCGGCUAGGGUAGAGCAUGUCAUGUCAGAGUAUAAUAGUAGGCCUUUGGCCCCCAAACCCCACGUCCAAGUCAAUAAUAGCUCAAAAAAGUCAAUAAUAGCCCCACCAAGGUUUGUCUAAAAAACAGAGUAAUUAAGGCGUCCGUUAGUCCCUUUAGUAUAAAUACAAUAUCAUUAAUAAUGGACCCACCUUUUGUCUCACAAAGUAGAGUAUGUUGGAGUACAACCGGCUACACGUUUACAAUCCGCUUCUCUUCUCUCUCUUCUUCUCUCUCCUUCAACUAAUCACAAAUACUAUAUUUAAAUCCUUAUAGCCUGCUUAUGUCAUCUAAUUAUAGUACUUGCUCUAAAAGUUACUAUCCAAUGUGUAGUCUGAAAUGUCGGGCGUGCAGCCGGCGGUGCCCUCGGUCGGCCCGCCGCUUCAACGGCGGAAGCAGUGAGAGGUCGAGUCGCCCUGACUUGCCAUCAAUGUGGAGCGGCGGGCUCAGCUGGCGCCGGGUGGGAAGCGCGCGCGGGAGGGGGGAGGGUUUUUUGUUGGGCCAAGAAGAUGAGAAGCCAACUUGGAAUCGGUCCGGACGGGGAAAUAUCAUGUGCUCCCAUACUCUCCAUAUGACACUAGUCUAUGUUACUACUCCCUCCUUUCCGGUUUAUAGAGAUGUUUAGAGUAACAUAGUAAUAUGUUACAGUACAAGUUACUCCCCACUAUGACAAGCCUUGGCCUCUCCCAGUGCUCCACCAUGUAUAGCUGCUAAGCCUGCCACGUAGGCAUAAAAUAUGAUGUGGCACCAAUAAACUAAGCACUUAUGCAUUGAACACUUGAGUUACUAAGCCAUUUAAUGCACUUAGCACCUCAUCUAAAGAGCAUUAAUAGUAUAGCCAGCUGCUGGCUAUAAGCCUACAACCCAUCUUAUAGUCAACAUGUACAAAGUGCCUAGGAGCACGUGCUAGAGCUGGCUCUUCACGAAGAGCCCGCUUACCUUCUCUCUCCUCUUCUCUUUCCUCCAACUAAGGCUGGUCGUAAUGGUAGUAUCAUAGCUAGUAUAUGCAUGCCAACUAGGCAAUUUUGACGAGGUGUCAUAGCAUUAAAUGAAGAAAGAAAGAGUGGAGUAUCAUAUCAUGAUACCGUAUCAUAAUAAAUGCUAUGCUACUUUGUGUCAUGCAUGAAAAUAGAUAGAGUACUACAUGAUACUACUAUAUGAUACUAUGCAUUACGGAGGUAGUAUCAUACACUAGUAUCAUAUACCCUUUGGUCCCAUGUGAAGGAAAUAUGCCCUAGAGGCAAUAAUAAAGUUAUUAUUUAUUUCCUUAUAUCAUGAUAAAUGUUUAUUAUUCAUGCUAGAAUUGUAUUAACCGGAAACAUAAUACAUGUGUGAAUACAUAAACAAACAUAGUGUCACUAGUAUGCCUCUACUUGACUAGCUCGUUUAUCAAAGAUGGUUAUGUUUCCUAGCCAUGGACAAAAGAGUUGUCAUUUGAUUAACGGGGUCACAUCAUUAGGAGAAUGAUGUGAUUGACUUGACCCAUUCCGUUAGCUUAGCACUUGAUCGUUUAGUAUGUUGCUAUUGCUUUCUUCAUGACUUAUACAUGUUCCUAUGACUAUGAGAUUAUGCAACUCCCGUUUACCGAAGGAACACUUUGUGUGCUACCAAACAUCACAACGUAACUGGGUGAUUAUAAAGGUGCUCUACAGGUGUCUCCAAAGGUACUUGUUGGGUUGGCGUAUUUCGAGAUUAGGAUUUGUCACUCCGAUUGUCGGAGAGGUAUCUCUGGGCCCUCUCGGUAAUGCACAUCACUUAAGCCUUGCAAGCAUUACAACUAAUGAGUUAGUUGUGAGAUGAUGUAUUACGGAAUGAGUAAAGAGACUUGCCGGUAACGAGAUUGAACUAGGUAUUGAGAUACCGACGAUCAAAUCUUGACAAAGGGAACAACGUAUGUUGUUGUGCGGUUUGACCGAUAAAGAUCUUCGUAGAAUAUGUAGGAGCCAAUAUGAACAUCCAGGUUUCGCUAUUGGUUAUUAACUGGAAACAGUUCUAGGUCAUGUCUACAUAGUUCUCGAACCCGUAGGGUCCGCAUGCUUAACAUUACAAUGACCGUUUUAUUAUGAGUUUAUAAGUUUUGAUGUACCGAAGGUUGUUCGGAGUCCCGGAUAUGAUCAUGGACAUGACGAGGAGUCUCGAAAUGGUAGAGACAUAAAGAUUGCUAUUUUGGAAGCCUAUAUUUGGAUAUCGGAAUCGUUCCGGGUGAAAUCGAGAUCUUACCGGAAUACCGGGGGGUUGCCGGAACCCCCCCGCCCCUUCCCGAGGGUUAAUGGGCCUACAUGGGCCCUAAGGGAGAAGAGGAGGGCCGACCAGGGCAGGCCGCGCGCCUCCUCACCCCUAGUCCGAAUAGGACAAGGAAGGGGGGGCCUUUCCUCUUUCCCCUUCCCCCUUUCCUUCUCCUACAAGGCAAGAGGGGGGAGUCCUACUCCCGGUGGGAGUAGGACUCCUCCAGGCGCACCCCUAGGGGCCGGCCGCACCUCCUCCCUCCCUCCUUUAUAUAUGGGGGCAGGGGCACCCCAUAACACACAAGUUGAUCUUCGUGAUCGUUCCUUAGCCGUGUGCGGUGCCCCCCUCCACCAUAUUCCACCUCGGUCAUAUCAUUGUGGUGCUUAGGCGAAGCCCUGCGUCGGUAGAACAUCAUCAUCGUCACCAUGUCGUCGUGCUGACGGAACUCAUCCCCAACACCCUGCUGGAUCGGAGUCCGGGGAUCGUCAUCGAGCUGAACGUGUGCUGAACUCAGAGGUGCCGUGCAUUCGGUACUUGGAUCGGUCGGAUCGUGAAGACGUACGACUACAUCAACCGCGUUGUCAUAACGCUUCCGCUUUCGGUCUACGAGGGUACGUGGACAAUACUCUCCCCUCUCGUUGCUAUGCAUCACCAUGAUCUUGCGUGUGUGUAGGAAAUUUUUUGAAAUUACUACGUUCCCCAACAGUGGCAUCCGAGCCUAGGUUUUAUGCGUUGAUGUUAUAUGCACGAGUAGAACACAAGUGAGUUGUGGGCGAUACAAGUCAUACUGCUUACCAGCAUGUCAUACUUUGGUUCGGCGGUAUUGUUGGAUGAAGCGGCCCGGACCGACAUUACGCGUACGCUUACGUGAGACUGGUUCUACCGACGUGCUUUGCACACAGGUGGCUGGCGGGUGUCAGUUUCUCCAACUUUAGUUGAACCGAGUGUGGCUACGCCCGGUCCUUGAGAAGGUUAAAAUGGCACUAACUUGACGAACUAUCGUUGUGGUUUUGAUGCGUAGGUAAGAACGGUUCUUGCUCAGCCCAUAGCAGCCAUGUAAAACUUGCAACAACAAAGUAGAGGACGUCUAACUUGUUUUUGCAGGGCAUGUUGUGAUGUGAUAUGGUCAAGACGUGAUGAGAUAUAAGUUGUUGUAUGAGAUGAUCAUGUUUUGUUGAAGUUAUCGGCAACUGGCAUAAGCCCUAUGGUUGUCUCUUUGUUGCAUAAGAUGCAAGUACCAAGUAAUUCUUUACUUUAUCGCUAUACGAUAGCAAUAGUUGCAAGAGCAAUAGUUGGCGAGACGACCAUGUGACGACACAUUGAUAUAGAUCAAGAUGAUGAAGAUCAUGGUGUCGUGCCGGUGACGAUAGAGAUCAUGACAGUACUUUGGAGAUGGAGAUCAAAGGCGCAAGAUGAUCAUGGCCAUACCAUGUCACAUAUUUUGAUUGCAUAUGAUGUUUAUCUGUUAUACAUCUUAUUUUGCUUAGUUCAACGGUAGCAUUUUAAGAUGAUCUCUCACUAAUUAUCAAGAAGUGUUCUCCCUGAGUAUGCACCAUUGCGAAAGUUCUUCGUGCUGAGACACCACGUGAUGAUCGGGUGUGAUAGGCUCUACGUUCAAAUACAAUGGGUGCAAAACAGUUGCACAUGCGGAAUACUCAGGUUAAACUUGACGAGCCUAGCAUAUAACAGAUAUGGCCUCGGAACACGGAGACCGAAAGGUCGAGCGUGAAUCAUAUAGUAGAUAUGAUCAACAUAGUGAUGUUUACCAUUGAAACUACUCCAUCUCACGUGAUGAUCGAACAUGGUUUAGUUGAUUUGGAUCACGUGAUCACUUAGAAGAUUAAAGAGAUGUCUAUCUAAGUGGGAGUUCUUAAGUAAUAUGAUUAAUUGAACUUUAAUUUAUCAUGAACUUAGUCCUGGUAGUAUUUUGCAAAUUAUGUUGUAGAUCAAUAGCUCGCGUUGUUGCUUCCCUAUGUUUUAUAUGUGUUCCUAGAGAAAACUAAGUUGAAAGAUGUUAGUAGGAAUGAUGCGGAUUCAAUCCGUGAUCUGAGGAUUAUCCUCGUUGCUGCACAGAAAAAUUAUGUCCUUGAUGCACCGCUAGGUGACAAACCUAUUGCAGGAGCAGAUGCAGACGUUAUGAACGUUUGGCUAGCUCAAUGUGAUGACUACUUGAUAGUUUAGUGCACCAUGCUUAACAGCUUAGAAUCGGGACUUCAAAGACAUUUUUGAACGUCAUGGACCAUAUGAGAUGUUCCAGGAGUUGAAGUUAAUAUUUCAAGCAAAUACCCGAGUUAAGAGAUAUGAAGUCUCCAACAAGUUCUAUAGCUAAAAAGAUGGAGGAGAAUUGCUCAACUAGUGAGCAAGUGCUUAGAUUGUCUGAGUACUAACAAUCGCUUGAAUAAAGUGGGAUCUAAUCUUCCAGAUAAGAUAGUGAUUGGCAGAGUUCUCUAGUCACCAUCACCAAGUUACUGGAACUUCAUGAUGAACUAUAAUGCAAGGGAUGAACAAAAUGAUUCCCGAGCUCUUCAUGAUGCUGAAAUCGAUGAAGGUAGAAAUCAAUAAAAGAGCAUCAAGUGUUGAUGAUUGACAAGAUCACUAGUUUCAAGAAAAGGGCGAAGGGAAAGAAAGGGAACUUCAAGCAGAAUGGCAAGCAAGUUGUCACCCCCGCGAAGAAGCCCAAAGCUGUGUUGGAAAUAUGCCCUAGAGGCAAAAAUAAAAGGAUUAUUAUUAUAUUUUCUUGUUCAUGAUAAUUGUUUUUUAUUCAUGCUAUAAUUGUAUUAUCCGAAAAUCGUAAUACACGUGUGAAUGCAUAGACCACAAUAUGUCCCUAGUGAGCCUCUAGUUGACUAGCUCGUUGAUCAACAGAUAGUCAUGGUUUCCUGACUAUGGACAUUGGAUGUCAUUGAUAACGGGAUCACAUCAUUAGGAGAAUGAUGUGAUGGACAAGACCCAAUCCUAAGCAUAGCACAAAGAUCGUGUAGUUCGUUUGUUAGAGCUUUUCCAAUGUCAAGUAUCUUUAACUUAGACCAUGAGAUCGUGUAACUCCCGGAUACCGUAGGAGUGCUUUGGGUGUACCAAAUGUCACAACGUAACUGGGUGGCUAUAAAGGUGCACUACAGGUAUCUCCGAAAGUGUCUGUUGGGUUGACACGGAUCGAGACUGGGAUUUGUCACUCCGUAUGACGAAGAGGUAUCUCUGGGCCCACUCGGUAUUUCAUCAUCAUAAUGAGCUCAAAGUGACCAAGUGUCUGGUCACGGGAUCAUGCAUUACGGUACGAGUAAAGUGACUUGCCGGUGACGAGAUUGAACGAGGUAUUGGGAUACCGACGAUCGAAUCUCGGGCAAGUAACGUACCGAUUGACAAAGGGAAUUGUAUACGGGGUUGCUUAAAUCCUCGACAUCGUGGUUCAUCCAAUGAGAUCAUCGAGGAGUAUGUGGGAGCCAACAUGGGUAUCCAGAUCCCGCUGUUGGUGAUUGACCGGAGAGCCGUCUCGGUCAUGUCUACAUGUCUCCCGAACUCGUAGGGUCUACACACUUAAGGUUCGGUGACGCUAGGGUUGUAUGAAUAUGAGUAUGCAGCAAACCGAAAGUUGUUCGGAGUCCCGGAUGAGAUCUCGGACGUCACGAGGAGUUACGGAAUGGUCUAGAGGUAAAGAAUUAUAUAUGGGAAGUCGAGUUUCGGCCAUCGGGAAAGUUUUGGGGGUCACCGGUAUUGUACCGGGACCACCGGAAGGGUCCCGGGGGUNNNNNNNNNNNNNNNNNNNNNNNNNNNNNNNNNNNNNNNNNNNNNNNNNNNNNNNNNNNNNNNNNNNNNNNNNNNNNNNNNNNNNNNNNNNNNNNNNNNNNNNNNNNNNNNNNNNNNNNNNNNNNNNNNNNNNNNNNNNNNNNNNNNNNNNNNNNNNNNNNNNNNNNNNNNNNNNNNNNNNNNNNNNNNNNNNNNNNNNNNNNNNNNNNNNNNNNNNNNNNNNNNNNNNNNNNNNNNNNNNNNNNNNNNNNNNNNNNNNNNNNNNNNNNNNNNNNNNNNNNNNNNNNCUCUGCGCCUAGGGUUGGGAACCCUAGGGGAGGGGGCGCCUCCACUUGCCUUGGGGGCAAGUCUGCCCCCUUGGCCGCCCCCCAGGAGAUCCCAUCUCCUAGGGCCGGCGCCCCCCCUGGGGUCCCUAUAUAAAGAGGGUGGGUGGGAGGGCAGCCGCACCAAACAACUGGCGCCUCCCUACCCCCCUUGCUACACCUCCUCCUCCCGUAGUCGCUUGGUGAAGCCCUGCCGGAACCCUGCUGCAUCCACCACCACGCCGUCGUGCUGCUGGAUCUUCAUCAACCUCUCCUUCCCCCUUGCUGGAUCAAGAAGGAGGAGACAUCACGCUGACCGUACAUGUGUUGAACGCGGAGGUGCCGUCCGUUCGGCGCUAGGAUCUCCGGUGAUUUGGAUCACGACGAGUACGACUCCCUCAACCCCGUUCUCUUGAACGCUUCCGCUCGCGAUCUAGAAGGGUAUGUAGAUGCACUCCUCUCUCUCGUUGCUAGAUGAACUCAUAGAUUGAUCGUGGUGAACAUAGGAAAAAUUUUAUUUUAUGCAACGUUCCCCAAUAGUGGCAUCAUGAGCUAGGUCUAUGCGUAGUUCUCUAUUGCACGAGUAGAACACAAAUCUGUUGUGGGCGUAGAUGUUAUCAACUUUCUUUCCACUACUAGUCUUAUUUUGCUUAAGCGGUAUUGUGGGAUGAAGCGGCCCGGACCGACCUUACACGUACGCUUACGUGAGACAGGUUCCACCGACUGACAUGCACUAGUUGCAUAAGGUGGCUAGCGGGUGUCUGUCUCUCCCACUUUAGUUGGAGCAGAUUCGAUGAAAAGGGUCCUUAUGAAGGGUAAAUAGAAGUUGACAAAUCACGUUGUGGUUAUUCGUAGGUAAGAAAACGUUCUUGCUAGAACCCUAUUGCAGCCACGUAAAAGAUGCAACAACAAUUAGAGGACGUCUAACUUGUUUUUGCAGCAAUUGCUUUGUGAUGUGAUAUGGCCAAAAGUUGUGAUGAAUGAUGAAUGAUAUAUUGUGAUGUAUGAGAUCAUGUUCUUGUAAUAGGAAUCACGAAUUGCAUGUCGAUGAGUAUGACAACCGGCAGGAGCCAUAGGAGUUGUCUUAAUUAUUGUAUGACCUACGUGUCAAUGAUUUAACGCCAUGUAAUUACUUUACUUUAUUGCUAAACCGUUAGCCAUAGUAGUAGAAGUAAUAGUUGGCGAGCAACUUCAUGGAGACACGAUGAUGGAGAUCAUGAUGAUGGAGAUCAUGGUGUCAUGCCGGUGACGAAGAUGAUCAUGGAGCCCCGAAGAUGGAGAUCAAAGGAGCUAUAUGAUAUUGGCCAUAUCAUGUCACUACUAUAUAAUUGCAUGUGAUGUUUAUUAUGUUUAUGCAUCUUGUUUACUUAGAACGACGGUAGUAAAUAAGAUGAUCCCUUAUAAUAAUUUCAAGAAAGUGUUCCCCCUAACUGUGCGCCGUUGCUAAAGUUCGUCGUUUCGAAGCACCACGUGAUGAUCGGGUGUGAUAGAUUCUUACGUUCACAUACAACGGGUGUAAGACAGUUUUACACAUGCAAAAACACUUAGGGUUAACUUGACGAGCCUAGCAUGUACAGACAUGGCCUCGGAACACAGAGACCGAAAGGUCGAACAUGAGUCAUAUGGAAGAUACGAUCAACAUGGAGAUGUUCACCGAUGAUGACUAGUCCAUCUCACGUGAUGAUCGGACACGGCCUAGUCGACUCGGAUCAUGUAACACUUAGAUGACUAGAGGGAUGUCAAAUCUGAGUGGGAGUUCAUUAUAUAAUUUGAUUUGAUGAACUUAAUUAUCAUGAACUUAGUCUAAAAAUCUUUGCAAAAUAUGUCUUGUAGAUCAAAUGGCCAACGCUCAUGUCAACAUGAACUUCAAUGCGUUCCUAGAGAAAACCAAGCUGAAAGAUGAUGGCAGCAACUAUUCGGACUGGGUCCGGAACCUGAGGAUCAUCCUCAUAGCUGCCAGAAAACCAUAUGUCCUAGAAGAACCGCUAGGUGAAGCACCCAUCCCAGAGAACCAAGACGUUAUGAACACUUGGCAGUCACGUGCUGAUGAUUACUCCCUCGUUCAGUGCGGCAUGCUUUACAGCUUAGAACCGGGGCUCCAAAAGUGUUUUGAGCAACACAGAGCAUAUGAGAUGUUCGAGGAGCUGAAAAUGGUUUUCCAAGCUCAUGCCCGGGUCGAGAGAUAUGAUGUCUCCGACAAGUUCUAUAGUUGUAAGAUGGAGGAAAAUAGUUCUAUCAGUGAGCACAUACUCAAAAUGUCUGGGUUACACAACCGCCUGUCCCAGCUGGACAUUAACCUCCCGGACGAGGCGGUCAUUGACAGAAUCCUUCAGUCGCUCACACCAAGCUACAAGAGCUUUGUGAUGAACUAAAAUAUGCAGGGGAUGGUGAAAACUAUUCCUGAAGUAUUUUCAAUGCUGAAGUCGGCAGAGGUAGAAAUCAAGAAAGAACAUCAAGUGUUGAUGGUCAAUAAAACCACCAAGUUCAAGAAGGGCAAGGGUAAGAAGAACUUCAAGAAGGACGGCAAAGAUGUUGCCACGCCCGGUAAGCCAGUUGCCGGGAAGAAGUCAAGGAAUGGACCCAAGCCUGAGACUGAGUGCUUUUAUUGCAAAGGGGAGGGUCACUGGAAGCAGAACUGCCCCAAAUACUUAGCGGACAAGAAGGCCGGCAACACUAAAGGUAUAUGUGAUAUACAUGCAAUUGAUGUGUACCUUACCAGUACUCGUAGUAACUCCUGGGUAUUUGAUACCGGUGCCGUUGCUCAUAUUUGUAACUCACAGCAGGAGCUGUGGAAUAAGCGGAGACUGGCGAAGGACGAGGUGACGAUGCGCAUCGGGAAUGGUUCCAAGGUCGAUGUGACCGCCGUCGGCACGCUACCUCUACAUUUACCCACGAGAUUAGUUUUAAACCUCAAUAAUUGUUAUUUAGUGCCAAGUUUGAGCAUGAACAUUGUAUCUGGAUCUCGUUUAAUGCGAGAUGGCUACUCAUUUAAAUCCGAGAAUAAUGGUUGUUCUAUUUAUAUGAGAGAUAUGUUUUAUGGUCAUGCCCCGAUGGUCAAUGGUUUAUUCUUAAUGAAUCUCAAACGUAAUGUUACACAUAUUCAUAGUGUGAAUACCAAAAGAUGUAAAGUUGAUAACGAUAGUCCCACAUACUUGUGGCACUUCCGCCUUGGUCACAGUGGUGUCAAGCGCAUGAAGAAGCUCCAUGCUGAUGGACUUUUAGAGUCUCUCGAUUAUGAAUCAUUUGACACAUGCGAACCAUGCCUCAUGGGCAAAAUGACCAAGACUCCGUUCUCCGGAACAAUGGAGCGAGCAACCAACUUAUUGGAAAUCAUACAUACUGAUGUGUGUGGUCCAAUGAGCGUUGAGGCUCGUGGAGGAUAUCGUUAUGUUCUCACUCUCACUGAUGACUUAAGUAGAUAUGGGUAUGUCUACUUGAUGAAACACAAGUCUGAGACCUUUGAAAAGUUCAAGGAAUUUCAGAAUGAAGUAGAGAAUCAAUGUGAUCGAAAGAUAAAAUUCUUACGAUCAGAUCAUGGAGGAGAGUAUUUAAGUCACGAAUUUGGUACACACUUAAGAAAAUGUGGAAUCGUUUCACAACUCACACCGCCUGGAACACCUCAGCGUAACGGUGUGUCCGAACGUCGUAAUCGCACUCUAUUGGAUAUGGUGCGAUCUAUGAUGUCUCUUACCGAUUUACCACUAUCAUUUUGGGGAUACGCUCUAGAGACAGCUACAUUCACUUUAAAUAGGGCUCCGUCUAAAUCCGUUGAGACGACACCGUAUGAAUUAUGGUUUGGGAAGAAACCUAAGCUGUCGUUUCUAAAAGUUUGGGGAUGCGAUGCUUAUGUCAAGAAACUUCAACCUGAAAAGCUCGAACCCAAGUCGAAAAAAUGCGUCUUCAUAGGAUACCCUAAGGAAACCAUUGGGUAUACCUUCUACUUAAAAUCCGAGGGCAAGAUCUUUGUUUCCAAGAACGGAUCCUUUCUGGAAAAAGAGUUUCUCUCGAAAGAAGUAAGUGGGAGGAAAGUAGAACUCGAUGAAGUACUACCUCUUGAACCGGAAAGUAGUGCAGCUCAGGAAAAUGUUCCUGUGGUGCCUACACCGACUGGAGAGGAAAUUAAUGAUGAUGAUCAAGGUACUUCGGAUCAAGUUGCUACUGAACUUCAUAAGUCCACAAGGACACGUUCCACACCAGAGUGGUAUGGCAACCCUAUCCUGGAAAUCAUGUUGUUAGACAACGGUGAACCUUCGAACUAUGAAGAAGCAAUGGCGGGCCCAGAUUCCAACAAAUGGCUUGAAGCCAUGCAAUCCGAGAUAGAAUACAUGUAUGAAAACAAAGUAUGGACUUUGACGGACUUGCCCGAUGAUCGGCGCGAUAGAAAACAAAUGGAUCUUUAAGAAGAAGACGGACGCGGAUGGUAAUGUUACCAUCUAUAAAGCUCGACUUGUCACUAAGGUUUAUCGGCAAGUUCAAGGGGUUGACUACGAUGAGACUUUCUCUCCCGUAGCAAAGCUGAAGUCCGUCCGAAUCAUGUUAGCAAUUGCCGCAUACUAUGAUUAUGAGAUAUGGCAAAUGGACGUCAAAACAGCAUUCCUUAACGGCUAUCUUAAGGAAGAACUGUAUAUGAUGCAGCCGGAGGGUUUUGUCGAUCCUAAGAAUGCUAACAAGGUAUGCAAGCUCCAGCGAUCCAUUUAUGGGCUGGUGCAAGCAUCUCGGAGUUGGAACAUUCGCUUUGAUGAGAUGGUCAAAGCGUUUGGGUUUAUGCAGACUUAUGGAGAAGCCUGCGUUUACAAGAAAGUGAGUGGGAGCACUGUAGCAUUUCUCAUAUUAUAUGUAGAUGACAUACUUUUGAUGGGAAAUGGUAUAGAACUUUUGGACAGCAUUAAGGCCUACUUGAAUAAGUGUUUUUCAAUGAAGGACCUUGGAGAAGCUGCUUACAUAUUAGGCAUCAAGAUCUAUAGGGAUAGAUCAAGACGCCUCAUAGGUCUUUCACAAAGCACAUACCUUGAUAAGAUAUUGAAGAAGUUCAAAAUGGAUCAGUCCAAGAAAGGGUUCUUGCCUAUAUUGCAAGGUGUGAGAUUGAGCUCGGCUCAAUGCUUGACCACAGCAAAAGAUAAAGAAGAGAUGAGUGUCAUCCCCUAUGCCUCAUUGACAGGAUCUAUUAUGUAUGCUAUGAUGUGUACCAGACCUGAUGUAAACCUUGCCGUAAGUUUGGUAGGAAGGUACCAAAGUAAUCCCGGCAAGGAACACUGGACAGCGGUCAAGAAUAUCCUGAAGUACCUGAAAAGGACAAAGGACAUGUUUCUUGUUUAUGGAGGUGACGAAGAGCUCGUCGUAAAGGGUUACGUCGACGCUAGCUUCGACACAGAUCUGGAUGACUCUAAGUCACAAACCAGAUACGUGUAUAUGUUGAAUCGUGGAGCAGUAAGCUGGUGCAGUUGCAAGCAGAGCGUCGUGGCGGGAUCUACAUGUGAAGCGGAGUACAUGGCAGCCUCGGAGGCAGCACAUGAAGCAAUAUGGAUGAAGGAGUUCAUCACCGACCUAGGAGUCAUACCCAAUGCGUCAGGGCCAAUCACUCUCUUCUGUGAUAACACUGGAGCUAUUGCCCUUGCCAAGGAGCCCAGGUUUCACAAGAAGACCAGGCACAUCAAGCGUCGUUUCAACUCCAUCCGUGAAAAUGUUCAAGAUGGAGACAUAGAUAUUUGCAAAGUACAUACGGAUCUGAAUGUCGCAGAUCCGUUGACUAAACCUCUUCCGCGAGCAAAACAUGAUCAACACCAGAACUCUAUGGGUGUUCAAUCACAAUGUAACUAGAUUAUUGACUCUAGUGCAAGUGGGAGACUGUUGGAAAUAUGCCCUAGAGGCAAUAAUAAAAGGAUUAUUAUUAUAUUUUUCUUGUUCAUGACAAUUGUUUUUUUCAUGCUAUAAUUGUAUUAUCCGAAAAUCGUAAUACACGUGUGAAUGCAUAGACCACAAUAUGUCCCUAGUGAGCCUCUAGUUGACUAGCUCAUUGAUCAACAGAUAGUCAUGGUUUCUUGACUAUGGACAUUGGAUGUCAUUGAUAACGGGAUCACAUCAUUAGGAGAAUGAUGUGAUGGACAAGACCCAAUCCUAAGCAUAGCACAAAGAUCGUGUAGUUCAUUUGCUAGAGCUUUUCCAAUGUCAAGUAUCUUUUCCUUAGACCAUGAGAUCAUGUAACUCCCGAAUACCGUAGGAGUGCUUUGGGUGUACCAAACGUCACAACGUAACUGGGUGGCUAUAAAGGUGCACUACAGGUAUCUCCGAAAGUGUCUGUUGGGUUGACACGGAUCGAGACUGGGAUUUGUCACUCCGUAUGACGGAGUGGUAUCUCUGGGCCCACUCGGUAAUGCAUCAUCAUAAUGAGCUCAAAGUGACCAAGUGUUUGGUCACGGGAUCAUGCAUUACGGUACGAGUAAAGUGACUUGACGGUGACAAGAUUGAACGAGGUAUUGGGAUACCGACGAUCGAAUCUCAAGCAAGUAACGUACGGAUUGACAAAGGGAAUUGUAUUUGGGGUUGCUUAAAUCCUCGACAUUGUGGUUCAUCCGAUGAGAUCAUCGAGGAGUAUGUGGGAGCCAACAUGGGUAUCCAGAUCCCGUUGUUGGUUAUUGACCGAAGAGCCGUCUCGGUCAUGUCUACAUGUCUCCCGAACACGUAGGGUCUACACACUUAAGGUUCGGUGAUGCUAGGGUUGUAUGAAUAUGAGUAAAUAGCAAACCAAAAGUUGUUCGGAGCCCCGAAUGAGAUCCCAGACGUCACGAGGAGUUCCGGAAUGGUCCGGAGGUAAAGAAUUAUAUAUGGGAAGUCGAGUUUUGGCCAUCGGGAAUGUUUUGUGGGUCACUACCGGGACCACGGGAAGGGUCCCGGGGGUGCACCAGGUGGGGACACCCAUCCCAGAGGGCCCCAUAGGCUGAAGUGGGAGGGGAACCAGCCCCUGGUGGGCUGGUGUGCCCCCACUGGGCCCCCCUCUGUGCCUAGUGUUGGGAACCCUAGGGGAGGGGGCGCCUCCACUUGCCUUGGGGGGCAAGUCUCCCCCUUGGCCGCCCCUCCCCCCAGGAGAUCCCAUCUCCUAGGGCCGGCGCCCCCCUGGGGUCCCUAUAUAAAGAGGGGGGGUGGGAUGUCAGCCGCACCAAACACCUGGCGCCUCCCUACCCCCCUUGCUACACCUCCUCCCCCCGUAGUCGCUUGGCGAAGCCCUGCCGGAACCCUGCUGCAUCCACCACCAUGCCGUCGUUCUGCUGGAUCUUCAUCAACCUCUCCUUCCCCCUUGCUGGAUCAAGAAGGAGGAGACGUCACGCUGACCGUACGUGUGUUGAACGCGUAGGUGCCGUCCGUUCGGCGCUAGGAUCUCCGAUGAUCUGGAUCACGACGAGUACGACUCCCUCAACCCCGUUCUCUUGAACGCUUCCACUCGUGAUCUACAAGGGUAUGUAGAUGCACUCCUCUCUCUCGUUGCUAGAUGAACUCAUAGAUUGAUCGUGGUGAACGUAGGAAUUUUUUUAUUUUAUGCAACGUUCCCCAACAAGCUGGACCAAAGCUUGAAACUGAGUGAUUAUACUGCAAAGGAAAUGGUCACUGGAAGCGGAAAUGCGCUGAAUAUUUGGUGGAUAAGAAGGAUGGCAAAGUGAACAAGGGUAUAUUUGAUAUACAUGUUAUUGAUGUGUACCUUACUAGUGUUUAUAGUAGCCCCUGAGUAUUUGAUACUUGUUCGGUUGCUAAAAAUUAGUAACUCGAAACAGGAGUUACAGAAUAAACAGAGACUAGUUGAGGGUGAAGUGACGCUGUGUGUUGGAAGUGGUUCCAAGAUAGAUAUGAUCAUCAUCGCACACUCCCUAUACUUUCAGGAUUAGUGUUAAACCUAAAUAAAUGUUAUUUGGCGUUUGCGUUGAGCAUGAAUAUGAUUUGAUCAUGUUUAUUGCAAUACGGUUAUUCAUUUAAAGUUAGAGAAUAAUUGUUGUUCUAUUUACAUGAAUAAAACCUUCAAUGGUCAUACACCCAAUGAAAAUAGUUUGUUGGAUCUCGAUCAUAGUGAUACACAUAUUCAUAAUAUUGAUGUCAAAGAUGCAAAGUUGAUAAUGAUAGUGCAAAUUAUUUGUGGCACUAUCGUUUAGGUCAUAUCGGUAUAAAGCGCAUGAAGAAACUCCAUGUUGAUGGGUUUUUGGAAUCACUUGAUUAUGAAUCAUUUGAUGCUUGCGAACCGUGCCUUUUUGGGCAAGAUGACUAAAACUCCGUUCUUCGGAACAAUGGAAAGAGAUACUGACUUGUUGGAAAUAAUACAUACUGAUGUAUGCAGACCAAUGAGUAUUAAGGCUCGUGGCGAGUAUCGUUAUUUUCUGACCUUCACAGAUGAUUUGACCAGAUAUGGGUAUAUCUACUUGAUGAAACAUAAGUCUGAAAUAGUUGAAAGGUCCAAAGGAUUUCAGAGUGAAGUGGAAAAUCAUCAUAACAAGAAAAUAAAGUUUCUGCGAUCUGAUCGUGGAGAUGAAUAUUUGAGUUACGAGUUUGGCCUUCAGUUAAAAUAAUGUAGAAUAGUUUCACAAACUCAUGCCACCUGGAACACCACAGCGUAACGGUGUGUCCGAACGUCGUAACCGCACUUUAUUGGAUAUUGUGUGACCUAUGAUGUCUCUUAUCGGUUUACCACUAUCAUUUUGGGGUUAUGCAUUAGAGAAAGUUGCAUUCACUUUAAAUAGGGCGCCAUCGAAAUUUGUUGAGACAACGGCUUAUGAACUGUGGUUUGGCAAGAAACCAAAGUUGUCGUUUGUUAAAGUUUGGGGCUACAAUGCUUAUGUGAAAAAGUUUCAACCUGAUAAGCUCGAACCUAAAUCGGAGAAGUGCAUCUUCAUAGAAUACCCAAAGGAAACUGUUGGGUACACCUUCUAUCACUGAUACGAAAGCAAGAUAUUCAUUGCUAAGAUGGAUCCUUUCUAGAGAAGGAGUUUUCUCUCGAAAGAAGUGAGUGGGAGGAAAGUAGAGCUUGAUAAGGUAAUUGUACAUUCUCCCGAAUUGGAAAGUAGAUCAUCACAGAAUCAGUUCCUGUGAUUCCUACACCAAUUAGUGAGGAAGCUAAUGAUGAUGAUCAUGAAGCUUCAGAUCAAGUUACUACCGAACCUCGUAGGUCUUCCAGAAUAAGAUCCACACCAAAGUGGUACGGUAAUCCUGUUCUAGAAGUCAUGUUACUAGACCAUGAUGAACCUACGAACUAUGGGGAAGCAAUGAUGAGCCCAGAUUCCGCGAAAUGGCUUGAGGCCAUAAAAUCUGAGAUAGGAUCCAUAUAUAAGAACAAAGUGUGGACUUUGGUUGACCUGCUCGAUGAUCAGCAAGUCAAGUUAAAUAAAUGGAUCUUCAAGAGGAAGACAGACACUGAUAAUAGUGUUACUAUCUACAAAGCUCGACUUGUUGCAAAAGGUUUUCGACAAGUUCAAGGUGUUGAAUACGAUGAGAUUUUCUCACUCACGUCGAUGCUUAAGUCUGUCCAAAUCAUGUUAGCAAUUGCUACAUUUUAUGAAAUCUGGCAAAUGGGUGUCAAAACUGCAUUCCUUAAUGGAUUUCUUAAAGAAGUGUUGCAUAUGAUACAACCAGAAGGUUUUGUCAAUCCUAAAGGUGCUAACAAAAUGUGCAAGCUCCAGCGAUCCAUCAAUGGGUUGGUGCAAGCAUCUCGGAGUUGGAAUAUACGCUUUGAUGAAUUGAUCAAAGCAUGUGGUUUUAUACAGACUUUUGGAAAGGCAUGUAUUUACAAGAAAGUGAGUGGGAGCACUACUGCCUUUCUGAUAAGUAUAUGUGAAUGACAUAUUAUUGAUCGGAAAUGAUGUAGAAUUUUCUGGAAAGCAUAAAGGAAUGUUUGAAAGGAGUUUUUCAAAGAAAGACCUCGGUAAAACUACUUACAUAUUGAGCAUCAAGAUCUAUUGAGAUAGAUCAAGACGCUUGAUAAGAUUUUCAAUGAGUACAUACCUUGACAAGAUUUUUAAGUAGUUCAAAAUGGAACAGUCAAAGAAAGAGUUCUUGCCUGUGUUGCAAAGGUAUGAAAUUGAGUAAGACUCAAAUCCCGACCACGGCAGAAAAUAGAAAGAGAAUGAAAGUCAUUCCCUAUGCAUCAGUCAUAGGUUCUAUAAAAGUAUGCCAUGCUAUGGACCAGACCUAUUGUAUACUCUGCCCUGGUUUGGCAAGGGAGUACAAUAGUGAUCUAGGAGUAGAUCACUGGACAUUGGUCGAAAUUAUCCUUAGUAGAAUAAGGAUAUGUUUCUCAAUUAUGGAGGUGAUAAAAGAGUUCGUCGUAAAGAGUUACAUCGAUGCAAGCUUUUACACCGAUCCAGAUGACUCUAAGUCUCAAUCUGGAUACAUAUUGAAAGUGGGAGCAAUUAGCUAGAGUAGCUCCGUGCAAAGCAUUGUAGACAUAGAAUAUUUGCAAAAUACAUACGACUCUGUAAUAUGACAGACCCGUUGACUAAACUUCUCUCACGAGCAAAACAUGAUCAUACCUUAGUACUCUUUGGGUGUUAAUCACAUAACGAUGUGAACUAGAUUAUUGACUAUAGUAAACCCUUUGGGUGUUGAUCACAUGACGAUGUGAACUAUGGGUAUUAAUCACAUACAGAUGUGAAUAUUGGUGUUGAAUCACAUGUUGAUGUGAACUAGAUUAUUGACUCUACUGCAAGUGGGAGACUGAAGGAAAUAUGCCCUAGAGGCAAUAAUAAAGUUAUUAUUUAUUUCCUUAUAUCAUGAUAAAUGUUUAUUAUUCAUGCUAGAAUUGUAUUAACCGGAAACAUAAUACAUGUGUGAAUACAUAGACAAACAGUGUCACUAGUAUGCCUCUACUUGACUAGCUCGUUUAUCAAAGAUGGUUAUGUUUCCUAGCCAUGGACAAAAUAGUUGUCAUUUGAUUAACGGGAUCACAUCAUUAGGAGAAUGAUGUGAUUGACUUGACCCAUUCCGUUAGCUUAGCACUUGAUCAUUUAGUAUGUUGCUAUUGCUUUCUUCAUGACUUAUACAUGUUCCUAUGACUAUGAGAUUAUGCAACUCCCGUUUACCGGAGGAACACUUUGUGUGCUACCAAACGUCACAACGUAACUGGGUGAAUAUAAAGGUGCUCUACAGGUGUCUCCAAAGGUACUUGGGUUGGCGUAUUUCGAGAUUAGGAUUUGUUACUCCGAUUGUCGGAGAGGUAUCUCUGGGCCCUCUCGGUAAUGCACAUCACUUAAGCCUUGCAAGCAUUGCAACUAAUGAGUUAGUUCUGAGAUGAUGUAUUACGGAACGAGUAAAGAGACUUGCCAGUAACGAGAUUGAACUAGGUAUUCAGAUACCGAUGAUCGAAUCUCGGGCAAGUAACAUACCGAUGACAAAGAACAACAUAUGUUGUUGCGGUUUGACCGAUAAAGAUCUUUGUAGAAUAUGUAGGAGCCAAUAUGAACAUCCAGGUUCCGCUAUUGGUUAUUGACCGGAAACAAUUCUAGGUCAUGUCUACAUAGUUCUCGAACCCGUAGGGUCCCCACGCUUAACGUUACGAUGACAGUUUUAUUAUGAGUUUAUAAGUUUUGAUGUACCGAAGGUUGUUCGGAGUCCCGGAUAUGAUCACGGACAUGACGAGGAGUCUUGAAAUGGUCGAGACAUAAANNNNNNNNNNNNNNNNNNNNNNNNNNNNNNNNNNNNNNNNNNNNNNNNNNNNNNNNNNNNNNNNNNNNNNNNNNNNNNNNNNNNNNNNNNNNNNNNNNNNNNNNNNNNNNNNNNNNNNNNNNNNNNNNNNNNNNNNNNNNNNNNNNNNNNNNNNNNNNNNNNNNNNNNNNNNNNNNNNNNNNNNNNNNNNNNNNNNNNNNNNNNNNNNNNNNNNNNNNNNNNNNNNNNNNNNNNNNNNNNNNNNNNNNNNNNNNNNNNNNNNNNNNNNNNNNNNNNNNNNNNNNNNNNNNNNNNNNNNNNNNNNNNNNNNNNNNNNNNNNNNNNNNNNNNNNNNNNNNNNNNNNNNNNNNNNNNNNNNNNNNNNNNNNNNNNNNNNNNNNNNNNNNNNNNNNNNNGUCCGAAUAGGACAAAGAAGGGGGGCGGCGCCCCCCUUUCCUCUUUCCCCUUCCCCCUUUCCUUCUCCUACAAGGCAAGAGGGGGGAGUCCUACUCACGGUGGGAGUAGGACUCCUCCAGGCGCACCCCUAGGGGCCGGCCGCACCUCCCCCCUCCCUCCUUUAUAUACGGGGGCAGGGGGCACCCCAUAACACACAAGUUGAUCUUCGUGAUCGUUCCUUAGCCGUGUGCGGUGCCCCCCUCCACCAUAUUCCACCUCGGUCAUAUUGUUGCGGUGCUUAGGCGAAGCCCUGCGUCGGUAGAACAUCAUCAUCGUCACCACGCCGUCGUGCUGAUGAAACUCAUCCCCAACACCCUGCUGGAUCGGAGUCCGGGGAUCAUCAUCGAGCUGAACGUGUGCUGAACUCGGAGGUGCCGUACGUUCGGUACUUGGAUCGGUCGGAUCAUGAAGACGUACGACUACAUCAACCGCGUUGUCAUAACGCUUCCGCUUUCGGUCUACGAGGGUACAUGGACAAUACUUUCCCCUCUCGUUGCUAUGCAUCACCAUGAUCUUGCGUGUGCGUAGGAAAUUUUUUGAAAUUACUACGUUCCCCAACACCAGGCCUUGGCCUGUUUUGAAAUAUAUAAGGUAGAAUCUCAUCUACCUUUCAUUUCAAAAAAAAGUAUAUGACACUCCCCAUUACAACCAGCCUAAGCAGAAAUAUACUACUGUUUAUUCCUUAUAGCCCGUUGACGCAACUCUAUUGUACUUGCUCUAAGCACAUCUAAGCACUUGCUAGCACCCUCUUGACCAUGGACCUUGACGGUGUACGUCACCUUGUGUCUCAUAAUUUUCCUCAUCAUCAUCUGAGUCCUAGAACAUCUCAGCCACAUCAUCAUUAGCAUGCAGCUGCCUUGUAGACAACGUGUGCAGAAGGAGUAGAGGCGACUGGGGACGCACCACCACCACGUCGUGGGCACUCCGUAUGUGCUCGUGUGCGUGCAGCAUGCGUGUUUUUCCAUCAGUGCUAGCUCUAAGGCUGAGGUUGCGGCUGUCUUUGUCUCCGACUAGUAGUUGAGCAACAACGGCAAAGAGGUGCUGCAAGAGAUGCGUAUGCGCCGUUGCGUGCGAGCUUCGCCGUAGCACGACGAACCGGACGUCGCCGCGGAUGGCGCAUGCCUCCAUGCAGCCGAGUGUGUGCGCAUGCAUGUGUUAUUCACGUGCAUUCUGCGGCCGAGCAUGUGUGCAUGCACGUCUUGUGUACGUGCGUUGUGUGCUCCAUGCUGUGCGUGUAUGUGCAUGAGUUGGAUCGGAUGGAGUUAGUGCGUUGGCUUGUGUACAUAUUUUAGAGUGUAGAUUCACUCAUUUUGUUUCGUAUGUAGUCCCUUUUUGAAAUAUCUAAAAAGACUUAUAUUUGGGAACGGAGGGAGUAUAAAACAUCUUCAACUUAGCAUCCUGAUGUACCGUUUCUAGUGGUUAGCGAAAAGUUCAUGUUCUUUUAGUUGUUUAUAGGUGGGCAGGCGGCAAAAAACAGGGGAAAACGCGCAAGGUUCCUUGCAGACGCUCCACCGCGAGGUUCCUUGCUCCCCCUCGGUCAUCGGGAAUCUAUGCUCUUCAACUCUUUUCUUUUACGUGAGCUUUGUUCAUCCUUUUCCCAACACGCGAGACAUCUAGCAUCAAGGUGCACGUGUCAUGCAAGAAAAUGGAGAUAAUCAAAUAAGUAGUGCUUAAGUGAGUCGUGCGGGGGGGGAGCGGGGGGAACCCUUUUCUGUAAGUGAGUCGUGCACUUCGAUGGCACCUACGCAAUAUUUUUUCUCCUCGAUGGCACGUGAAUGGCACGUGAAUAGUGCACAUACUCAACGACGGAGCACGGGAUGGUAGCAAUGACAUGGUCAGCCCUUUUUGGAGAGAGUACGUACUACUAGUAAAUAACUUUGAUGUGUCCCGUCAACUCGCAGAACAACGAGAAUCUUGAUUACGCCUUCUCCCUCGCCAACGCGUGCGCGGUGGCUCGCAACACGAGGAGAAACUUUUGCUUACAAGCGAUGGACGUGUAGCAGUUCAUUUGGUGUCAGAUUGCGAGAAGCACUACUGUAGAACCAUCAACUUCCGGAAGAAGCGAAGAUCCAAGCGCAAGGUCACCUACUAACCUUAGGCUAGGCGUAGUGGGAGUAACAUAAGUAGAGGUACCUCCUUUUUUUAUUCUAGAAACAACCACACGCGAAUAUCAAGGUGCUGGUUACGUAGAACAAAUUUCCUGCAGUUCAUGCUCAGCCCUCCUCUAUCUCUCUUCUCAGCCAGCCAGCGGACGCGCGGAGCCCAUCAUCUGUUUGCUCACAUGCGGCCCCACAUGUCAGUGAAAACGCAAGAGGACACACUGAACCUGCACAUCUUUCACCUCGAUGUGCUGGUGAUGAAAAUAAAUCCAAGAAAGAUCUUCGGUGGCCGCUUUUGGAGUUACUCAAGAGUAGUAAGAUUCUAUUUACAGUUUAACCCAAGAUGCACAUCUCGUGGCUUCAACUACCACUCUAUUUUCUUUCAUGACACGACCUGGAUGAUGGAUGUCCCACGUGUCAGCAAAAGGAGGAAGAACCCGACCAAAUCUUCGGUUGUGGUCUCAGAUUAGACUAGUUGUGGUAACUUAAAAAAAUUAUUGUGUACUCCCUCCGUUCCAAAAUACUUGACUUCCAUUUGUCCAAAAAUAGAUGUACCUAUAUACUAAAACAUGUCUAGAUACAUAUAUAUUUUGACAAAUAGAAGGCAUGUAUUGUGCAACAGAGGGAGUAGAAUGGAUGCAAAGUUUUUGUAUUGGGAAGAAGAGUACAUCCAUAUAUUGAUAGAACGCAAUUUAGUAGAUGUUCUAUCACUUUUAGCUAGCACAGAGGCUAUAGAUGAGAUUAGUGCACUUGUUGAUACUCCUACUUGGUAUGCGUGUUGCUGCUUAGAUGCAGAGAAAAACAGACCGGAGGGAGUACUAGAAUAGAGGCUAGACAUGAGACUAGAUGCGAGGAAGCAUUGUCUACUUCUUUACACUCGAAGAAGAAAGAAGCACGCAAGAUCGAGCCUCCGCAGAUCAACAAUGAAUGCAUCGAUAAGGCACUAAUCCAACUUACAGGAGUAGUAAAAUGUAUUCUUGUGGUUCUUGUUUUCUUUGGUCUUGCUUUUCUAGUCAAAAUUAUCGUUGGAGUUCGUGCGAAACGGAGGUCCGUUUGGGGUCGUGCGUUGCAGUUGGCCUUACAAGUGGGACUGCAGUUAAGGAAACCGACUAUCGGCAAACCCCCACCUCGCCCGUCGUGUGAUGGCUGAGUUAGAGAAAUGAUGAGGGUUGAAGAGAUUGCUCUAGCACGGACUCCAAGAAAUAUGGUGUCAGAUGGAAGUCGUGUUGGUGGCGUGUGUCGUACUCCUGGACGUGAAUGCUUGUUCUGGCCCAUGCCACCCUACUACUCCUACUACUUACUAUAUAGUACUACUAGUAUCGAGGAUUCAAGGUGCUGGUUACGUAGUACAAUAUGGCUACAGUAAAAACACCCGCACAACGCGCGAAGCAUGUGAAGCUAGUACAAAUAGUGUACUACUGUUGUUGAUUGGCCUCGUCCGAUAACCUAUUGCAAUGCACGUACAAUUAUGUAUUUCGAAAAUAUUUUUUUGCCUCGUCGCACCACUCACUCACAGAAGUGACUCGAAAGCCAUUCAUAAAUUUAGUAAGUUUAUCACAGGCAUAUCAUUUUAUUACAUACAACAGGUCAUCAACCCACAUCGACAACAAGGAUACAUUAUAAAUACUAAAGUUUUCACCACACAACAAAUAACAAGCAAUGAAAUGAACUUCAACUCAACCAUUCCUCGGCGUUGGAAACGCUUGCUUUGAACCACAAGUGAUUCUCUGAGACGGGCCAUCCAUUGUCGAUCUGGAGACCAACGCAGGACUGAUCAUCCAGGCUGAAGCGGCCUACUAUAUCAGUACCAGGGUAGGGAACCACCCAAAUAUACGAGGUAUAGACACUGUUGCUUAUCAUAAAUGGUAGUAGCGUUAUGUCAACAGCAGUUGGAUCGCCUUUCACCAUCAUUGGAUAGUUUUGUCCAAGGAAGAGCGAGUUUUCUCCAAGACUAUCAAUUCUGUACCAAGGAGACGGAGUUGGCGCUAGCACACUAGUAUCCAUCCCGAAUACCAUGCAACGGGUGUUGGAAUAGGUCCGGAGAGUGCGACCAUGGGAGACUACACCUGCUUCCUUAGCAAUAACAUCAUCAGUGGGCUGUAUACACACGAGAAGAGGUGAUCCAUCGGAAUUAGUUGCCAGGCGCCAAAUAGUAUAUGGGCGCUGCUCGUCCUCAUGCUCGUGAUCAUCACCAUCAUCAUCUCCCCCUUGGUUAUAAAAAUCUUCAAGUAUAGGUGGUGGAAUGUUCGCAGGACCUUGGAAACACAAGAAGAAGGUUAAUUAGUAAAGGGAAACUUGCUAACCCGCAUGCAUGUGGAUGAAACAGUUAUAAUUACGGUGGAAGAUAAACGUACCGAAACAACGAUUCCAUGCAAAAACAGUGCCACGAGUGGUGGCAGCAAACACAAGGCCCUCGUAUUCAAUUGCAUCACAGUACUCAUUCGUGUACAGAAAUUGAUUUUUGAGCAAUAUCCAUCGAGUCAAACCAGCAAGGACGGCAACAAGCUUGUCGAAUAGAGCGACAACUUCGUAGUUGUUGUAAUUCCAAGAGCGGUUGGGAACUCGAGAAAUUGCUAUCUUCCGUAGAAGAUAGUCACCAUGAUUGUAUUUGAACGUGCGUACAAUACCGGUGUGCUCAACCUCUGGGCAGUCUGCUAAGAUUUUUGGAAGUGGAACCCGGUCACGAGUGUACACAUUCACAAGUUCCCACUCGCAGUUGGACCCAAUGUAAACAACCCAAUCUCCAUUUGCGCCUGCCCAAGCCUUUCCCUCAAGUGAUGGCAUCUUAACAUCAUACAUAUCAUUAUCAAGCGGCAUCAAAUUGCACAGGGCGAGGCCUCCGUCGUGACGGCGCCAGUCAUGGGGUCACGGCGAAGAAGAUAGGGGAGAUCAAACCGCUCCUUGACUCUUGGGUUCCUUGUAAUGAUGUUAUUAGUUGAGUCAAGAAUGGGCCUGAACGAACCUGCCAUGCUAGCCGAGGUGAUGACGUCGCACCGAUCAAUGAGUUCCUCCAUCAUGUCAUCUUUCAGAUCGGGGCAAGAAUAACGGGGUCGUUUCCGUCCUGUUCCCUCCAUGGAGAAGACGAUCGAAUAAUGGCAGAAGAAAGGGUGAAGGGCUGAAGGAAAAUGGAGGAGGGAGAGGAAGAGCGUGCAACAGCAGUUCCAAAUCGAGAGGGAAAGGCGAAGAGUCGGUGGACGGUUGCCAGUUUGCCACGGUUCACGAAGGGGCGCCUCGGCCUACACGUCGGUUCAGAAAUACUCCUACUACUCGCCGUCAUCUCACUGAUAUGUUGGAACGGGACCAUAUGUCAAUGAAACAUGGUGUGUAAUUUCUCGUGCAAAAUGCGAUCUGGCCGCGUUGGCCCGAGGUGCCACAUUAGUUUUUUUUUGAAAGUUUGCCGCAUUAGUUAUCGACCUUUAUUUUUUUUAACAUGCAAUCUGAAUGGAUAGCUCCUGUGGUCAUCACACGUUAGCGGAUAUAGUGAUGGUUGAUUCGCCCAAGCAACUUAUUACUGUGGGAAUAUAGGAGUACCAGUGGAUUCAAGGAACAGAGAAAUGAUGGUUGCUUCGUCCGAGCAACUUACUGUGGCGAAGGUGGGGCUCUGUGAUUUGACUGCUCACUAGUCAUUACUACUGCGACGCAACGACCGGGGUGAAUCUUUCCCUGAAGUUGUGUUGUGCACUCAAUAUUGCUGCAUGGUAGGUGGAGCCGGAUGAAGGAUGUCCAACAUGUCGGCGAAACGAAGUUGAAUUGUUUCGGGCAUUGCUAUCAAUCCUUCAGGAUUUGUUUAUAUGUACGCAUAAUUUUGAUGAAAUUGUACUAUGAUGCUAUGAAGGUUUCAACUCUGGUUCCCGCAGGAAAAAAAAGGUUUCAACUUAGGAUUCAUGUGUCUUGCCUCGAGAUUAUCUCGUUACAACAUUCCAUCAAAUACAAACGAAACUACCAUGGCUAAUGCAUCUCCAUAGUUCGCAGAUCAGCACCAAUAUUCACAUCACAACUGAAGACAAAGUUGUGAGAAGGUGUACAAAUAAAGAAAAAAUUAUAAUUGAUCGAUGUUGUUCGUAGGCAUGGCUCCAUUUCCUUGGCACAGUGUUCAUUGCUUGGCAGCUAGUUUCACCCAGCUCUUUAGCCAAAAAUAGGUGUAUGAAGGACACCACAAACCGAUCAUUUUGUGCAGCUCCACUAAAAUCGGGCGGACCAUCCCUGUUUGCAAAGAUAUCCAGUCAGUGUGAUUACAAUAAUAGUGGAACUAGAUGAUGAAACAUAACACACAUAAAUAGAAGCCGAUCACCUCUACGAUCUCUCUUUAGGACUAACUUCUUGUUGGAGAAGAUUAGGCACGGAGUUGAUGAGGAGGAUAGCAAAACCAAUCUCCCUUUCCGCAGUCCCACAGAAAUGUAAAAACGUUGCCUGUGUGACAUUUUGGCAGAACUGCAUAAAACACUCUUCAGAAAAGUGAUUUGUGCAGUUCACCAAAAGGUCGCAAUAGCAACAAGGUGAAAAUGGAUAGCCAUGUUUGCAAAAGGAGGUCGAAAGGAAACAAUUAUUGCCCAAUAACACGAGUUGAAGACACAUACGCCGACAAAAAAGAAGCAUGUUCCAUGUAAAAAGGGAAAGAUAGCACAUGGUGGUUUAUCAAAAAUGGUUUGAGGACGAGAUUGCAAGAUGGAAACUACGCCGGCCGAGAUACGAUUUAAGCAAACAACUAAAGAAGAUCCACAUGCAGCAACGUGGGAAGAUGGGCAGUGGAGCAAGGCCGGAGGAAGCUGUACCUGAGGGUCGUCAGGAUGUUACUAGGAGGGCGCCGGCGGCCGGGAUCUGCCCAUACUGCGGCAGCGAGCAAGUGGCGAAGGCCCUACCGCGCCGGAGCUUGGUCAGAGAGAACGGCGGGUACCGCAGAUCGGGACGAGCUGCCUCAACGCCAUCGAACGGAGAGACGAUGCACAUCCUCCCUUUCCGUCGGCGGACGGGAUGCGGUCGGAUCACUGACCAACGCUGAGAGAGAGAGGCCAUGGCGGCCUUGUGUGAGAUUGUGUGACGAGACUCACGAGAGACAAACCCAUUUUUCCAUUUUCCCCACGGCAAUCGUUUUAUAUUCUAGGCGUGGUACCCGACCCUCCUUCGAGUAAACAACCGCUACACACGUCAAAUUAUCACGUGGGCUGCCUUUUCAUACAGAAACAAACUCCACCAUGUACCCGCGCGGGUGUGGCCGGGAACGAGACGUGAGUAUGUGCGUCCUGCGUGCACUUCUUCUUUAGGUGCAGGUAUGUACGUGGGUGGGUGUGAGAGAGAUGGUUUGUGCGAAACAGAGGCAAUGUGUUGAUGACAUCUCAAUCAGAAAAACAUAACAUAUGCAAUGUGUGUGAAACAGAGUCAUGGACGUGAGAUAUCGAUAGAAUUGAAAACAUGGAUGAAGUGUGUGGCUGCGCGAUCGAUAAAUAGUGCCAUCGAAUUUGUGUUUGCCCCGUCAAAGAUACAGGGCGGCUGGCCUACUGGAAUUUGAGAGGGCAGAGGUGCAGUUCUUCUCCGUGGCAUGGAUACCUACCUAGAACAUUCGACUAUCGGUGUGUGGGGGGGGAGAGAUCGGUUGACUAGUAUAUGUGUGGGGAAGGAGAGAGACCUAGCUAUGUAUUGAGGAAGAUCGAUCGACAUCCAUGGAUAUGUGUAGCAGAGGAAUAAGGUUGGGAAAAAUACAAAGGUAGAGCGUCGGAGGGUUGGUGGUGGAGUGGCGUCUCACAAUGGUGGGAGAGGCCUGCUAGACAAACGGAGGGUAUGAGUGCAAUAUCAAUAAGAGAGGGUGGGGGAUGUCUGUCUGUCUAUGCACGUGCGUGUGAGAGACGGGUCGAGAGGUAUUCAAGGAUGAUGAGGGGAAAAGAUAUGGUUGUGGUAAGCAUGCGUAACUACAUAGGAAGAUCAACCAUCGUGUGUCCGAGAAAAGGAGAGACAUAACUAGCGAGGUAAGUGUAUCGGUACUUGGUGAAAACGAAUUAUAGUCGACCUGGCUAUAUGUAGGGAGAUCAGUUCAUAUACACACCUGCAUGUGUUAGAAGCAAAUAAGGUCCGGAGAGGCAGACAGGGGGAGAGGGUGUGGCUAGGAGGUGGUGCGAGAGGCCUACCAUGUCGAGGGGGGAGGAGUGUGCGAGCAUGUGAUUAAUGAAAAGAGGGGCAGGAGUGUGCACCUGCGUGGAAUCGUAUUGGACAUAUGGGGGCAUGGACGGUGAGAAGAGAAGAGGGGAAGUAUAUAUGUGUUUGUUGUAGGCACACUUCGCUAGAGAGGUAUAUCGACCGGUGUGUGCCAGGAAGAAGGAGCCGGGGGCCUACACACACCGCUAGUGGACGACCUAAAGAGAAAUAAUGAACGUGCGCGAUGGAGGGGACGCUAAGGGUGUGUGAGGGGGGCGGGCGUGUGCAUGCACGAUAGAAAGUUAGCGCUAGCUAGCUACAAAUAGAAGAGGAUCGUGAAGGUGUAAAAGACGAACAAACAUCAUAAUUCAUUAUAAAAAGGUGGAUACAGAUACUUGAAGAAGAUAUCAUAAUGUAGAACAUUGAUUAUAAUUUGGGCUAAUGUGUGGCUUUUGCAACUCAGGUCUAAAUACUUGUCAUAACGUAGGGGGCGGGGCACUAUACUUUGUGUGAUAAACACGGUGUAUGUAUGGAACAUGGUUUAGAUUAUGAAUAUAUAGUUAGUACAUCAAAUGUACUAUUAUUUGGAAUCAACAUCAAGUGUAUUCAAAAAAUAGAAUUCGAGUUCAUGUAGUACACAUAGUUCAUAUCUAUCUCUAUAGUAAUCAUGUGGUGUGUUAUUAAGGUAAUACACGAAUGAUGGUUGAAGUUCGCAACAAUCAUGAUUGUAGAUUCUUAUUGAAAUAGAGAAACGAAUUCAAAUUUAGUUCGAAUUGCAGCGGUAGUAUAGACAUUUGGAAUGCACUAAAAUGUUGGUAUGAGUAGGUUACAUGCAUUAUACAGCAAGCGAAAAAAUUUAAUCGGACAUAACAUGGAUUCAUACUCCCUCCUUCCAUCUAUAUAGGGUGUAAUGAGAUUUUUAAGACCGCCUUUGACUAUUGACAAGAUUAAUAGUAUAUGACAUGCACAAUGUGAAAGUUAUAUCAUUGACAAGAUUAAUACGUACCAAAUCAAUUCACAGACGAAGUUAACGGUGUGCUUUGUGUAAGUUGCAUGUCAUAUAUCAUUGCUCUAAUAUUUGGUCAAAGUUAGCAUCGAAAAACGCAUUAGGCCCUAUAUAGAUGGAAGGAGGGAGUAGCUUUGAAUAGCAUUUGUACAGUAAAACGGGGCAAGACUCUCUCUUUGUGUGGUGUGAAUAGUUUUAUUUUUUUUCGUUUUCUUUUUGGUUGAGGGAAGUGUGAAUUGAUUUGGUACGUACAAGUACAAUAUUAGUACACGUUAGGCUUGUCCCUAAAAUUCAAUCCGCGUCUUGUUAUAUCCCGAAAAUUCAGAUAUCGUGCUCCCAAAAGUGGCGCCUUCACAACCCGCGCCUUGCUAUCCCGAAAUUACAACGCGCGUGAAAACUCCCUCCAGCUGCCAAAUCCCGACACGCGAAAUCCCCCUUCUAACCCUGAGCCAAAAGGGCCGCUAGUUCAAAUCGGUGGGGGGUACUUUUGUAACACACCCUACAUUUUGGACAAGCGCGUCCCUAAGUCAUGCUUCACCCCCUCCCAGCGCCCCCUUUUCGCCAUUCAAAAUCCUAGGCCGCCAUAACCUCUUCGCUCCAGCCGCGAAACCCCACCCUCCUCCGUCCGCCACGUCACUGCUGCCCAGCCGGAGCCUCUUCCCCGACGACGUCGUCCACCGCAACAGCUCGACGUCCCUCGUCCACCUCCCCGGAUGAGGAUCCGUCGUCCAUCUCGCCGUCCAGCCUGUUCAGCCGCCCCGUCCUCCACCUCCAAGGAGCUACUCCGACGAUCGCCUCGUCUAUCGCGGGUCGCGGCUGCUCCAUCCCCACAGCGCCGCCUUAACUUGCUCCACCGGAACCGCAGCAUCCUCACCGACUCCUCAGACGAAGCCGAGGCCUACUCGGUGCCACCAAAGAGGUUGUACACUCAUCGCAUCGCACCUUCUCCUUAACUCGACCUCCCGGCACCGACGGUGCUCCAUCCUGCACCCCCAUGGAGCAGCUACCUUGAAGCCGGCGCCGCAGGCGACAUCUCCAUGGCGGCUCUCCCCUAGUGCGAGGCCCCUUCGGCGGCGGCGGCCAUACCAGCCGGAUCUGCUGCUGCUGCUCUGGCUCUCGCUCGCUCGCUUGCGUUGUUGCUGCUGCUCGGGCUCUAGCUCGAUCGCUCGCUCGCCCAGCUGUUGCUGCUGCUCUCCCCCUCGCUCGUGCUGCUGCUCUGGUCCGAUUAAGCCACACUUCAGUCGACUGAAUCGACUCUUGGGUCAGUCGAUUUUCAGGGGUUGGGGGGGGGCUCGCCGGAGUUAAGGAAGAACCACCCGCAGCGGGGACGGGGGCUCGCCGGAGAGGUACCCCACUAUCUAUCUUAGGGUUCAGGGUGGGGGCGGGGGGCCUAGAGGGCUGGUCGGGGCGGCGGUGGCGAGUUGUUUCGGGGCAGCGAGGCGGCGCUGGGGCCGGCGGUUCGGCCGGUGGUGGCUGGUGGAUCAGGGGGGUGCAGGUUGAAGAUAAAUUGCAGGCCCUCCCUCAACUACAUGUCAAGUGCCUCUCUGCUACCAUUGCGUUCAGUUUCGAUAGUAGCAUUCAGAUUCCACAGUAAAUUUCAGUUUCGAUAGUUAAGUUCAGAGUCAACAGUUUUUACCUCAUCUGUUGUAGUCAGGUGGUUUUUGGUGAUGUUAAUUUUACAUCCAUUUUACAUCAUAUAUUGGAGAUGCUAUUAGAAUCCCACUUGAGAUUGACGAUGUCUGUCUUGUGCUGCUUCAGCCUUGACGUCUUACGGCUCACCGGAGCUGCUCCAAUAAUAGAACGAUUCAUCACAAUAGAGCAGUGCCCUGGACGCCGUCUAUAGAUUCCUUAGAUGUUCCUCCACACCUCCGACAGCCACCUCUGCCUCAACUGCUUCAGCGACCAACCCAGUGAUGCUGAGGUCGACACGGCUAUGGCAAAGAGGUUGUACACUUGUUGCAUCACUUAUUACUAUACAUUCACGUCAGUCCAUUAGGGCUAUUUUGGUUCAACGGAAAAACAUAGCAAUAGGGAAUUUUCCAAUGGCACUCUACUAUUCAAUUAUUCAUGCAAUAAACUACUCUUCCUGUAAAUCAGCCAUUUGGGUGGGAGAUGGAAAAAUCUGGAGUGGAAACAAGGCCUUCAGAGCAGACAGUGCUACCUGUCGAAGCAGAUCUCUUGUUGGGUCCCGAUAGCUCCUCAGAGAUGGAUUCAGAGAUAGAUGACCAGUCCUAUUCCCCUACUGAGGUGUAUGCUCUAACUUGGCACGGUUAUACUGCUCAUAUCAUGCAUACGGUGUCUUGCAUUGCAUAGUUUAGACAUCAUAUACACAAUAUUCAACACCAUGUUCUUAGUUCAGGCAUCAUAUCGAAUGCCCUCUGUUUAGCAUAUAAAUCACAUAUGUGAAUUAAAUGAUGCGAUCCUGAUUACUUAGAUAACAUGUAGGUGAAUUAUGUCAUGUGAUCCUGUUUAGUUAUUCAUCAUAUCUUUGAAUUAUGUUAUGCUAUGCUAUCCAGUUUAGAUAGACAUCAGAUAUGUGAAAUUAUGUCAUACUAUCCAUUUUAGUUAAACAAUAUACAUGUCAACUAUUUCAUGCCCUCUUUUUUCCACACUUUCUAUUGUAUCUGUCUCUCAUACAAUGUCUGUACAUUCAACUAUGUUUCCUGUUUAUCAGCCAUUUGAAUUGGAGCGGCUGAUGCCAGUAUCUAGCGGAAUAAAAACAUGGUCUUCAAAUAAAACAGUGCUACCUCUUGGUGGAGAUAGCAACCCGGUUGUACAUGCACAAGAACCAGCCCUACCACACAUAACCCAAACUCUCGCAGAUUGUACCCCUACUGCGAUGGACAAAGAACCAACUUCACCCAAUCUAACCCCAACUCCAGCUGCUAGUAACCCAGUUCCUGUUGACACAACACCAUCUCCACCAUAGAGCUCCCAAACAAGAGCAGUUAGUAAGGCAGCUCUAGUGCCCAAAGGGCCAGUACUAUCACGGCGAACCCCAACUCCACCAGUUAGUACGCCUAUUCCUAUGGAGGAAGCACAACCAGCCAGUCGUAGUUUAGCAUCUAUCGCAUUUGAUGUUGUUAAAUCGUAUGUGUGUAUCUUCCCAUCUUGGAAAUAUUAUACUGAAGAUGAAGGAAAAUGCCAGUUGCAGGUGUUUGUCCAGGAGUUAUGUGUAAGUAAUGUUAUUCGUGGCAAUUACUUUGCUUCGUCCCAUACAUCCUACCUCCAUGAUGGUUAUAAUACAACAAAUUUUUCCCAUUUUUCUCUAUAGAGAAGGACCGAUUUGGAAACUCAGGAUGAGGUAACCUGUGCUAAUACCUCUGCUAUCUUCAAGAAUGCUUGGUGGCAGUAUCGGUAUUACCUGAAGAAAACGUACUUCACCGGCAAAGAAACUCAUCAAAUUACCUUAUGUUCUCCUAAACACAUUUAUUGGACGAUGACUGGGAACGCCAUGUUCUAUACUGGUCCCGAAUCAAGAAGGUGGUAAGGUCUAUGAGCUCAUUUUCUAUUUUUAAGUAUUAUAUCCUUGCGUCUUACUAUACUCUGUUCAUGUAGAACAAGUGCCUAAACCUGAAGAACAACUGUUCUAAUUUAAGAUUCCAUUGCUAUCAUAGUUCAAAAAAGCGCUAGGCGUUAAUUGUGCGUUUUGCCACCGCCUUGCACUUUACUGACCAAAGCGCAUGCUUAUGCGCAGUUAUGCACAGAUUAAGCGUAGUUAUGCGUAAUGCAUUUUACCAACGCCUAGAGCCUAGGCGCGCUUAAGCGCUCACUUAGGCGCGCCUUUUUUAACUACGAUUGCUUUGCUCUUGUAUCACUGUAUUUACUGAUACAAACUUAUUUUUAAAUUGAAGGAUCCAAUCGAAACUCCAAUGGCACAUCAGGUAUGUUCACGCAUGUUUCUUUAACAGGUUUGCUCUUAUCAAUAGCUCUUUUGAUUUCAAUUUCAAUUGUGUAUACAGUUGACUUUCAUAUCAUGCACAUUACUAGCAUCACAACAGAGCCAAUAGUGUUGUUGUACAUGUAGACCCGUGGUACCCAUCUGAAAUCUUGUUGUACCGUGUAGUUUCCCAUGCUUUGUAUUCUUUCACUGCUACUUUGUCUUGAACUAAUAUGAUUUGAACCGUGUCUCUAUUUUGAUUUGGCAAGACAAUGCAGUGACCAUAGGACAUAGAUAUAUGUUUGUUUGAUGCUUUUAUUAUGUACUAGUACUUGGCAAUAGAAGACUUGGUAGUUUAAUCCUGUCCACCUUACUAAUGAACUGGUUCACCGAAAUGAGUUUCAUAUACUAGUAUAUACUAAACUUGUUAUGUGUCUACUUGUUUCUUCUUUUAGAAUGCUGACAGAAUAUUGGGGAAGAGUGCCUUAUUAAGCAAUGGUAAAGGAAGUAAUGCAGAUAAAGUUCAGAAUAGUGACACAUCCUUGUUGGUCUCCAACAAAGCUGAUAAAAUAGCUAAGGAAGACUAUCUUGAAGACAGCGAGACAACCCCAAAGUCAUGUCUUGGUUUAGUGUUCGAGUUACUGGCCACUACCGCUUGCACAAGCUAUUCAAACUCACUGUCUAAAUCAGUUCGGUUUCUUGAGUCUCAACUACAAGAUGAAAGACAUCGAUCAGCUGUGCUGCGACAAGAAGCGGAAGGACUGCGAAAGUCCCUGGAGCAUUCAGAUGCAUACUUUCAGGUGCAAUAGCAAGCGUUGGAGGAUUUUAGCGCCAAACGGGACAAAGCUAAUCAGCUUGCUAAGCUUAUUGCCAGCAUGGUGGAUACCCAGGAUAACGUUGUUGGAAAUAUGCCCUAGAGGCAAUAAUAAAUUAGUUAUUAUUAUUAUAUUUCUUUGUUCAUGAUAAUCGUUUAUUAUCCAUGCUAUAAUUGUAUUGAUAGGAAACUCAGAUACAUGUGUGGAUACAUAGACAACACCAUGUCCUUAGUAAGCAUCUAGUUGACUAGCUCGUUGAUCAAUAGAUGGUUACUGUUUCCUGACCAUGGACAUUGGAUGUUGUUGAUAACGGGAUCACAUCAUUAGGAGAAUGAUGUGAUGGACAAGACCCAAUCCUAAGCCUAGCACAAAGAUCGUGUAGUUCCUAUGCUAAAGCUUUUAUAAUGUCAAGUAUCAUUUCCUUAGACCAUGAGAUUGUGCAACUCCCGGAUACCGUAGGAAUUCUUUGGGUGUACCAAAUGUCACAACGUAACUGGGUGGCUAUAAAGGUACGCUAUGGGUAUCUCCGAAAGUGUCUGUUGGGUUGGCACGAAUCGAGAUUGGGAUUUGUCACUCCGGUUAACGGAGAGGUAUCUCUGGGCCCACUCGGUAGGACAUCAUCAUAAUGUGCACAAUGAGACCAAGGGGUUGAUCACGGGAUGAUGUGUUACGGAAUGAGUAAAGAGACUUGCCGGUAACGAGAUUGAACAAGGUAUCGGCAUACCGACGAUCGAAUCUCGGGGAAGUACAAUACCACUAGACAAAGGGAAUUGUAUACGGGAUUGAUCGAAUCCUUGACAUCGUGGUUCAUCAGAUGAGAUCAUCGUGGAACAUGUGGGAGCCAACAUGGGUAUCCAGAUCCGCUGUUGGUUAUUGACCGGAGAACGUCUCGGUCAUGUCUGCAUGGUUCCCGAACCCGUAGGGUCUACACACUUAAGGUUCGAUAACGCUAGUGUUAUAGGGAAUAGAUGUAUGUGGUUACCGAAUGUUGUUCGGAGUCCCGGAUGAGAUCCCGGACGUCACGAGGAGUUCCGGAAGGGUCCGGAGGUAAAGAUUUAUAUAUGGAAAGUUGUUGUUCGGGUUCCGCGAAAAGUUCGGUUUUUUCCGGUAUUGUACCGGGAAGCUUCCGGAAGGUUCCGGAAGAUUCCGGAGGGGUCCGGAGGUCCGGAAAAUGUUCCACCACGUCCAAUACAGCAGCAUGGGCUGUAAGGGGGCGCCCUAGCCUUAAUGGGCCAGGGGCACCAGCCCCCCCAAGGCCCAUGCGCAUGGGAGAGGGGAAACCCUAAAGGGGAGGGCCUCCACUUGACUUGGGAGGCACUCCUCCCCCCCUUGGCCGCCGCCCCCAACCCUAGAUGGGAUCUAGGGGGCGGCCCCCCUCUCUCCCCACCUAUAAAUAGUGGAUGGGUGGGAGGGCAGCCGGCACUAAGUUCUGGCGCAGCCCUCCCCUUCUCCCAAGUCCUCCCCCUCUCCCGCGGUGCUUGGCAAAGCCCUGCAGGAUUGCCACGCUCCUCCAUCACCACCACGCCGUUGUGCUGCUGCUGGAUGGAGUCUUCCUCAACCUCUCCCUCUCUCCUUGCUAGAUCAAGGCAUGGGAGACGUCACCAGGCUGUACGUGUGUUGAACGCCGAGGUGCCGUCCGUUCGGCACUAGGAUCUCCGGUGAUUUAGAUCACGACGAGUAUGACUCCUUCAACCCCGUUCUCUUGAACGCUCCCUCUUAGCGAUCUACAAGGGUAUGUAGAUGCACUCUCCUUCCCCUCGUUGUUGGUUUCUCCAUAUAUAGAUCUUGGUGACACGUAGGAAAAUUUUGAAUUUCUGCUACAUUCCCCAACAGUGGCAUCACGAGCUAGGUCUAUUGCGUAUAUUCUAUGCACAAGUAGAACACAAAGUAGUUGUGGGCGUUGAUUUUGUUCAAUAUGCUUACCGUUACUAGUCCAAUCUUGAUUCAGCGGCAUUGUGGGAUGAAGCGGCCCGGACCGACCUUACACGUACACUUAUGUGAGACAGGUUCCACCGACUGACAUGCACUUGUUGCAUAAGGUGGCUAGCGGGUGCCAGUCUCUCCCACUUUAGUCGGAUCGGAUUCGAUGAAAAGGGUCCUUAUGAAGGGUAAAUAGCAAUUGGCAUAUCACGUUGUGGCUUUUGCGUAGGUAAGAAACGUUCUUGCUAGAAACCCAUAGCAGCCACGUAAAACAUGCAAACAACAAUUAGAGGACGUCUAACUUGUUUUUGCAGGGUAUGCUAUGUGAUGUGAUAUGGCCAAGAAGAAUGUGAUGAAUGAUAUGUGAUGUAUGAGAUUGAUCAUGUUCUUGUAAUAGGAAUCACGACUUGCAUGUCGAUGAGUAUGACAACCGGCAGGAGCCAUAUGAGUUGUCUUUAUUUAUUGUAUGACAUGUGCGUCAUUGAACAACGCCAUGUAAUUACUUUACUUUAUUACUAACCGGUAGCCAUAGUAGUAGAAGUAAAAAGUUGGCGAGACAACUUCAUGGAGACACGAUGAUGGAGAUCAUGGUGUCAUGUCGGUGACGAUGAUGGAGACACGAAGAUGGAGAUCAAAAGGAGCAAAAUGAUAUUGGCCAUAUCAUGUCACUUUUUGAUUGCAUGUGAUGUUUAUCAUGUUUAUGCAUCUUAUUUGCUUAGAACGACGGUAGUAAAUAAGAUGAUCCCUCACUGAAAUUUCAAGAAAGUGUUCCCCUUAACUGUGCACCGUUGUGAAAGUUCGUCGUUUCGAAGCACCACGUGAUGAUCGGGUGUGAUAGAUUCUUGUUGGAAAUAUGCCCUAGAGGCAAUAAUAAAAGGAUUAUUAUUAUAUUUCCUUGUUCAUGAUAAUUGUCUUCAUGCUAUAAUUGUAUUAUCCAGAAAUCGUAAUACACGUGUGAAUACAUAGACCACAAUAUGUCCCUAGUGAGCCUCUAGUUGACUAGCUCGUUGAUCAACAGAUAGUCAUGGUUUCCUGACUAUGGACAUUAGAUGUCAUUGAUAACGGGAUCACAUCAUUAGGAGAAUGAUGUGAUGGACAAGACCCAAUCCUAAGCAUAGCACAAGAUCGUGUAGUUCGUUUUGCUAGAGCUUUUCCAAUGUCAAGUAUCUUUUCCUUGGACCAUGAGAUCGUGUAACUCCCGGAUACCGUAGGAGUGCUUUGGGUGUACCAAAUGUCACAACGUAACUGGGUGACUAUAAAGGUGCACUACAGGUAUCUCCGAAAGUGUCUGUUGGGUUGACACGGAUCGAGACUGGGAUUUGCCACUCCGUAUGACGGAGAGGUAUCUCUGGGCCCACUCGGUAAUGCAUCAUCAUAAUGAGCUCAAAGUGACCAAGUGUCUGGUCACAGGAUCAUGCAUUACGAUACGAGUAAAGUGACUUGCCGGUAACGAGAUUGAACGAGGUAUUGGGAUACCGACGAUCGAAUCUCGGGCAAGUAACAUACCGAUUGACAAAGGGAAUUGUAUACGGGGUUGCUUAAAUCCUCGACAUCGUGGUUCAUCCGAUGAGAUCAUCGAGGAAUAUGUGGAAGCCAACAUGGGUAUCCAGAUCCCGCUGUUGGUUAUUGACCGGAGCGCCAUCUCGGUCAUGUCUACAUGUCUCCCGAACCCGUAGGGUCUACACACUUAAGGUCCGGUGACCCUAGGGUUGUAUGAAUAUGAGUAUGCAGCAAACCGAAAGUUGUUCGGAGUCCCGGAUGAGAUCCUGGACGUCAAGAGGAGUUCCAGAAUAGUCCAGAGGUAAAGAUUUAUAUAUAGGAAGUGCAGUUUUGGCCAUCGGGAGAGUUUCAGGGGUCACCGGCAUUAUACCGGGACCACCGGAAGGGUCCCGGGGGUCCACCGGGUGGGGCCACCUAUCCCGGAGGGCCCCGUGGGCUGAAGUGGGGAGGGGACCAGCCCCUGGUGGGCUGGUGCGCCCCCCUUGGGCCCCCCUACGCCUAGGGUUGGAAACCGUGGGGUGGGGGGCGCCUCCACUUGCCUUGGGGGGCACUCCACCCCCUGGCCGCCGCCCCCCCUUGGAGAUGCCAUCUCCUAGGGCCGGCGCCCCCCCCCCCCAGGGGGCCUAUAUAAAGGAGGGGGAGGGAGGGCAGCCGCACCCUAAAGUUUUGGCGCCUCCCUCUCCCCUGCUACACCUCUCCCUCUCGCAGAAGCUCGGCGAAGCUCUGCCGGAACCCUGCUGCAUCCACCAGCACGCCGUCAUGCUGCUGGAUCUUCAUCAACCUCUCCUUCCCCCUUGCUGGAUCAAGAAGGAGGAGACGUCAUCCGCUCCGUACGUGUGUUGAACGCGGAGGUGCUGUCCGUUCGGCACUUGGUCCUCGGUGAUUUGGAUCACGACGAGUACGACUCCCUCAACCCCGUUCUCUUGAACGCUUUCGCUCGCAAUCUACAAAGGUAUGUAGAUGCACUACUAUCACUCGUUGCUAGAUGAACUCAUAGAUGGAUCUUGGUGAAACCGUAGGAAAAUUUUUAUUUUCUGCAAUGUUCCCUAACAAUUCUAACGUUCACAUACAACGGGUGUAAGCCAGAUUUACACAUGCGAAACACUUAGGUUGACUUGACGAGCCUAGCAUGUACAGACAUGGCCUCGGAACACAAGAGACCGAAAGGUCGAGCAUGAGUCGUAUGGUAGAUACGAUCAACAUGAAGAUGUUCACCGAUGAUGACUAGUCCGUCUCACGUGAUGAUCGGACAUGACCUAGUUGACUCGGAUCGUGUAAUCACUUAGAUGACUAGAGGGAUGUCUAUCUGAGUGGGAGUUCAUAAGAUGAACUUAAUUAUCCUGAACAUAGUCAAAAGAUUCUUGCAAAUUAUGUCGUAGCUCGCGCUUUAGUUCUACUGUUUUAGAUAUGUUCCUAGAGAAAAUUUAGUUGAAAGUUGAUAGUAGCAAUUAUGCGGACUGGGUCCAUAAACUGAGGAUUGUCCCCGUUGCUUCGUAGAAGGCUUAUGUCCUUAAUGCACCGCUCAGUGUGCUGAACCUCGAACGUCGUGUGUGGAUGUUGCGAAAAUUUGACAUACACGUUUUGAUAACUACGUGAUAGUUCAGUUAAACGGUUUAGAGUUGAGGCACCAAAGACGAUUUCAAAACGUUGCGGAACAUAUGAGAUGUUUCGAGGGCUGAAAUUGGGAUUUCAGGCUCGUGCCCACGUCAAGAGGUAUGAGACCUCCGACGAUUUUCUUAGCCUGCAAACUAAGGGAGAAAAGCUCAAUCGUUGAGCUUGUGCUCAGAUUGUCUAAGUACAACAAUCACUUGAAUCGAGUGGGAGUUAAUCUUCCAGAUGAGAUAGUGAUGUUUCUCCAAAGUCAUUGUCACCAAGCUACUAGAGCUUCGUGAUGAACUACAACAUAUCAGGGAUAGAUAUGAUGAUCCUUGAAGUAUUCACGAUGUUUGACACCGCGAAAGUAGAAGUCAAGUAGGAGCAUCAAUUGUUGAUGGUUAGUAAAACCACUAGUUUCAAGAAGGGCAAGGGCAAGAAGGGAUACUUCAUGAAACAGCAAAACAGUUGCUGCUCUAGUGAAAACCCAAGGUUGAACCCAAACCCGAGACUAAGUGCUUCUGUAAUGAGAGGAACGGACACUAAAGCAGAACCACCCUAGAUACUUGGUAGAUAAGAAGGCAGGCAAGGUCGACGGAAGUAUAUUGGAUAUACAUGUGUACUUUACUAGUACUCCUAGUAGCACCAGGGGAUUAGAUACCGGUUCGGUUGCUAAGUGUUGGUAACUCGAAAUAAAAGCUACGGAAUAAACAGAGACUAGCUAAAGGUGAGCUGACGAUAUGUGUUGGAAGUGUUUCCAAGGUUGAUGUGAUCAAGCAUCGCACGCUCCCUCUACCAUCGAGAUUGGUGUUAAACCUAAAUAAAUGUUAUUUGGCGUUUGUGUUGAGCAUAGACAUGAUUGGAUUAUGUCUAUCGCAAUACAGUUAUUCAUUUAAAGAGAAUAAUGGUUACUCUGUUUAUUUGAAUAAUACCUUCAAUGGUCUUGCACCUAAAAUGAAUGGUUUAUUGAAUCUCGAUCGUAGUGAUACACAUAUUCAUGCCAAAAGAUAUAAGAUAGUAAUGAUAGUACCACAUACUUGUGGCACUGAGUCAUAUUGGUAUAAAAUGCAUGAAGAAGCUCCAUGUUGAUGGAUCUUUGGACUCACUCGUUCUGAAAAGUUUGAGACAUGCGAACCAUGUCUAUUGGUGUAUAUGCAUGAAGAAACUCCAUGCAAAUGGACCGUUUGGACUCACUUGAUUUUGAAUCACUUGAGACAUGCAAAUCAUACCACAUGGGCAAGAUGACUGAAAGCCUCGUUUUCAGUAAAAUGGAACAAGAAAGCAACUUGUUGGAAGUAAUACAUUUUGAUGUAUGCGGUCCAAUGAGUGUUGAGGCACGCAGUGGAUAUCGUUAUGUUCUUACUUCACGGAUGAUUUGAGUACAUACUGAGUAUAUUUACUUGAUGAAACACAAGUCUGAAUUAUUGAAUGGUUCAAGUAAUUUCAGAGUGAAGUUGAAAAUCAUCAUGACAAGAGGAUAAAAUGUCUAUGAUAUGAUCAUAGAGAUGAGUGUCUGAGUCACGAGCUUUGGCACGCAAUUAAGACAUUGUGCAAAUUGUUUCACAAUUAAUACCGCCUGGAACACCAUAGUGUGAUGGUGUGUUCGAACAUCAUAGUUGCAGCCUAUUGGAUAUGGUGCGUACCAUGAUGUCUCUUAUCGAAUUACCACUAUCGUUCAUGGGUUAGGCAUUAGAGACAACCGCACUCACUUUAAUAGGGCACCACGUAACUCCGUUGAGACGACACCGUUUGAACUAUGGUUUGGAGAAAUCUAAGUUGUCGUUUCUUAAAAGUUUGGGGCUGCGACGCUUAUGUGAAAAAGUUUCAGGUUGAUAAGCUCGAACCCAAAGCGGAUAAAUGUAUCUUCAUAGGACACCCAAAACAGUUGGGUAUACCUCCUAUCUCAGAUCCGGAAGCAAAAUAGAUUGUUUCUAGAAACGGGUCCUUUCUCGAGAAAAGUUUCUCUCGAAAGAAUUGAGUGGGAGGAUGGUGGGGACUUGAUGAGGUUUUUGAACCGUCACUUCAACUAGUCUGUAGCAGGGCACAGGAAGUUGUUCCUGUGGCACCUACACCAAUUGAAGUAGAAGCUUAUGAUAGUGAUCAUGAAACUUCGGAUCAAGUCACUACCAAACCUCGUAGGUCGACAAGGAUGUGUACUGCUUCAGAGUGGUACGUAAUCCUGUCUUGAAGGUCAUGUUGCUAGACAACAAUGAACCUACGAGCUAUGAAGAAGCGAUGGUGGGCCCAUGUUCCGACAAAUGGUUAGAAGCCAUGAAAUCCGAGAUAGGAUCCAUGUAUCAAAACAAAGCAUGUACUUUGAUGGACUUGCCCGAUGAUCGGCAAGCCAUUGAGAUAAAUGGAUCUUUACGGUAAUGUCACCGUCUAUGAAGCUCGACUUGUGGCGAAGAGUUUUUCACAAGUUCAAGGAAGUUGACUACGAUGAGAUUUUCUCAUCCAUAGCAAUGCUUAAGUCCGUCGGAAUCAUCUUAGCAUUAGUUGCAUUUAUGAAAUCUGCCAAAUGGAUGUCAAAACGAGUUUCCUUACCAGUUUUCGUAAGGAAAGGUUGUAUGCGAUACAAUCAGAAAGGUUUUGUCGAUCCUAAGGAUGCUAAAAGGUAUGCUAGCUCCAGCGAUCCUUCCAUGGACUGGAGUAAGCAUCUCGGAGUUGGAAUGUACGCUUUGAUGAGAUGAUCAAAGAUUUUGGAUUUAUACAAAGUUUAUGAGAAACUUGUAUUUCCAAAGAAGUGAGUGGGAGCACUAUAGAAUUUCUGAUGAGUAUAUGUUGUUGACGUAUUGUUGAUCAGAAAUGAUGUAGAAUUUCUGGAAAGCAUAUAGGGUUAUUUGAAAAGUGUUUUUUAAUAGAAAACCUAGAUUAAGCUACUUGAACAUCGAGCAUCAAGAUCUAUGAGGAUAGAUCAAAAACGCUAAAUGGUACUUUCAAAUGAGCACAUACCUUGACAUGAUCUUGAAGGUGUUCAAGAUGGAUUAGUCAAAGAAGGAGUUCUUGCCUGAGUUGUAAGGUAUGAAGUUAAGACUUAAAGCUCGACCACGGCAGAAGAGAGAGAAAGGACGAAGGUCGUCCCCUAUGCUUCAGACGUAGGCUCUAUAGUAUGCUAUGCUGUGUACCGCACCGAAAGUGUGCCUUGCCAUGAGUCUGGCAAAGGGGGUACAAGAGUGAUCCAGGAAUGGAUCAUUCAACAGCGGUCAAAAUUGUCCUUGGAGUAAAUAAGGACAUGUUUCUCGUUUAUGGAGGUGAUAAAGAGUUCGGCGUAAAGGGUUACGUUGAUGCAAGCUUUAACACCUAUCCGAAUGACUCUGAGUAGCAGACCGGAUACGUAUAGUGGAGCAACCAUUUGGAAUAGCUCCAAGUGGAGCGUGGAAGCAGCAUUUACAAUAUGACCUAGAGAUUUGCGAAGUACAUACGGAUCUGAAUGUUGCAGACCCGUUGACUAAAACCUCUCUCACAAGCAAACAUGAUCAAACCCCAGAACUCAUUGAGUCUUAAUCACAUGAUGAUGUGACACUAGUAAGCUCUUUGGAUGUUGGUCACAUGGCGAUGUGACCUGUGAGUGUUAAUCACAUAGCGAUGUGAACUAGAUUAUUGACUCUAGUGCAAGUGGGAGACUGUUGGAAAUAUGCCCUAGAGGCAAUAAUAAAUUAGUUAUUAUUAUUAUAUUUCCUUGUUCAUGAUAAUCAUUUAUUAUCCAUGCUAUAAUUGUAUUGAUAGGAAACUCAGAUACAUGUGUGGAUACAUAGACAACACCAUGUCCCUAGUAAGCCUCUAGUUGACUAGCUCGUUGAUCAAUAGAUGGUUACGGUUUCCUGACCAUGGACAUUGGAUGUCAUUGAUAACGGGAUCACAUCAUUAGGAGAAUGAUGUGAUGGACAAGACCCAAUCCUAAGCCUAGCACAAAGAUCGUGUAGUUCGUAUGCUAAAGCUUUUAUAAUCUCAAGUAUCAUUUCCUUAGACCAUGAGAUUGUGCAACUCCCGGAUACCGUAGGAAUGCUUUGGGUGUACCAAACGUCAAAACGUAACUGGGUGGCUAUAAAGGUACGCUACGGGUAUCUCCGAAAGUGUCUGUUGGGUUGGCACGAAUCGAGACUGGGAUUUGUCACUCCGGUUAACGGAGAGGUAUCUCUGGGCCCACUCGGUAGGACAUCAUCAUAAUGUGCACAAUGUGACCAAGGGGUUGAUCACGGGAUGAUGUGUUACGGAACGAGUAAAGAUACUUGCCGGUAACGAGAUUGAACAAGGUAUCGGCAUACCGACGAUCGAAUCUCGGGCAAGUACAAUACCACUAGACAAAGGGAAUUGUAUACGGGAUUGAUCGAAUCCUCGACAUCGUGGUUCAUCCGAUGAGAUCAUCAUGGAACAUGUGGGAGCCAACAUGGGUAUCCAGAUCCCGCUGUUGGUUAUUGACCGGAGAACGUCUCGGUCAUGUCUGCAUGGUUCCUGAACCCGUAGGGUCUACACACUUAAGGUUCGAUGACGCUAGGGUUAUAGGGAAUAGAUGUAUGUGGUUACCGAAUGUUGUUCGGAGUCCCAGAUGAGAUCCCAGACGUCACGAGGAGUUUCGGAAGGGUCCGGAGGUAAAGAUUUAUAUAUGGAAAGUUGUUGUUCGGGUUCCGGGAAAAGUUCGGUUUUUUCCGGUAUUGUACCGGGAAGCUUCCGGAAGGUUCCGGAGGAUUCCGGAGGGGUCCGAAGGUCCGGAAAAUGUUCCACCACGUCCAAUACAGCAGCAUGGGCUGUAAGAGGGCGCCCUAGCCUUAAUGGGCUAGGGGCACCAGCCCCCCCAAGGCCCAUGCGCAUGGGAGAGGGGAAACCCUAAAGGGGAGGGCCUCCACUUGACUUGGGAGGCACUCCUCCCCCCCUUGGCCGCCGCCCCCAACCCUAGAUGGGAUCUAGGGGGGCUGGCCCCCCUCUCUCCCCACCUAUAAAUAGUGGAGGGGUGGGAGGGCAGCCGACACGAAGUUCUGGCGCAGCCCUCCCCUUCUCCCAAGUCCUCCUGCUCUCCUGUGGUGCUUGGCGAAGCCCUGCAGGAUUGCCACGCUCCUCCAUCACCACCACGCCGUUGUGCUGCUGCUGGAUGGAGUCUUCCUCAACCUCUCCCUCUCUCCUUUCUGGAUCAAGGCAUGGGAGACGUCACCGGGUUGUACGUGUGUUGAACACGGAGGUGCCGUCCGUUCGGCACUAGGAUCUCCGGUGAUUUGGAUCACGACGAGUAUGACUCCUUCAACCCCGUUCUCUUGAACGCUUCCGCUUAGCAAUCUACAAGGGUAUGUAGAUGCACUCUCCUUCCCCUUGUUGUUGGUUUCUCCAUAGAUAGAUCUUGGUGACACGUAGGAAAAUUUUGAAUUUCUGCCACGUUCCCCAACAAACGUUUCUUGAGCUCUUCUGAAGUUGUUUCAUUUAUGCUCUUGUUUUGCUGCCGCGUUUAUUUGCACUGGUGGCCAAUUUUGACGGCCAGUGUAUGUAAUAUGCUGCUUUGUUCCCUAUAUUUUCACUGGUGGCGAACUUUGAUGCCCAGUUGAUGUAAUAUGUGUAAUUGCGGUAAUAGGCUAGCCUUAAUUGCUUGCUUAUUUAUUUUCUUAUUGUCUUGUUUAGUUGUUUGCUUGUAGUCACUGCAGUUCUUUUCUGUGUUUUUCUAGUGGCCACAAUAGCCUAUUUUUGGUAACUAGGCCAAAAUAAUCAUGGCAACACAUGGACUGUUGUAACCAUGGGCCUCCUGCAGGCCGUAUGAUCCAUGGGCCUUCGUUCGGCCGUAGGACCAUUGGCCUUCUAUACGGGCCGUAGGAUCCAUCGGCCUUCUGUAUGGGCCUUAGGGGUCAAUGGGCCUUCUACGGUCCGUACUAUCCAUGGGCCUCAUACGGGCCGUAGGAUCCAUGGGCCUUCUACGGGGCGUAUCAUCAUUUCUCCAAUCAUGGGUCGUACUAUUCAUGGACUAUAACGGGCUGUUAAUAGGCCGUAUUUGAUAACUCUAUGAAAACAGCCCAACGUUUUUUUUACAUGAAAAUGGCCCAACGUAUUAACGGUUCGCAAACGGGCCGACUGUAACUACGUGUCACCACGGGUCGUUAAUGGGUAUAAAGUGAUACACUGUUCAUUACGGGCCAGUUUCACCACGGGUCGUUAAUGGGCCAAGAGUUACAAAGGUCCUCAUAUGGGCCGAAAGAAGUCAUGGGCCACACAUGGGCCGGAAGUUAAAAUAGGCUGAAUCAUAUUGGACGGCCCAGAUGACGCUACUGGGCCUAAUUCGGAUAGGGCGUAAUGGGCCCUGGGUUAGCGGGCUGUAAAUGGGCUAUAUGCGAACAGGCCGUUAACAGGCUUUCCGUGGGCCGGCCCGCCACCUUUUAACCAAGUCAAAUGGGCCGGCCUUUUCACAGGAAUGGGCCUCUGUUGGGCCGUGCCACGUGUCGUCGUAUCAUAGGCGCCUUCGGUCCAAUGAGCGGAUGACAUCUGUCCCAACGGUGAGCCGACACGUGUUUCCUCCAGCCAAUGAUGAUUUUACACAUGGAAAAUCCCCAUUGGUCGGGGCUGUUAACGGGUUAUCGGAUCCAAAACCCGACCCGAUAGCUUAACGGCGUUCCGUUACGGUGGAUGCCAUGUGUCAGUCACCCUUGACGAAAGCACUUCUGUGACGCGCAAUUUAUCGUCAUGGAAGUGGACACUUCCGUGAUGAUAAUUUUGGUAAUGUCAUGGAACACUUCUACGACAGCACAGGCAUGACUAUCUUGAUUCUGUCAUGGAUGUACAUGCAUGACAAAAACGCGACCUACUGUGACAAGCACGUAUCAUCACGGAAGUGUAUUUUUUUUGUAGUGAAUGCAACAAUAUAUCCAACAUGUUGUGAUUAUGCUCCAGUGGUACUCGUCCCAUGGACUGGCUUACCGAACGUGAUCAUUUCCAGACCACAAACAUGAAGAACUCAACGACAAUCUCGUGAUCCUUACGGCGAUCACAACCCUGACCAACACUUGGUCUCAAACUCAACACAAUGGCCUUACUGCCAUUACCUUAGUGCAAAUCUCAGUGUGCAAAUUUAUUAAGUGUGGACCCAUGGUGUACCCUACUUUCAAGCGUGUCCGUAAUCGUGGACUCGGCUGUCGAUAGAUUAAUACACUUUGCAGAGGUAGCGCACUGGACCCACACUACGGAACCCAUGGCCUCGCACUCCCAUUCGGGUGGACCAACGGCAUUCCGACGGAACCACUUCAUUGUCAUGACACUCUCCUGGCCACUCCGACUCAAUCCCCAUCGGGCUAGUCCUGGGUGGCCCCGUGUCUACCUCAAGACACCUCAAACCACCGUUGUGGCAAUGAUCCACUCUGGGACCCAAACACUUAACUCAUCAACUGGCACACAAGGUUAUGCCUGCUUACCGGGCCAGGGUACAGCACACCCAUAACCUUCCCUAGAUGGAGGCACCGACCAGAGGCACGACAAUGAAACGCAUUAAGGUCGUCCCAUACCGGCAAAUGUGGUUGCACUGGGUAAAACUCGUUUCAGCGGCACCACGACCCGGUCAACAACAUAUUCAAGUUGAGUUAUUUAUCAGGUUCAACUUAAAGUGAAAGUAACCGAUGUCAUAAUGCCAUGCUAUGCAUCACUAACAUUUGCAUCAAAUAACCAUGAAAAUAACUAAAUCAACUACGCUCCCACGGAGCCAUCACCAACUCAAGAUACUUCUCUGGUUAAGAUCAAACCUCACUUAAACCAGAACCAUUUCUAGCAAUCUCAUCAUUUUUCAUCAUGCAAGAAUAAUAAUUAAACUAAUUAUUAACCUUCAUGAUCAUAUCAUUUUAUUAUUACUCAUAUCUAAGUUCUUGUUAGCUUAUCAGAAAGAUUCAUUUCAAACUUUAUGUAAAUCAUACAUACUUAACAUGACAAGAAUCUAACAGAAUAUAAUUAUCAUAAUAAUUAUUUAAAUGCAUGAAUAAUCAUAAGUUCGUGUGGAAAAAUCACAAAUAUUGAAGUGGCACUAUGAAAAUGUUGUUGUGGCUUGCCUUAGUGCUGAUGAGGUUCACAAACCUCCUGAUGAUCCUCAAGACAAGCUUGCUCUGCUGAAAAUAAAUAAAAUCACAAAAAGAAAACAUAAAGAAACCUUCUGAAAAUUACCAAAAAAAUCUAGACAGCAAGGAAAAAUCCCAUCUCUUGGGUGUUGUUAGAUUUUUGGACAAAGAACACAAUGCAAAAAGAAUCAAUGCAUUUGGACUUAUAGAUAAAAAUUUAUGGCGGUUUGAAGUUUCCUGGAUUUAAGUGAAUUUGAUUUAAAAAGAAAACAGACUGGGGGGUGAUGUCGAAGGAAUAUUGUUCACAGGAAUUUGAAACAUAGAGAAAUAUUGUUCACACAUGGUUCUCCAGAUUUUGGGGUUUUCACCCAAAAAUUGGGAAAACGUGAGAGGUGGGGAAUUUGGACCAACCCAGUGUGAAUAUGUGCCGCAGAAGAGCCCAACGCAAGGGAGUUGUCUAAAACCAGCUGCGGAGGAGUGUGAAAAUUCAGCGUACCAUUGGCCGGAGAGGCUGUCGACGGGACGCCGCCCACCGACAACCCACCCCGUAACUGGUGCGACUCGCCGUGGCCAGCAGGCCCGUGGAUCAUGUCGUCGAGUGCUAGAUCGGGGAGAUCCGGCCUUCUCGGUCCACCAUCUAUUGCGGCUAGCGUGGGAGGCCACUCGCUCUGGAGCAUGCCCAUCGUCUCCUGGAGCUUGGAGAGGCGGGAUUCGAGAUCAGGCUUCCAGGCCGUAAGCGCGUCCACCUGCGUGGACUGGAAGUCGAUCCGCGCUGAGAGGUCCUUGAUGUUAGCGCGGGUGUCCUUGUUGGCCUUGGUCAGGGUCUCCAUGAGCUUGUCGAGGUAUGACUUGAGGGCGGGAUCCAUGGUCGCGAGCAGCUGAUUGCGCUCGCUCGUUUGCCGCCGCGUCUCCAGGGCGUCAACGAAGGGUGGUGAUUGGUGACUGAUACCACGUGUUAAGUACUCUCUUAGUACCCCCAGAAUUGUACUAGAUCGAUUACAAGGAAAAGGUUACAAAUCUCUGGAGGAGGAAGAUGAACUAGGGAAGAAAGGGGAAUUAGGUUACAAGCCGCCGUCGUCCAGUCUGUUCCCAGCCAGGAUGCCCCUCCUCACCUGUUGCGUCCUCUCUUAUCAGUGGGUGGGUACGCUUCUCGGGUCAAACAGGUAGGAAACCCACUAGGGGCCCGUAAACUUAUGGCACGGUCGUCGCUCCCUCCUGGGCCGGCCUUGCUGGGCCACUUCUAUUCGCUGGCUCAGUGCUCCACCUGCAGGUGGUGUGCUAACACCCCCUCUUCCUUCAGAGUCGACUUGUCCCCAAGUCGUUGCAGCCGGGAAGCGAUGCCGCAGAUCUUCGAGAUCCUCCCAAGUGUCCGGAGUUGCUUGAGUGUUCUGCCAACGCACCAGGCCUUGUUCGCGCAUCUUACGGGAACCUCGAUGCCAUUGUUUUUCCAAGAUCUUCACAGGAAUGUUAACCUAUCAGUACAUCAUGGUAAUGAAGAUGAAGCAUUUGCACCUAGUGUUAAUGCCCGCUUGAGCUGGGAGACAUGGAAGACAAGGAAAAUGGAUGAUCCUUCCGGGAGCUGGAGCUCAUACGUGACUUCGUUCAUGCGCCUGAUGAUGGUGUAGGGCCCAAAGUACUUGAAGCUGAGCUUAUGAUUAGCUCUCCUUGCCACAGAGGUUUGAAUAUAUGGUUGCAACUUCAAGAAAACCUGAUCUCCCACUUGAAAUUCGCGAACCGAUCUAUUUUUAUUUGCUUGUGCUUUCAUGAUUUGCUUUGCCCGGACUAGGUGCUGUCGAAGGAUGUCUUGCAUUUGUUGACGCUCCUCGAGCCACUCAUUCAGCUUAGGUAAUGGAGUUGCAUGGUCAGGUACUAUCCCCAGCUGGCGCGGUUCCUGACCAUAUACCACCGAGAAAGGUGUCUUGCCCAAGGUAGAGUGAUAGGUGGAAUUGUACCAGAACUCCGCGAGGGCCAACCAACGACUCCAAUUAGUUGGGGUGCUAUGGACAAAGCAGCGCAGAUAGGUUCACACACAUUGAUUGACCCGUUCGGUCUGGUCGUCUGUUUGAGGGUGAUGAGAAGAGCUCAUUUUAAGUUCAAUCCCUUGUAGCUUGAAGAUUUCCUGCCAAACUUUGCUAGUGAAGAUGGCAUCACGGUUUGAGAUGAGGCCUUCGGGCAUCCCGUGCAACUUGUAAACUUGAUCAAUAUAUAAUUGGGCAAUUGUCUGAGCAGUGUGCGGGGGCUUUACUGGGAGGAAGUGCGCAUACUUGGAGAAGGUGUCAAUGACGACCAAUAUGCAAUUGUAAUUCCUGGAUUGGGGUAGACCUCCGAUGAAAUCUAGCGAGACUAGAUCCCAACAUCGCUUGGCUACUGGCAAGGGAUGUAGUAGCCCGGGGUAUUGAGCUCGGUCUGGCUUAGCUUGCUAACACACCUGGCAUGUUUGGACAUCUCUUUGAUCUGAUGCUUCAUACCCGGCUAGGCAAACAAGUGCUUGAUUCUGCGAUAGGUGGCUGGAAACCCGGAGUGUCCCCCUAUAGCGUUGUCAUGUAAAGCUUGCAUGCUGGAGUUUUGUGCUGUUGCCUAGCCAUACACUCCCUUUGAAUCUUACAAUACCCUUGGUCAGAGUGAACUUGCUAUCAGCGACCGGUGCCACGGCGAGCUGAGUGAUGAGUUGUUGUGUCUUGGGAUCGUUGUCGUACCCUUUGACAAUUUCCUGAAGCUAGGUUGGCUGACACACUGAAAUGGCAUGGAGGUGAGUAGAAUUCUCAACAGGUCGUCUUGACAGAGCAUCAGCAACACUGUUUUAUGUACCCUUGCGAUAGCAGAUCCAAUAUUGGAGCCCUAACAGCUUUGUGAAAGCUUUUUGUUGCCACGGGGUGUGAAGAUGUUGUUCUUCCAAGUGGACUAAGCUGCAUUGGUCUGUCUUAACCAUAAAUUCGCCAAACUGUAGGUAUGGAUGCCAUUGCUCGAUGACCAAGACAAUGGCCAGGUACUCCUUCUCAUAAGUGGACAAACCCUUAUUCUGUGGGCCCACCGCUUUGCUGAGGUACGCUAUCGGGUGCCCAUCUUGUUGCAAAACAACUCCCACUCCAUACUCGCAGGCGUCAGUCUCAAUUGUGAAUGGUUUUGUGAAGUCUGGGAGUGCUAGUGCUGGUGUUGUCGUCAGUGACGUUUUGAGAGCGUCGAAGGCUGAUUGGGUGGCCUCUGUCCACUGGAAUGGUGUAUUUUUGCACAAAAGGUUGGUGAGUGGACGAGCCAGCAUGCCAAAUUGCCGAACAAAUCAUUGGUAGUAUCCGGCCAAUCCUAGAAAGGCUCGAACCUCCUUGACAGAUGUUGGUACCAGCCACGCAGUCACUUGCUGAAUCUUGUCUGAAUCUAUCGAGACCCCUUUUGCAGAAAUGGUGUGACCGAGGUAUUUGAUUUCCUGUUGAGCAAAGGCACAUUUGGACCUCUUCACAUACCACUGGUCCCUUCGGAGGAGAGCUAGCACUUGCCUUAGGUGUUGCAAGUGCAAGGCAAAGGAUCGACUGAAGACUAGGAUAUCGUCAAAAAAACCAUUGCGCAGACCCGUAGGACUGGAUGCUGCGUCACAUUCAUAGCCCCCAAAAAUGUUGGAGGUGCUCCCCCGAGACCACAUGGCACCACUUUGAAUUCGAAAUAGCCCGAGUGCGUUUGAAAUGCAGUUUUGUAUUCCUCCCCUUCUGCCAAUCUGAUUUGGUGAUAGCCGGAGCGCAAAUCAAGCUUGGAGAACCAACACGCCCCUGCUAGCUCAUCCAAAAUAUCCUCAAUGACAGGCACGGGGUACUUGCUGAUGAUGGUCAUCGCAUUCAGCCUCCGAUAAUCAACGCACAUGCGCCAGGUACCGUCCUUCUUCUUGACCAGAAUAAUAGGAGAGGAGAAUGGGUUGCUGCUCCUUUGAAUGAUACCAGCCUUCAACAUUUCAGUGACUUGCCUUUCCACUUCUGUCUUCAAUUCUGGCUUGUGUCUGUACGCUCGUAUGUUGACCGGCUGGGCGCCUUGCAUCAAGGGGGUGGUGUGAUCACAUUCGUGCCGUGGUGGCAAUCCGGUCGGCUCCAGGAAUACAUCCUCAUAAUCUAACAACACUUGCACAAUCUAUGGUGGAAGUUAAGUACACUUGAGAUCGGUGAUAGUGUCAGAAUCUUGAGCAUAACAAAUGUGCACUGCAUAGGCCACCCCUUCUUGUUUUUCCAUACUUGCUAGCUGCACCGUAUUCAGAGUUUCACACUUAUGUGCUUGAGAUGUAACCCCCUGCAAUACAACCAUGAAUCCGUCAUGUUCGAUUUACAUGCACCAUUUCAGCCAAUCGAUGAGCAUGGGGAUGUGAUACUCCAGCCAAUCCAUCCCCAAUAUGACAUCGUAAGAUCCCAAAGGCAGCAAUCUGAAAUUGGUUGAAAACACAUGACCCUGGGCAAACCAAGAGCAGCCUAGUACUUCCUGAGUGCACCACAUUUCUGACCCAUUGGCUACAGCAACUUUGACAGACUUGGGCAUAGAUUGUACCCCUGUAGAUGAGAUGCUAAAUGUUGAGACACGAACGAGGCUGAACUACCGGAGUCCACAAGCAUAAGGACUUCACGCCCCUGGAGCCAGCCAUGUAAUUGUAAGCAACUGGGUGCUUCAGUUCCAGACACGGCAUUGAUAGAGAGCUGCCACACUUGCUCCCCUAUAUCUGUCUGCCCCUACUGUUGUGCAUUGGCCGCUGCCCCUUCUCCUUGAGCGUCCAAACUGAACAGGAUGAGCAUUUCCUCAAUCACGUGCAGUUUAACUGUCGGCGGGCAUACGUGAUCAUGACCCCAUCUCUCUCCACACUUGAAACACAACCCUUUGGCUCGACGAAAUUACACAGGGCUGUGAUUUUGGAUUGAUCACUCCCCGCGCAGGCGGCUUCAGUGUUGCAGCGAUCAUCUGCUGCUGGGGAGAUAGCCGGCGCCCGUGCUGCAGGAGGGGGCAACGGCAGAGGACCCGUUGAGCGAGUCCUCCCCAGAUAGGGUGCCCCUUCAUGGUUGUUGUACCACGGUCCCUUUUGUCCCUCCGCGACUUCCUCUUGCAGAAUCGCCAGGGCACAAGCGGUGUCCAGAUCCUUGGGUCGCUGCACCAUCACCACCGCACGGAUGUCUGUGCGCAGGCCCUCGAUAAACCUCGUCAAGAAAUACAGUGGGUGUACAGCAUCAGAAUAAGAAAUAAGAUGGUUUAUAAGGUUCUCAAAUUGCUCAAUGUAGUCAGAUACAGAGCUAGUCUGGCGAAGGGAGUAAAAUUGGCGGAUAAGUAGCUGAUGCUUAUCGCGGCCGAAUCGUGCACAUAGCAAAUUACAGAAAGCCUCCCAAUAUAGCGUGCUCAGUUUCCCCUGGAUCGACUGCAGCCAGAUGGCUGCCAGACCCGUGAAGUGUAAUGUGGACAUGGGGACGAAGUAGGACUCAGGAAUUUGAAACAUGGAGAAAUAUUGUUCACACAUGGUUCUCCAGAUUUUGGGGUUUUCACCCGAAAAUUGGGGAAACGCGGGAGGUGGGGAAUUUGGACCCAACCCAGUGUGAAUAUGUGUCGCAGAAGAGCCCGACGCAAGGGAGUUGUCUAAAACCAGCUGCGAAGGAGUGUGAAAAUUCAGCGUACCAUUGGCCGGAGAGGCUGUCGACGGGACGCCGCCCGCCGACAACCCACCCCGUAACUGGUGCGACUCGCCGUGGCCAGCAGUCCCGUGGAUCAUGCCGUCGAGUGCCGGAUCGAGGAGAUCCGGCCUUCUCGAUCCACCAUCUGUUGCGGCUAGCGUGGGAGGCCACCCGCUCUGGAGCAUGCCCACCGUCUCCUGGAGCUUGGAGAGGCGAGAUUCGAGAUCGGGCUUCCAGGCCGUAAGCGCGUCCACCUGCGCGGACUGGAAGUCGAUCCGCGCUAAGAGGUCCUUGAUGUCAGCGCGGGUGUCCUCGUUGGCCUUGGUCAGGGUCUCCGUGAGCUUGUCGAGGUAUGACUUGAGGGCGGGAUCCAUGGUCGCGAGCAGCUGAUGGCGCUCGCUUGUUUGCCGCCACGUCUCCAGGGCGUCAACGAAGGGUGGUGAUUGGCGACUGAUACCACGUGUUAAGUACUCUCUUAGUACCCCAGAAUUGUACUGGAUCGAUUACAAGGAAAACGUUACAAAUCUCUGGAGGAGGAAGAUGAAAUAGGGAAGAAAGGGGAAUUAGGUUACAAGCCGCCGCCAUCCAGUCUGAUCCCAGCCAGGAUGCCCCUCCCCACCUGCUGCGUCCUUUCUUAUCAGUGGGUGGGUACGCUGCUCGGGUCGAACAGGUAGGAAACCCACUGGGGGCCCGUGAACUUAUGGCGCGGUCGUCGCUCCCUCCUGUGCCGGCCUUGCUGGGCCACUUCUAUUCGCUGGCUCGGUGCUCCACCUGCAGGUGGUGUGCUAACAAUGUGAUAUGGUAUCUUGCAGAAAUGGAGCCUGACAAUGUAGUGGAAACCCCCACCGCCCGGUAAAACCCAUGAAAGGUUGUAAUUCUGGUUGAUUGUAGGAUUUGGCCCCAUCGAACGUGCUAUUGCAUACAAGUCCGUUGAAGGGAUGUAAUUUUGGAAUUUAAGUGGAUACUUGAUUGUAAGAUUGCUAUCUUUGGAGAAGAUAACACCAUGAGACUAGUGUAAAAAUAAUAAGCUUGUCAUGAACGGUAAAAUGCAGAGUCAUUUCCUACAAAUAGAUAGUCUCACCUCCAUUUGUUCAGUGCAUUGUCUGAAAGCUUGUGUCAGAAGAAACUGGUGAUGGAUAUGGCCCCUUGCCACUGACGAAGGUUGGCAUUGGUGUUGUGAAGAUCUCAGGUGUAAGCGCCAACUCUAUGCCAUUCACAACUGCAAAGCUCUUUUGGUGCACAUAUGGUGCAAAGAAAUAAUAAGAGAAUAAAUAUUGGAACGUUGCUCUCAAGGAAGGCGCAGUACAUCAGAAGAGUCGUACCUAGGGCUGCAAGAAAAGCUCGAGGCUCGUGAGCUGCUCGAGAUCGACUUGCAUUUUGGCUCGACUCGGGAUCGAUUUGAAAGGAAAUGAACUGAGUAUGAGCACUUUAUGUAUCUCGAUCGAGAAACGAGCUGAUCUUGAGCCAGUAUUGGCUCGCUCGGUUUUAGCUCGAUAGCUCGAUAUCAUAUAAGUAUAUUAAAUAAUUUUCAUGUUUAUUACAAAAAAAUGGUUAGUUUAUUACCAUAUAUAUCGUGUGCGAAUUUUUCUCCAUUUUACUUACUAACAAACAUGGAAGCUUAAUUAAGAGCGAAGAAAAUUUGGGCCUCAAUAUGGUGUGAGAUUAGCAGUAUGUUGACUAUCUUGUUAUUUUUGCCAAAAAUUGAGAGCAGAUGCACCUUUGUUUUCUUCUCUUGCUAGUUCGUCUAUGAUAUCUUAUCUCCAGUUGAUAAAGAAUAAGUCCAAAUUUACAGUGACUUCUUCUGUUGUGGCAUAUCUUAUGUGAAAAUGUGUCUCAAUUAUUUAGAAAAAAAUCAUCUUAUUUAGCUCAAAACUAGCUCGAGAUCGACUCGAGAUCGUUACAAGCUGAGCACGAGCCACUUUCUACAGCUCGACCUUGAGCUCCGCUUAAUUUGAGCUCGCUCGAAUUUUAGUAUGAAUUGAGCUGAGCCUAGUCCAACUCGCUCGAACUCGACUCGUUUGCAGCCCUAGUCGUACCAUGUGAGAGAUUGGAUUUGCUACAUGAUUUGGCAUUAGGCUAGAAAUUAGCUCACAUUGCCAUGUCCCUUGAAGCUCGCCAUCCCCCUGGGCGCCCCUAUAUAUUGUUUAACACGAGGUGGAAACAAUUUGCCCGCCGCAGUGAGUGUAUAAAAGACGCACUGCUUGAUUUCUUCAAUGAACAUACACGAGUCGCAGUGGCUGGAGCUGUUGAUUAAAUCCUCCUGGCAAAUAAAAAUGAUCGUGUAUAAAAAAUAUUAAUCAUAUAUUUCAAAUAAUGUUCAAUAUAUACAAAAAAAAGUCACUGAUAUAUACAAAAAAUGUACAAAUGUGUGUGAAACAAUAUAGUCAUCAAACACAAAGUAUUUGGAAAAGAUUUAACCUUUUUCAGCAAUUUGAACAUGUAUAAAAAAAUGUUCCUGAUGUAUAAUGAAAAGUUUAGAACGUGAAUUUGAAAAAUAAACAUUAAAACAUAAUAUAUUUUUUUUAAAUGAUCGUGCAGAAAAAAAAUGUUUUGUUUUUAUGGGAAGUAUCAAAAAAUGUUAAAUUGUAUCAUAAAAUGUUCCUGAUAUAUACAGAAAAUAUAUAAUGUUUAUGAAAAAAGUAGUCAUCAAACAUAUUUUAAAAAGUAAUAUGAAUCAUGCGUUUUAAAAAUGGUAAACAUAUAUAAAGAAAUGUUCAUGAUGUAUACAAAAAUGUAGAACAUUUAUGAAAAAAAGCCAUCAAAGACAUAUAUUUAGAAAAAUGUUAAUCAUGUAUUUACAAAAUCUUGUUAGUGUAUACGAAAAAUGUAUAGUGUGUAUAAANNNNNNNNNNNNNNNNNNNNNNNNNNNNNNNNNNNNNNNNNNNNNNNNNNNNNNNNNNNNNNNNNNNNNNNNNNNNNNNNNNNNNNNNNNNNNNNNNNNNNNNNNNNNNNNNNNNNNNNNNNNNNNNNNNNNNNNNNNNNNNNNNNNNNNNNNNNNNNNNNNNNNNNNNNNNNNNNNNNNNNNNNNNNNNNNNNNNNNNNNNNNNNNNNNNNNNNNNNNNNNNNNNNNNNNNNNNNNNNNNNNNNNNNNNNNNNNNNNNNNNNNNNNNNNNNNNNNNNNNNNNNNNNNNNNNNNNNNNNNNNNNNNNNNNNNNNNNNNNNNNNNNNNNNNNNNNNNNNNNNNNNNNNNNNNNNNNNNNNNNNNNNNNNNNNNNNNNNNNNNNNNNNNNNNNNNNNNNNNNNNAAAAAAAAAGAAAAUGAAGACCGAAGUAAACCAAUGCAAAAAAUGGAAACAGUGAAACCUGAGAACGAAAGAAAGAAAACGGAGAAAAGAAAUAAAGGAAAAGAGAAAAAAGGAAAAAAAACAACAGUGACCCAGAAAGAAACCAAGAAAAAGUUAUUACUCGCUAAUCAGCCCAGUUAAAAGCGCCGUCAGCCCAUAGCCCAUCCGACCGGACCUCGUCCAUUCACAACGGAGCUCACUCAGAUUCAGAAGCCAUCACCGUCACCGUCGCCGCCGCCGCCGCCGCCGCCGCCGUCCUCGCCUGCACGCCUCUCCUCGAGAUCCGCCUCCGCCUGUCCCCGUGCGCGGCCACGAUCUCACGACCCCGAGCCCUACCCUGCGCCUCCCGCCUCCGGUCUCCGAUCCUCCUCCUAGGUAUGUCAGCACGCACGCGCCCUUGCAUCCCGACGGUCAAUGGCUGAUUAGGACUGAUGUGCGCGUCUGCGCUUCUGCUAGAUCCAUUUCAAUGCCCGCUAUGAUUGUUUGUGCCAUGCGAAGAUCUUGGUCAGUUGAUGACCAGAGAAAGGCAGUUUCAGCUUCCCAUUUAGCGCUAUAUGCUGCUCAGUUGAUGUUCAUGUGUUAUAACUGAGACUUAGAAUCGUCAGCAUCUGAGGCAGUGGCAUAGCAAUAUAUCCAUAUGCAGCAGAUCUUAGAUGUAUACCUGGUGAAAGUAGAGGCAGCGGCAUAGCAGUAUAUGCAUGUUCAGAUCUUAGAUGUAUACCUGGUGAAACUAGAGGCGGUGGCCAGAAUUGUUUUCCUAGUGCACCCCUGAAACUCUAAGCUGAAUGUCGCUUCCCAGCGGCGUGUCGUGCUUUCUAAUCUACCUGCGUGUCAUGUCGUCUGAGAUCAUACCUUGCUUUGAAUUUACAUGAGAUAUACUACCCAUGUCUGAAUCUUCACUGGUUAUAAAUAUUAUGACCCUGCAUUAUUACAUCACCGAUUCCUAAUGCAGUUUGUUACUCCGUGUGAUCCUGUUGUAAGCAUUGGGGGCUCAUCGCAGCCUGACCGACUGUCUAAACUGAAUUAGAAUUUCACUAGUCUUUGUACCUGUUCCCCCUCUCUGCAUCUUACUUUAUGCUGAUUCCUCUGCUGGGCCAGCUCCAGAAUGGGUCUCCUCAGCAUCAUCAGAAAAAUCAAGCGCAAGGAAAAGGAGAUGCGUAUUCUCAUGGUGUAAGCGUCCUGCUCCAUUCCUUUUUUCGCCUUCUUAUUUUACCCCAGAUUCCUCCUAUCCAAACGCAUUAUUUAUUCUCGGUUCUUUGCUUGAUAUGUAUGCUUCUUGACUUUCAAGGUUUGUGCCUUUCAGUUCUUUGUUAAUCGUUAUUCUUAUUCUUGAUUGGUUUAUUUCACCGAUGCCAAAUUUACAGCGGCCUCGACAACUCGGGUAAGACGACAAUUGUGCUCAAGAUAAAUGGGGAGGACACCAGUGUCAUCAGCCCUACUCUUGGCUUUAAUAUCAAGACCAUCCAGUACCAAAAGUAUGUACUACAUUCUUUUGCUUAUUUAUCAAGUUAAAUAUGCCAUUACAAGAAACAUCGCUUCCAGCUGAUGUUAUAUUUGAUCAUUCCAUUUCCAACUCAAGCAAUUUAGGUUGAUGAUUCCAAUUUUAUAGCUGAUGUGAGAAAUUUCAGAGUAAUUUAGUUUGAUGAUUCCAAUUUUAUAGUACCUCUAGGGUAUGCCACUUGUAUUUAGUAUUAACUGAAGGCGUUCUGGAAGAUUUCAUAGUAAUUUUAGCACUUGUAAUAACUGUGUAUGCACUGCAUAGUACCACCUUUUUUCAACAACAACAACAACAAAGCCUUUAGUCCCAAACAAUUUUACCACCUUUUUUCAACAGCGUGAGAAUUUUUCAUGUCUACUUCCUCCGUCCCAAAAUAAGUGUCUCAAGCUUAGUACAACUUUGUACUAAAGCUAGUACAAAGUUAAGACACUUAUUUUGGGACGGAGGGAGUAUUAACCAUUGCAAGUAUGCCAUGCAUUCUGUUAUGUGAAGGGCACCUUAGCCUUCGUAGCUGCAUAAAAUGACUAGAGGAAUCAAUCUGGGCUUGUUCUCUGGAAGUUUAGUGAUUAAUCUAUAACUUCAACAGCUUUAGAUGAUUUCGUUUCAAUUACUGCUGGGGGAGAGUACUGUCGUGUAGUGCUUCAACUAAAAUCAACUGAAGCUGGUCCAGCAGUAUUCAAGGUGUGUAACUAGGUUCUCGGGGGAAAGCUAAGAGAGGAUGACAUCCACAGAUAUGUUUGGGAAUUUUGUAGGUUGUAUUGCUCCACAACCACAAACAUCAGUGUAGUUUGGCACCGAUGUUUUCAAGUGGAAAGAGCAGACGAUAAUAUUUAAAUUCAACACCGGCGCAGUGCAAUUUGGAUAACUUAUGAAUUGACAAUUUUAGAGACAGGGUAGGACAACGGUGACACCGAACAGUACUAUCAAGCAAUAUGAUGGUUUGUUUUAGCUUGUUUUUAAGUCUACGUCAGUCAGCAUCUGUUGUGUUUUCAGCCUACUGUGAAGCAUGCUGUGUGGAUGGUCGUAUUUUUAGCAUUUAAAGUAGGCAAUGCAAUUACUAAUCUGCAUUAAUCUGAAAAAGCACUAAACCACAUCUGUUGUGUUUUAGCUUGUUUUCAAGUGGGAAGAGGAGAUGAUAAUAUUUAAAUCCAACAGUGAUGCAGCGCAACUUGUAUAACUUAUGAUCAGAAAAUUGACAAUUUUUAACUGUGACACCAAAUGGUACAAUCAAGCAAACUGUGAUGGUUCACUUUAGCUUGUUUUUAGGUCUUCGUCAGUCGGCAUCUGUUGUGUUUUCAGCCUACUACGAAGCAAGCUGCAUGGGUGGUUGUACUUUUAGCAUUCAAAGUAGGCAAUGCAAUUGAUAAUCUGCAUUAAUCUGAGAAAGUAGUAAAUCACAUUGGUGAAAAUACAACAUAUUUGGAUUGAAAUUUUGACAGCUGCUUGAUGCUCAUUACUCAUGAAUCAUGGUGGUCAAAAACUCAAAAUGCAAUUAGUACAGCCAUAGGGAACAGCAGAACAAAUUCCGAAGAAUUGAUAAUGGCGCUGAUUGUGGCAGGUACUCGCUGAACAUAUGGGAUGUUGGGGGGCAGAAGACCAUCCGUUCGUAUUGGAGGAACUACUUCGAGCAGACUGACGGUCUAGUUUGGGCGGUUGACAGUUCCGAUGUCCGAAGGCUCGAUGAUUGCCGUGCUGAGCUCCACAAUCUUUUGAAAGAAGAGGUAAAUUGCCUAGUGAAUACCACUGACCUUCUGCUUUAGCGUGCUUUGCCUUGAAAUUUUGCUUCAAAUUACUUUGCUGAAUACUAGCAAUUGCUGUCUAGCAUCAGGAAACUCUUGGGACUGCAAAUUUGAUUACCUGGCAUGUUUGUGCUUAACUUAUGUGCUAUCUUGUUCAACUAUUUGGUGAUCCUUAAAGUAUUGCUUACAGAGACUGGCUGGAUCAUCGCUGUUAGUUUUCGCGAAUAAGCAGGACAUUCAGGGCGCUUUGAAGCCCGACGAAAUCGCCAAGGUAAAACACACUAUCACUAGUCCACUAGUAUGUAUAUAUGGACCCUCAUGUAUCGGUCAAUCUUCUUACCUGGAGUCGGAUGAUGUUAUGAUCCACUUGUGAUCUUCAAUUAAGGAAUAGCCAAAACCUCGGAAAAUAAUCCCAGCAAGCUUAUACAUCACAUACAUACUAGUUUGUGGUCUUUGCUCGAGAUGCUCUUUGUCUUCUUUAAUUGACAUGUUCAGUUGUGUCUUCUGAGUUCGAUGGUAACCGAGUUGAGUUUUUGGAUCCAGGUUCUGAACCUUGAAGCGAUGAACAAGGACCGGCACUGGAAGAUCGUCGGCUGCAGCGCCUACACCGGGGACGGCCUGCUCCAGGGCUUCGACUGGCUGGUCCAGGACAUCGCCUCCCGCAUCUAUGUCCUCGACUGAAACAACAACCAAACUCUGGACAUUUAGCCAUAUGCACCACUGUUAUUGGUUACACAGCCAUAGGCAUGCUGCUGCUUUGGCUGCCUUGUAACAUGUAUGUAAUUUGAUAAGUUUGAACCAAACCAUAGAUGACACUUUUGUUAUGCAAUCUCCUUGCUCAGUUGGAUAGCGUUGGAGACGGCAAGUUUUGCAUCUUAUUCAGCACAGAACACAAAAGAUCCUUGGAUUGAAGUUCCAUUAAUCAGAUCAAGUUUUAUUUCUAAGCAACUCGGGAACAUGAAGUUGAAAUCGCUAGUAAUCACAGAUCAGCAAAGCAAUGUAGCACAUCAUCAGAUCAAGAUUAUGUGAAAGACUAUGCUGAAUUGGCAGCAAGUUUUGCAUGCUUCACAGAGCAAUUCAAUCCUUAUAGCUUGAAGAAAGUUGAAUGGAUGCUUCAGAACAAGAGAAAUUUAAGGAACAAAGAGAGAGGAUAUUUCGCAGCUAUGACUUGCAUUUUCUUCAUCCAUUUAAACUUGUUCAAACAUAGGAUAUUCCAACAUCACAUCCCAAUCCAUGACAGAAGGGGAUUGCUGCAUCACCGACUGACCGACCGACCGACCGACUGAAAGAUAGUAACACAUGUUGUUUCUUCCUCGCGUAACCAGCUCUAAUUAACCCCGGACAGAGCGACACUCGAGCUCGCGAUCAAAAACACCACACACACGACGACUCAGACUGACACAGGAACACGACGACACCGAAGAUAACUUGCUAACGAAGACGACGACGACGACACGGUAGAUAGAUCGAUAACUGGGAGAUUCGAGGCUCAGUUCCUCCACUGGCCGCCGGAGUCGCCGCCGCCACCGCCGCGCUGGCCGCCGUAGCCGCCACCACCGCCGUAGCCGCCGCCGCCGCCGUAGCCGCCGCCGCCACCGCGCUGGCCGCCGUAGCCGCCACCGCCCUGGCCGCCGUAGCCGCCGCCGCCGCCUCCGUAGCCGCCGCCGCCGCCGUAGCCUCCGCCACCGCCGCGCUGGCCGCCGUAGCCGCCGCCGCCGCCGCCCCCUCCGCCCGAGCGGCGGGACUGGGCCUCGUUGACGGUGAUGUUGCGCCCGUCGAGCUCCUUGCCGUUCAUCUCCUCGAUGGCCUGGCGCAUCGACUCCUCGCUGCCGAACGUGACGAAGCCGAACCCGCGGGACCUCCCCGUCUCGCGGUCGUUGAUGAUCUGCACGCACGCACGCACAGAACAAAACCCGCCAGACGCGGUCAGAUCCGCCACAGAAACCACCAGAUCGGGCCAGAUCUAGCGCCGACGACGCGAAAUUCGAACGGAUCUGGGAGGGGAAGGGGGGUUAGGGUUACCUUGGCGUCGAGGAUCUCGCCGUACUGGCUGAAGGCCUGCUGGAGGUUGUUGUCGUCGGUGGCCCAGGCGAGGCCGCCCACGAAGCAGCGGUACUCCGUCUCCGCCAUGGAUGGAUCUCCCUCUCCCUUCCUCUCUACGGAAACCCUAGACUAGGCUAGCUACUCUCGGACCCGAACCGAACCAGAACCCGAACCGGAAGGGGAGGAGAAGCCAACCCCGAGAGCGAUGAGGAGGACGCUGCCCCGCCGCGGGCACGCAUUUAUAGCGGCGGGCGGCCGCCCGGAUCGCAUCACGCGCGCGGCGGGGCCCACGCGUCAGCGAGGAUGGAUGCGGGCUCUCGGGAUUUGGAAUACGCGCACGCCUCGAAUCUUCUUUCCCAAGGCAGCACCAAGGAAAAAUCUGAAUUGCUUGCUUUUUCCUCCUAUAACAACUAGUAACCCUAGUAGGACAAUGAUGCAAAGAAAAAUUUGGGUUUGCUUUUUUCUUUCCUAUAAUAAUAACCGCAUCAAAUCUUUUUCUUUUUGAAGUUUAACCGCAUCAAAUCUUGAGAGAAUCAUUCAGGGGUAUAUAUGAGCUGCAACCCGAUCUUUCUAGAUGUGCGCACAAAUAAUUAAAAAUAAUGAAGCUGCAAGGUGAAAUUUAUAUUUUUCGAAAACCUCAUCGCCCCCUCCCGCCACCCCCCACACAGGGGGCAAAUCAAGAUCGAAACCUCCAUGCGUACGACACUCAUGUGCCUGAUUUCUGUCCCGCUAUCGGUCCAGUAGGUGUUGUGAUUUUGUUCUAAGUAAUGGAUUGUUGGGUGUGUACCAUUGGACACUAAUCGGACAAAGACCAUCGUAUGUGUAGCAGCGCUCAAUCCGAACUUGGGUUAUUAAGUGUUGUUCAAAUGGAUGUACCUUCGACAUGUAAAUACACUCGUGUGAGCGAUACUUAUUGUGGGAUGGAAGGAGCUCAUGAAAGCGUGGAGUGUACGCCUUGCUCGUUGGAGCCACCAUGUAACUCCAGUCAAAAUCAUCGGUUUGCUUCCUUGAUAGUGUGGAUGUGAAAUUUCUAGUGCGGAAAAUUAACAGUCAGUGAGGUAAUUCAAAACGUGUGUAGAUAGGCGCGCUCAUUGUACAUGCCUCGUUGAAAAGGCGUUUAGGACAUCGUUGUGGCAUCAAUUGCUUGCAUCUCACCCAUCGGCGUCAGGGCAGUGGAGAUGAAUGUGGCCCUAUGAUGUGAUGAUACCAAAAUUGCAUCGCCUUUUCUUUACAUUAUUUGGUCGUGUGGUGAACGUAGAGGCACAUAACCUAGACAGGAACGGGUGAAGAUUAUCUAUGGUCUCAACAUCCCAUUAUGUUCUUUUAGGAACAAGCAGGUAGAUGUUUUUUUUUGUGAGAAAACUUCUGAGCUAUUCAACAUGUCAUGGCAGUACAAAGAACACACACAAAAAAUGAAAAUUACAUCCAUGUCCAUAGACAUCCUAGUGGCGACUACAAGCACUGGAGCGAGAGCCGAAGGCGCGCCGUCGUCAUCACCCCUCCCUCACCGGAACUGGGGCGAACUUGUUGUAGUAGACAGUCAGAAAGUCGUCGUGUUAAGGCCCUAUAGGACUAGCGCACCAGAACAUCACCCGUUGCAGAUGAACUGAAGUAUAGAUCGAAAGAGUGCAACCUGUAGUCACAGGAAUGAAGACGAACAAAGGCUGGAUCAAAACGGAUCCACCAAGCACCGACCGAAUCCUGCAAGAUCCGACGGAGACACACCUCCACGCACCCUCCGACGACGCUAGACACAUCACCGGUGCGGGGCCCGGGCGGGGAGAGGCUCAGGGAGCCUCCACCAUCUCGUCUUCCCGAGCAGAACACAAACCCUAAACGGACUCAUAAAAACACCUAAAAUCGUAGGAAGAGCUCUCCCGCCAGCAAGGACUAAGGUCCACCACGCCUCCAUGGCCCUAGGUCCGCCUAAGACGAGGCGGGCCGGUGACGGCGCCGACGAGAGGUAGAGGAACCCUAAUUUCUUUCCUGGAGAGGAGGUGGAGGCGGCGGCUAUCUUCUUUUCUAACCCAGGAGAGGAAACUAGCAAGCAGGUACUCCCUCCGUUCGGAAUUACUUGUCUCGGAAAUGGAUGUAUCUAGAACUAAAAUACAUCUAGAUAAAUCCAUUUUCUGCGACAAGUAAUUCCGAACGGAGGGAGUAGAUGUUAUCGGUACAAAGUGCCUAAACUACUUAAACCAAUCUUCUUUGCGUUUCCCGUUCCUUAGAUACCAAUCUUCUUUAAACGCCCUGCGGACGUCAAAAUAGCAAAAUCUAGACGCAUAUGGGGAAAAAAUGGGCACAUGGCAUGCACAUGUGUCUACCAACUUAAUCGAAAGCAUGGUGGAGGGGCGAUGACGGCGGCGCGCCUUCGGCUCGCUUCAGUGCUGGUAGCUGUCGCUAGGUGGUCUACGGAUCUGGAUGUAAUUUUUAUUAUUUCUGGUAUUCGUUGUACUGCCAUGAUUGAAGAUGAAUAGAUCGGAAAUUUUCUCGCAAAAAAAAAAUUUGCUCAUAGCAUUUUCUUUUCCUUUUUUGAGAAACCAUAGCAAAAAAAAAAGAAAUUUAGGGGCACCAUAGCACUUUUGCUUUUUUUGGGAGCAAUUUUGCUGAAACCGGCACCUGCACAAACCGGCAGGCCAGGUCGGGGAGCGAACGUCGGGGGACUCGGAGCAGCGGGGCAGCAGGGCGCCGAUCCCUAGGCGCAGAGCACCGUGCCCCACGUGCGGUGGGCCCGGGGCACAGGCUGCCCCCGCACGCCCUCUCUCCCCUCGCCCCUAUCGCGGAGGCCCGGAGGAAAAACAAUAAUAAAUAGUAUCUCGGAGCGCGAAAUGACGGCCCUGCCCCUGCCUCCCCGUGAAACCCCCGCCCGUCCGUCCAGCCGGAACGGAACGGAACGGAACGGAGACCCUGCACGCGCGUCGGCGUCGCGGCCUCGUGACGAUGGGACGGGAUUUGGUUAACUAAUCAGCGGCGGGCAGGGCCCACCCACCUGCGGCUGCGGGCUGGAUGUAUUUGGAUCAGGCCGGUGAGGUGUCACUCGGCGUCGCUUUCGCGUGAUGGGACGGAACGGAACGGGACGGGACGGGCGGGUGCUCGCUUGAUGAUUAAAAUGAGUAGCACACGACGGGGAAUCCGUGUGCUGGAGAACAGUUUUGGAGGGAGCGUGCACAGUGAGUGAUGGAUCGAUGGGCGUGUGGAUCCCCAUCCGAUCCAAUCAAGGGCGACCGAAUCUUGUUCCAGCGGCUGCAGGGGAGGAUAACAUAUUGAUUCUUUUUUAUAUUAUAUUAUUAUACGGCGCAAAAGCUAAGCGAACAGAUGGUAUUGAUUCUUUUUUCUUUUGGAGGGAAAAGGGAAAAUGCGAGGCGAUAAUUACGAGGCAGUAAUAAGAGGAAGAGGAACAAGAAGCAAAAAGGAUUGAGAAAAUGGCAAAACAAAUGAGGUCCCACCGAGACUUGAACUCGGGUUACUGGAUUCAGAGUCCAAUGUCCUGACCACUAGACCAUGGGACCAUUUGAUGCACAGGAAAGAGAUUUUGUUUACUUAAAUCAAGUGUCGUCCAACCCCAUUAACUAAUUCCAAGUGCAGAACCCAGCGCCAUCGGUCCAAUUAGCUAACUGCGGGUCAAAACAGGAAGUUUAAACCCACUUAUCUGACUUAAAAGCUCUGCCGAUUCAGUCACGCAGCAAACGAUAUGUGGUUGGCUCUGCAGAUGUCUGGUUCGUCACUUGCUCUGCAGAUUGUAAUACUGAGGUUAUCUGCAUCAUCGGUAGAUUAAUGUGUGAACCAGUUAGUUAGCAACAAGCUUUGCAUGCAUUUUCCUUGUAUUGGGCACGGUAUCGUCCCUUCUUCUCGAUGCCAUCCACAUUCCAAGGUGUUACAACAUCAUAGGAGUUAAGGGCAUCUUCAAACAGACCCUCAAACCGCCUGUAUCCGUUCGGAUCACGCGCUACAGACGUGUUUUGCCAUCUAAAGGGGGAAUAUAUUGGUCCGCCGACCUGUCCGGAUGCAUUUUUUCCCGCAAUUUGAAGCAAAUUAGGGGGGCUUUGUAGGAGUCCGGACAACAGCUACANNNNNNNNNNNNNNNNNNNNNNNNNNNNNNNNNNNNNNNNNNNNNNNNNNNNNNNNNNNNNNNNNNNNNNNNNNNNNNNNNNNNNNNNNNNNNNNNNNNNNNNNNNNNNNNNNNNNNNNNNNNNNNNNNNNNNNNNNNNNNNNNNNNNNNNNNNNNNNNNNNNNNNNNNNNNNNNNNNNNNNNNNNNNNNNNNNNNNNNNNNNNNNNNNNNNNNNNNNNNNNNNNNNNNNNNNNNNNNNNNNNNNNNNNNNNNNNNNNNNNNNNNNNNNNNNNNNNNNNNNNNNNNNNNNNNNNNNNNNNNNNNNNNNNNNNNNNNNNNNNNNNNNNNNNNNNNNNNNNNNNNNNCUCCCGGACUCAUUCUCUUCCACUCCGCCCCUUCCCCCCUUACUUUGCAUUCGCCACUGUUGUACCUCUCUGGCCGCCACCCAGGCAUUGCCGGACACCCGCAACCACCACCCACGCGCCCGCUCACCUCAUACUAUGGGCGUCGUCCACCAAAGAUCCGUGCGCAGCCACAUACCCUCUCCCCCCCUGUUGGAUGGCGGGGGCGCUCGAGCAUGGAGGAUGAGUUGUUGUGCAAUGCGUGGUUGGCCAUAUCCACGGAAUUCAUAGGCAGGAGCAGAAGGGAGCGGAAUGCAUAAUUUGUUUCACACGCGGAAGCACAUUGCGUCAUACGAUAUGCACAUCAUUCAUGAAUGCAAUGUGUAGUCGUCAGUGUAUCGAUGUUACAUCAUCUAGACUGCCGUCGCCAAGUUUUGAGGCGCGGUUGAUCGGUUGGAGGCAAGGUGGCCAUUUGCGCGCAACAACCAUGGAUAUCGUAAGUUUUGCUUCUUCUUGCUCAACUUGUUAAUCCAUUCAUUCACUCAAUGUUGCUCUACACAUUGUGUAGAUAGUACGUGUUGUCGUGAUGUACCACGGGAUAAAGGGACGACCAUUUACACACAUACAUUGUUGCACGAAGCUCAAGGGGCAGUAUGUGUGGGAUGAUGUGAUCCGUUCAUGAAAAACUUGUUGAACAUCCGGUUAAUCUCAUUGAAUUUGAACUAUUGUUGUGCUAGACUUUUUUGCAUGCCAUGUAUGGAUGAUUUGUACUGUUUUUCUAUCCAAACUUUGAUGAAUUCCAUCAUUUUGAUGAGUUUUGUCCGAUUAGUUGAAAUGCGGUUUGAAAUGUAUGCGGAUAGCGGAUGGCCGGUUCCCGCGUCCGUGUCCGCAGACUGCCCCCCUAUUCACGGACGGAUGUGGUGUCCGGAUUGCAGGUCAGCGUUGAAGAUGCCCUAAUUGCCCAAAACUAUCACAUUUGUUGUUAAGUUUGGAGAAAACCAUGGUAGGGAUUUUAAUUCCCUAGACCUGUCGCAAUUUGACAUUGUCUCCGUCCUAAGGCGAGCAGAGAUACUGGUCUCCACUCCGGCAAUGUGUGAGAGAUAGUGAUCUCUCCUCCGUCCUCGGCUUGGUUGUCUUGACAUAACAGACGCUGUUCCUCUCAUCCUCCGUCUGGUGCGUCCCUACGGCCUCUACGCAUGCUGAUCCUCUUCGGCGUGGAGUUCACCUUCGACCCUAUCUUGUUGUUUUCUUUGGGGGCAGUUGUGUUUGGGUUUCUCUAGAUAGCAUCUACGUACUCGCUGCAUGCAUUUCUUGCAUGUAUCAAGUUUGUGUCUUUGUAUUCAACACCACUGUAUCCCCUAGUUAGUUGAUGGUUUCACUAAUUUGAAGUUGGACUAUAUGACUUUUCUCUAAAAAAAUCUUUUGAAGUUCCUAUCUGAACUUGCCCCUUGUCUACCUUGAUGACCAUUUUCACUUGAUUUCAUCCUCGCACGGGCUACCCUGAAGCCUUUCUUUCGAUGCAGACCCAUGAGAAUUAUCUAACCAAUACAGACAUAGAAAACAUAUUGUACGUAUUAGUUCAAUAAAUGAUUCAUAAUUUCUUACCAUACCACUCAAGCCCAUGUGGAUAACUUGCGCUUGUGAGUUGACCUCUAUAGUUUGAUCUUUCAUCUUUAUCUUUACUCCACGAUCAAAUUUGAUGUCUUGAAGGUCAUAUAGAUUUGCAUAUAACUCAUCACUGUUUCUAGUUGAUCUUGGGUGGUUCUCUACGAGAGAACCUCCGGAAUGUUGUUAGCUUCAAUAAGAGCCCAAGUUCAUCCAAAGCGGAGUUUGAUUGUGGAAAUUUGGCCAAAAUGAUAAAACACGUGCAACAAAUUUUGCACCAUUGGACAAUCCAGUCAGGUGCAUCGACGGAUUAGAAACCUUCCAUGAGGCCAGACAAUCUGGUCAUUUUGGACCAGACAGUCUGGCCAUUUUGGACCAGCCAGUCCGAGUGCAUAAAAAAAAAGUCCAAUAGGCAGAUUUGGGUAUGGAAUUUCCCAUUUCUUUUGCUCUUUGUUGAUCUUAAUAUUUUCAUCAUUUGAAAUCAAUGAUAUUGACGUAUAUCUUCAUCUUGAUGCCAUUCAUUCCAAAACAUCCAAUUUCCUUAUUGCAUCACACAUGAAACAUGUCGUCAUACAUAGGGGACGACAUAUAAUUGGAGAAAGAAGAAGACUAGUAUUAUCUUGAACACAUUUUUCUAGUGACUGUUCUGUGUCCAACAGUUUUUUCCAUUGCACUGGUUAUUGUUUUCCACGAUAAUUAUCAGAUCUAAAGAGUCGGUGUGUUUUCCUAAAAAACUGUUGCUUUACACGUCAUUGCAAAUACCUUAAUCUCCAGUGAGGAUAAUUAUCAUUGGCCUUUUCUCUAGACCCGAGUAAUGUCGUGUUGGGCUCGCACUUCUCCUUGGCCCCGGCAUGGACAACCCGGCCCGAAAGCCAGGCCGGGUUCGGGCUUAGCUUUUCCACCCGAAGCCUGGCCUGAAAGCCCGAAAAGGGCAUUAAUCACUAUUUUACUACAAAUGUAGGUAUAAUAAUAUAUCAUUUAAAUGUCCUGAAAUUAAUUGUUUUAAUUUAAAAAGAACACUGUUCAUGUGUUUCGGGCCGGGCCGGGCCGGGCUAGGGCUUGAGAUUUUGGGAACGAUCUAGACAAAGCCCGGCCCGACGAAUGCCCGGGUUUACUUUCCCUCAUGGCAAAGCAGGGAGACGUAUUUCCCCAAACCCGCCUUCCUACGAGUGCCGCUAACAACCACGCCCUCACUCACUGGCCACCUGAAACAGAAACAGAAACAGAAAGAUUCUCUCUUUCAAGUCCGGCCGGCGGCUAAACCCAAACCCCCGAGCCCGAUGUCGCCGGCGGCGACGCGCAUCCUGCUCGCGGGCGCCCGGCGCCGCGGCCGCGGCCUCUCCACGUCGGCCGAGCCCUCCCCCUCCCCCUCCCUGUCCCCCUCGCAGCUCCCGAGCGGCAAGCGCUGGGACGCGGUGGUGAUCGGCGGCGGCCACAACGGGCUCGCGGCCGCCGCCUACCUCGCGCGCGCCGGCCGCUCCGUCGCCGUGCUUGAGCGUCGGGGCGUCCUCGGCGGCGCCGCCGUGUCCGAGUCGGACCUCGUCCCCGGCUUCCGCUUCUCCCGCUGCAGCUACCUCCUCAGCCUCCUCCGCCCCGCCCUCAUCCGGUAAACCGUCGUCUCCCGAUCCCCUCCUCUCCCGGCGAUCGAUCUCAACCUCCAUUUCCGUCGGAUUUACUUACGAACCGGGCCCCUGUUCCGUACCUGAAUUCUGAAAUUCUGUGAGGAUGUAUGUACUGAAGAACUGAUACUGCUGCUACUGAUGAUGGAUGAUUCAGGGAGCUGGAGCUGGAGAGGCACGGGCUGAAGCUCCUGCCGCGGAGCCCGUCGUCGUUCACGCCGUGCCUCGACGGCCGGUACCUGCUCCUCGGCCCGGACGCGGAGCUGAACCGCUCCGAGAUCGGCAAGUUCUCCAAGAAAGAUGCAGAGGCAUACCCGAGGUGACUGACAGACAGACAGACAGACAGACACACCAAGAAUUCACUGUGGUUUCCUCUGCGCGUUUGAGCUUGGAUUGGUCUUUACACUAGCACUGGGUUUGAUGUGUGAGUGUAGGUACGAGGAGCAGCUAGAGAAGUUCUGCAAGCUCAUGGACUUCGUCAUAGACUCGCCUCCACCGGAGCUGAGGCAGCUGUACCAUGCCUCCAUGGUCGACAGGAUGAAGGAUAAGGUGGACAAGUCAGUGUUCUGGAGCAAGCUUCUUGGCCUUGUGAUGCAACAGGGGCAACAGGACAUGGUGUGAGUGCUAAAUACAUCACCCCUCUUAGUGAUGUUAUUGUUGCAGACAUUUGCGAACAAUGCAGUGUGUAAAGUUGAAUCUUUUUUACACUGGCAGGAACUUCUUCGACCUUCUUCUGUCGCCAGCGUCGAAGAUCUUGAAUAACUGGUUUGAGGUUGAAAGCUUGCUUCCCUCUUAUCUGAAACACUUCUCUUCUGUCUUCACAAUGAUCAUAUGGAGAAAGCUGUAUUGCAUUUGACUAUCUACACAUGUCGGAUGAGAAUAACUUCUUGAGUUCUUGUGCUGACCGCUCUAGUACUACAGGGUGAUGUAUUGAAGGCGACCCUGGCGACUGAUGCCGUGAUAGGUACUAUGGUAAGGGUGCAUUGCUUAAUCCACAUUUUGUUGCGCCUAAUGCAUUAGUGUUUGACCAUUGCGUCUCCUUGUAUAGGCUGGUGUGAACACUCCAGGAUCAGGAUAUGUUCUCCUGCACCACAUCAUGGGGGAAACUGGUGGUCAACGUGGUGUUUGGGCGUAUGCUUCUGACCAUAUCCAUGUUAUUCUGUUCCACCAUAAAACAGUGUAGUUAGCAAAAACCCAUAGGAUAAUGUAGCCUUGAUUGUUCUACGUACACUUGAAACGGAAUUAAGGAUUGCUGGUGUUUAUCUCCACUGGCUAGGAAACAACUUUUCAGUUGCCUUAGAGUCAGUUUCAAGGGGUGAUGUCACAGAAAAUGUCAUCACACUCUACCCAAAUUUGUUGGUGUUGCCACUUUUAGUUCUUUAUUUAGUUGGUGUCUUCUUUUACCUUUCUUUCUCUUUUUCAGAAAACCUUUCAUUAAUUUUUUUUUUUACACUUGCAGGUAUGUCGAAGGUGGUAUGGGUUCAGUCUCAUCAGCUAUAAGCAAAGCAGCCCUCGAAGCAGGCGUGCAAAUUGUAACAAAUGCUGAGGUGCAUUUUCUCUUCUUGUGCAAGCCCUCUUUGUUCCAUGUCGAUCAUGUUUGGCUGAACAAAUGAUUAAAAUCAAAGCAGAUCAGAAAAAAAACUGGGUUUUACAUUGAAGAAGUCAUUAAUUAUGUAGUCGCAUAAUUAUAAUUGUGCGACCAAUUUUUUAUUUGGCGUUUCUUGCCUGAUUUGCCCCAGUUUUUUUUGCAUAGGUUUCGCAAGUAAUGGUCGAUGAAAAUACUGGAAAGGUGCAAGGGGUAAGUCUUGGACUAAUCAGCAAGUGUAUGUGCACUGUGUAGUUCAUUUCUUUCUACCUCUUGAAGGUUUGAGAAUCUGUAGGUUGCUUUGGCUGAUGGAACCGAGUUGCACUCAUCAGUUGUGUUAUCAAAUGCCACACCAUAUAAAACAUUUGUGGUAAGAAUCACUCUGAAUAUGUAGCGGUGUGAAGAUUUUUAGCUCUAAUUUUGCAGGCAUAAUUAGAAAAUAUCCUCUAAAUUGACACCUGGUUUUAUUUGCAGGACCUUGUGCCAGCCAAUACUCUUCUAGAGGAGUUCCUCUGUGCCAUCAAGACAGCAGAUUAUAGCUCCGUAAGUACUUAGUUACUAGCUUAUUUAAAUAAAAGAAUUACAUUGGUGGUGUGCAUUCUUACAAAUAUACGAUGAUAACCUUGUUCAUUUACUUGUAUAGUCUAGCUAUUAUCCUCGCAUUUCAUUAGUAUGGAUGCCAAAAUUUUCUUAAGUAAAUAGAACUCGUGAUUGUGGGAAACAGACUAUUCAUAGCAAUGUUAUAUAGCAUCUGAAAAUUCUUACGUGCAAAGCUAUUUAUGGUCCACAUUGACUUUCAGUAACCAACUUGUAAUAUUGUUGCUAACUAUGCUCUCUGGAGAACAGGCAACAACGAAGAUCAACGUUGCUGUUAAUGCGCUGCCACAGUUUCGCUGUUGCAAAAACAUCAACCCUAAAGGUGGCCCGGAGCACAUGGGCACCAUACACAUUGGAUCUGAAAGGUAAUUAAGUUAGGGAAUAUUUCCUACUUUGGCACAUAUUUAUCAACUGUGUCCAUUGUUCUUCUGCAUAUCUGUGGACAAGCAACAAUCUACGAGACACUGUUUGUUAUCUUGGUCCUGUUCAUGUAUAGCAGGGCAAGGAAAAUAAUCUCUUAAUUCAACAUUGUCACUCUUCAAUAGGAAAUUCUGCUGUUUACAUUUAGUGUUCCUUGCUUGUCAUGUCAACCUGAUGCACCAACUUGGUAGCCUACAUCUAUGUUUCGAAGUAUAUGUUAUUGCUAGUACCUCAGGAUAAUAAAGAGCAUAGUCUGGCCAGGCUAAGCAGUCAUAAGAUGUCCGAGUUGUGGAUUAGUGUUUUCAUUCUUCGAAGGAAAAAGCUAGAUCAUCUGGCAAAUCAAUUCUUUGUGUGAGACGAUUUUUGUAUAAUUCAGCAGUCACUUUUUCAGACUUAAGCCUUGUUAUAUCUCAAUAUGGAACUUUUACUUGCUCUUCAGCAUGGAGGAAAUCGAUAUAGCAUACAAGGAAGCUGCAGGCGGCUUCUCAUCCACAAGGCCUGUUAUAGAAAUGACAAUUCCUUCAGUCUUAGAUAAGACCAUCUCUCCACCAGGUAUGUCACUUUCUUUUGCUUCCCCAUAAUUUCAUCUGAGUAAGUUUACUAUUCUGCAAUAUUUAAUUAUAAGGAACCUGUUCUAUGUACACUAAAUUUACAUUUUAGAGUUAAUGUGUUGAAGGUCAUUUUCGAUGUUUAUAAUGUUGUGAUCUUCCAUAUUGUGUAUAUACUUCACAUGGACUUAUGGACUGACUCGUAUUCCAUCUUUCACUUUAAUCCUUUGGAUAGGUCAGCAUGUUAUUAAUCUGUUUGUUCAGUACACACCCUACAAACUGUCAGAAGGCAGUUGGCAGGAUCCGGCUGUUCGAGUAAGUUGAUCCUUCUUACAUUUUGAUUUCAUGAUGCACUGUAUGUUUAAUCUUUGCCCAAACACAAAUGAAAUAUAUGAUAAAAUUGAUAACCUUGCCCUUGGGCAUUGUGAUCCAUCACUGUGUGGAGAGAAUGAUUUUUCUGAAAUUAGAUCCACCUACCGACCAUUGACCAUUUUGAUCGACACCAAUUUUCAGAAAUCAUUUGCUGAGAGAUGCUUUUCCUUGAUCGAUGAGUAUGCACCACACUUUAGCUCAUCAGUGAUAGGCUAUGACAUGCUGACUCCACCUGAUCUUGAAAGGGAGUUUGGCCUAACAGGUAAUAUCCCUUGGUAUUAUGUAUUUUCUUUUGUAAGCUGUGUGCCCGCAGACCGGAUACCGUUUCGUAUUGUUCCUUCUUACCAGUUGAAAAACUUAGCUAAGCAGAGACGAUUCACAUUUCUCAGGUGGCAACAUCUUUCACGGCGCGAUGGGCUUGGAUUCCCUCUUCCUAAUGAGGCCUGCCAAGGGAUGGUAUGUUGGAGUCACAUGCAUAUUAAGUUGUGCUCUGGCCUCUUCUACGACACAACCUUUGACCCUUCCAAGGUUCAAAACCUGUUCCGCUUUGUGAUAAUGGCUAACCUGUUUCGCUUUGCACCAUACAGGUCAGAUUACAGAACCCCUGUGAAGGGGCUGUACCUCUGCGGCAGUGGUGCGCACCCAGGCGGCGGGGUGAUGGGUGCCCCGGGCCGCAAUGCCGCUGCUGUGGUUUUGGAUGAUCUCAAGGCAAGAUAGAUGCAAUUAACGGAAGAUGGAAACGGCAGCUGACACUAGGGUAACAUUUUCAAGCACAAGGCUGCAUGCAAAAGCAGCACCAGUGUGUAAUCUCUUGUACCGAAAUGCGAACCUUGUCGUUAAGCCAUCUGGUAGAGACCAUUUUGUCAUGCAUACUUACAUGAUAAAAAAGAUGAGACAUGAGAAGCAUUUUUCUGAAUGAAUUGUUGCAGCUGUUCUCAUUUUGGCUCUCUUAUCAGAGGGCUCAAAGGGAUUAAUUCUCAGUUACGCGGUUACAUCAAUUUUCUUCGGUAUGAAGUAGUUUCUCAAUGCAGUCUGCCGAACCUUCAAUUUGGUUAAAUGUGAAGAGGAGUAGAGUUUGUGAAUCUAAGUCUUAAUAAGGCCUGAUUGGCGGUGUUUAAUAAUACAACGGACAUCCAUGAACUUCUCACCCUUCUUCAUGCAAUUGUCACCAUUUUCUUCUCUUCUGGCAAGAGGAAAUAAAACAUGCAAAUAGAAUGAUCUCAUGUUUUCGCAGCGCUUAUUGUAUGACGGAAGAGACUGUAACAGAAACCUGGCUCUUGAAUGAUUUGCUCAACACUCAUCGCAAGGACUUCUCGUUGUUCCUCAUGCGAUUGACAUUAGACUACUCACUGCAUGAAGUUUUCACUAUCUUUUCUUCUCUUCCUGCACGAGGAAACAAAACAUGGAAAUAUAAUGAUCACAUGAUUUUGCAGCCUGUACUCAUAUGAACACGCUUCUUGAAUGACUUGAUCAAUGCACUUAUUGCAUGCCUUGCUAACAAUGUUGCAUCGUUAAUGCCCUAUAUAUAUCCAGCUUAUAUCCAGCUGCCUUAGAAUCUGGGUGUCAAAGGUCCAGUGUUGUAUCGUUAGUAUGUCUGUUUUAGUGUCCGGUCUAUGGGAUACUCUGGAGUGAAAUAUUGGAGGAAAACAAAAUAUAAUGGUAUUUCCUGAUAUACUCCUGCAUUACCAAAAACCUUGGAUUCAUCAACCCCAACCUGGAUCACAGCCGCAUUCAUGUUCGCAAUGGAGCUCGCCUUCAGUCACUUCGCCGUCGCAGCGGCGACUGUUGUAUUCAGCAGCACCAUCUGGCAGCUCCGCCACACCCCAGCCUUCCUCCCGCUAAAGCGCCACACAAUCUAGGCAAUACACGCUGCACCGCAUUGGAAGAACCUCGCCUCUGCCCGGACAAAUGAGUAAAUUCUCACCAAUCGUCUUCGCCGGAGAGGCACGACACUCGGAGGAGCGUCUAGCACACACCACUGCGGGUCGGGCCUUCCUGGUGGGAGGCAGGGAGAUAAAAACAUCCGUGACAUCUUCUGCGAGCUUGUUCAGAUGUCCGUUCUCACUUUUUGUGGCUAAAUGCCCACCGUGAAGGUUGGCAAUAUGCUCACCAACUCGCAAAGCCAUGCCGGAGUAUCAGACUAGUUCGAGCUUAGCGACGGAGCAAACCUGUCAAGCUUCCGCAUAUAACAUCAAGGGGGAUCCACUUCCCUAUGAUCUGGUUGUACACAUAUCCGCAAUGACACUCAACCUUCUCCAAGCAUUCACGAGGGCAUUUAGUAUAUAGGGCAAGGAAAGUGAUCUUUUAAUUCAAUGGUGUCACUCUUCAAUAGCAAAUUAUACUGUUUACAUUUAGUGUUCCUUGCUUGUCAUGUCAAUUUGAUGCAGCGAUUUGUUAACUUAAAUCUAUGUGUUGAAGUAGUUAGUACCUUAGGAUAAUAAAGAUUAAAGAGCAUAGUCUUUCCAUGCUUAGUUAUAACAUGUCCAAGUAAUAGAUCAGCCUUUUCAUUCUUCCUAAGGAAAAAGCUACAUCAUGAUCUGGCCACUUAUUCUAUUGCGUGAGAUGAUUUUUGUAUAGUUGUGCAGUCACUUCUUCAGACCUAAUCCUUGUCACAUUUCAACAUGGAACUUUUACUUGCUCUUCGGCAUGGAGGAAAUCGAUGUAGCAAACAAGCAAGCUACAGGUGGGUGUCUCAUCCACAAGGCCUGUAAUAGAAAUGACAAUUCCUUCAGUCUUAGAUAAGACCAUCUCUCCACCAGGUAUGCCAUUUUUCUUUUGCUUCCCCAUAACUGAAAUUUUGUAAAUUUACUACCAUGUGAUAUUUAAUUUCACUACCCCGAUGAACCAAGAAAUGUGCAUGGAACCUGUUCUAUGUAACGUGCAGAGAGGUACUGCCGUGGCAGCAAGUACAAAAUUACAUAGGCACGGUGCAAUGUGCAGAGAGGUAGGAGCGCCACCACGAGAAGACGUCCUUCUUGUCUUGUGUUUCCACAAGACGAUGAGACCACAUGUCCAAAUCAGAAAUAAGGUUCCUAAGGGUGAUUACAGAGCUUUGAUCGAUAUUCCUAAACACCAUGUCAUUACGUGCUGCCCAAAUCUUCCAUAAUAAUGCCAUGAGGACCAAGGGCCAUGCUGUGGUAGAGAGAAGAGGACGUAGAUUGAUGUCCCAGAGCUCCGUGAUGUCGUCGGCUUGUGGCAAAAACCCAAGACGUUGCCAAAUCCUAUUGGCAAGAGGACAUGUGAUGAAAAGGUGGCUGGAGUCUUCAGGUAAUCUAGCACACCGGGGGCAUAUAUAUCUGAAGAGAUUAUAUGCUUGUGUGCAAGAUUGACCCUAGUAUUGAGACGGUCUUUGAAGAGUAGCCAGGCAAAGACUUUAAGCUUUCGAGGAGCCUUGGCGCUCCAAAUGAGGGGAGCAACGAGAUCGUUAUCUAGCCGAGCCAUGAGGGCACCGUACGCGUGCCUGGCGGUGAAGCAAAUGCCAUGUUGUAGGAACCGUUGAUCUUCUCCCGCCGAGGGCAUGAAGUCCUGCAAAAUAGCCAGAAGCGAAACAAGCUCUUGUUCUGCCAUGAGAGUGAGACGAUUACGGAGGUUAGCUCGGAUACUGAAACACCAAAUAUUAGCCACUUUAACCAGCUCUAGGGUGGAGUGUGAAAACAGGUGGGGGAAGGUGAUGGCAAGGGGUUGUGGGGUUAGCCAAGUGUCAAGCCAGAAAUAAGUAUGUGAGCCAUUGUUUGUUAGCACGAACGAGAUAGUUUGUAGGGUAGGGAUUUGUUGUGAAAUUGUGCGGCAAAGAAAGGAGGUUUGAGGGGAUGAUGAAACUAGGGCGUUGGGGUGUUGGAGAUCAAGCCACUCUAACCAAGGUGUCUGUGCGGAGGAGAGUGCUUUGGCGGCAAAUUUCAUGAGGAGGCAAUUGUUUUGGACCUGCAGGUUUUUAAGCCCUAAACCACCGAAUUUUUUUGGUAAGCAAACAUUUUUCCAUGCAAUAAGACAUUGAGCACCUGAGCAAGCAUCUUCCCCAGCCCAAAAAAACGCCCUUCUCAGAGAGUCAAUUGUUUUGAGUGCUUUCUUGGGGAUGCGAAAUAUUGACAUGAAAUAGGUGAGGAUUGAGUCCAGAACAACAGAAAUGAGGAUGAGCCGAUUGCCACCUCUUUGUUCAGUACACACCUUACACACUGUCGGAAGUCAGUUGGCAGGAUCCGAUCUUAGAGUAAGUUGAUCCGCCUUACGUUUUAGUCUAAUGAUGCACUGCGUGUUUAAUCUUUGCACUUCACCACAGCCCACACUUCUUCCUGUGUAUACUGCCUCGCAAAUAAUUUCUACUCAUACCUUAAAAGAGUAGACGACGAUGCCCUUGCCCUAAGGCAUUGUGAUCCGUCACUGUGCGGAGAGAACUAUUUCUCUGAAUUUGGGUCCACCUACCGAUCAUCGACCAUUUUGAUUGAUACCAAUUUUCAGAAAUCAUUUGCUAAAAGAUGAUUUUACUUGAUCGGUGAGUAUGCACCGCACUUCAGUUCAUCAGCGAUAGGCUAUGAUAUGCUGAGUUGCUGACCCACCUGAUCUUGAAAGGGAGUUUGGCCUAACAGGUAAUAUCUCUUCGUACUAUGUAUGCAUUUAUCUUUUGUAAGCCACACACACACACGCAGACCGGAUACCAUUAUGUAUCAUUCCUUCCUUUUACCAGUUGGAAUUUUUUAGCUAAAGGAGAGACGAUUCACAUUUCCCAGGUGGCAACACAUCUUUCACGGCGCGAUGGGCUUGGGUUCCCUCUUCCCGAUGAGGCCUGCCAAGGGACGGUAUGUUCGAGUCACAUGCAUAUUAAGUUGUGCUCUGGUCCCUUCUACUUCACAAACUUUGAUUCUUUUAAGGUUCAAAACUCAUGCCUUUGUGAUAAUGGCUGACCUGUUUCUCUUUGCACCAUAGAUGUCAGAAUGCAGAACCCUUGUGAAGUGGCUCUACCUCUGCGGUAGCGGUGCGCACCCAGGCGGCAGUGGGGUGAUGGGCACCCCGGGCCGCAACGCUGCUGCCAUGGUUUUGGAUGAUCUCUAGGCAAGAUAGAUGUAAUUCAUGGAAGUUGGCAGCUGGCACUAGAGUAGCAUUUUAAGCUCAAGGCUGAAAAAGCAAGAGUACCUGUGAUGUUGUAAUCUCUUGUAUCAGAAUGCGAGCCUUGUUGUUAAGCCAUCUGGUGGAGACACGUUUAUCAUGCAUACUUACAUGAUUGAAACGAGGAGUCGUGAGAAGCAUUUUCUGAUGCAGAGGCCGGGGGUCUUCCUCAUUUUCAAAAAAAGAAAAGAAAAGAAGAGAGAAGCAUUUUCUGAAUGAACUGCCUGUGUAGCUAUUCUCAUUUCGGUUUUCUUAUUGGAGCCGAUUACUCCCAGUUAUGUGCUUGCGUCUAUUUUUUCUUUAUCAGUAGAUUCUCCCAAACCUCCAGUUUGAUCAAUUAUGAAGAAGAUGAAAAGGAUGGUUGGGAAAAAACAACACGAAGGUUCCAACAAUCUGAUACAUGUUAAGAUUAAUGGCCGACUAGAUCAGAAUCGCGCCUUGGCGCGAGGGUGCCGGUCCAACGUUUUUGAGAAGCAGGUGAUGCUAAGUCAAUAGUAAUCCAGAUUUAGCAUAUGCAUUCACAUAAGAUAAGUCAGUAGUAAUCCACGUUUAGCAUAUGCAUGAUAACGAUGCAGUGAAGAAAAAACAUUCAACUGUUAUAGGAGCGAGACAUAGUGGUGCUCAAUAUCGGCAUGAGUCUAUAAGGCAAAAUCAAUUUCAAUGCGUUCAUAAGACCACUCGACAGAAAGUUCGAAACCAAUAGCGCACCCACUCAACAGGAAGUGCGGCUUGACGCACCCAACUUGACCCUGUCAUAUCCAGUCCACCAAAACAAUAACACAGAUGGGUAAAACACUAUUAAUAACGACUAUAACCACAAUGAGUCUGCCAUUGCAGGUAUAUACUUACACCACAACGAGCUUUACAUUGCAAUAUAUACACUUACACAUUGGCUGAUAACACGUUUUAGGGUGGACAGGUAAGGCGAGACUCGAUACAACUUACCAACCACUAUCAUUAUCACUUAUAGUCUCAAAAGUGGUAUGUUGAGCAAUAAAAAUGAACAACUCCUGUAGGGUAAAGGGCAAGCUUUGCUAAAGUCACUUCGUCUGGGUCAACCGCAAGGAUCCGAUGCUCAUAGCAAAUAAAACAGCAUGUGACAAUGAUAUUGUGGAGUUGUUUCAUGGGGAGCAAGUCCUUGAUGCUUCUUCCUGUAGUUUGUCAAGUAUUUCAGGAUGCUGCAGUUCCAAUUCCUUAUUUCAAACUACAAAACAGAACCACAAUGAAAAAAUGAUUAGCAAAUUGGUUCAAGAAUAUCGAACAAAAAUACCCACUUUCACUUUAGCUUAUCUUUGAUAUCUUGUUUUUUUUGUUUACCUAUGAUUUCUUUUGCAAGUCAGUCAUAUAAGAACAAAGAUAAAUCACAGAUGACAUAUACGACAAAAUAUUAUAGAAAUGUACAAAUAGUAACUGAUUGAAAGAGAAAGCUAGUUAAAACGCUUAAUUAGACUGAGCACAUACAUAACUGGAAGGGAAAUGAAUUUGCCUUAGACAAUGAAAUUUCAUUAUAAGAUGAAACAACACAAAAUAACUAUCUGGCUAAUGAUAAUUGUUUCACUCAUUUACCUGUUGAAAUAUCCCUAGUUGGAUUGUCUUGGAUCUUCCUGGGUUCUGCCAUUCGGAAAAGUGCAACAUGGACGGCCAGAAAACCAUAGUUGCACCCACACGUCGGUUGUAGUUCCUACAACGCGCGUACUUUGCAUCAGACAAACAAAUCUUGCUAAGAAUCGCACUGAACAUAGCCCUUGGCCUGACCGUGAUAGCAGUCAUCUCCUUCAAAAGGCAAAUGAAGUUAACAAAAUGCAAAGGCACACCCACAUGCUUGUAGUUGUAGGAGUAAUUCAGAGAGGAAGCAGUGCAUGUUUUCACUAAUUAUUUAUUCCCGAAUAUCAGACUAUAAUACUUGGUAUGGAACCAUUAACCAUUCAUGCAACGAAUACAUUAAUUGCAAAAUCAAACAUUUGCCUUUCUAACAUGGUGACCAGAUUACCUAUACUACAAUCAAAAGUAUGAUAUACUACGAUAGAUAUGCAUACACCUCAAUGUCUUACCACACAAUUAUACAUAAAAUUAACCAGUGAAAUGAGGCUAGGACCUAGCGGCUGUAGCAAGGGAUUCAAUCGAACAGACGUUGGGGCUAAACACUGGUCAUUGGGGUUGGUGAAUGGAACAGGCAGGUGAUUCCAACCAUUAACAAAGCUACUCCAAUCUUCUUAAUCACGACAACAUAUAAAGGCAGGAGGCUCACCUUGUUGUUGUAGGUUGGCGAUGAGGCAGUAGCUGCAAGAUCAGAGAGGCCGUUAGUUGGGGAGAGGAGGAGGCCGAAGCGAGCUCGUUCCGGUCGGUGGCAACGGGAUUUAUCUGGAAGGCAGCUCCUGGGCGCCUUGCACGGCGUAUCAAAGGCUGCUCACCUCGGGCCAUCCGGGCCAUCCUAGGAAGAGCAAAACUGCGCUGGCAUUAGUAUUCGUACCUUUGCUUGUUCAGAACUUUGGAUCAAAAUAUAAUUGCACCUGUCACAACAAUAUAACAUGAAUACACAUGUGCAUUUGUGUGUCUCAUAUAUUUGUUUAGAGCAGAACUUGUCACAGACACGCGCGCGCGCACACACGCACACACACACACACACACACAUUGGAAACAAUAGUAUUUAAUUUGGUGGCACUGAAAAUCAAGGAAAAUAGCGCUACUAACAGAGGCUAUAAAAUCAUUCCAAUGAAAAUCAAAAAGCUGGGACAGUCAUCAAAUUAUCAUGGCAUUGGCAUCUCACAAAGACAUGUCAUCUCAGCUUUCAAUCCAUAAGAAAAUCGAGAUUGAGAGAUAGACGGACAUGUACGUCAUCGGCAGUCACUUCAACGAGUUCUACAUGGAAGUUGUCUGUCUCUUCGGUGUGGCGGAGGUUGUGCCUCUCUUGCUGAGCACCAAUUGGCAUAAUAAGGUUCAUGAUGUUUGAACAAGUAAUACAGGUAGAUUUUGCAUAAUAUGGCAGCGCACCAUAUCUCACAAUUAGAAUACAUUAUAAUAUUGAAAACAGAAAAUGAAGUGACCAAUUAGACUACUCCAAUUUAGGUGACUACAUUCUAUAGUUUAAAUUCAAAAGUUAGGCUUCUCCCUAAAGCAUACACUCAAAUAGGGGGCAUUUAAAAAGAAUCUGGAUGAAACGUAUACAAAACUGCAUAGUUUUUUUUUCUGAAACGCAUAAAGGUUAUGUAGAAUAUCAAGUGAUCUAACCUUGAUUUAUAAACAAUGCAAGAAAAGCCUCUUUUACUUAGACCAUACAUAACAACGAGAGAUGGGAUGGUGACCGUGUAAAAUAAAUUACCGGCAGUGGAGAUCAGCGACAAUCGUGACUCGUCACCAUAAAAGCCAUAAGCCCUCCCACACUCAUCAUACAUAAAUAUACAAGAACAUAAGAAAAUAUAUUUUUUAGGAAAAAUGUUCAAAAAUACACAUUUUUUGCUUGUGAUGAUAUACAUGCAGCAGUUAAUGUAUUAUCCAUAAAACAAAGAAUGUAUGCCUCAUAUUAAUCAUCCUUUCACACAUAACUUAACAUGCAGCAAAAGGAUUUAAUCUAUAGUUCAAGAUCAAAAUGAAUGAGUCAUUUACAGUAAGGCAAUUAUUGAUUAUAAUGGAGUGUGAAGACAUCAUAUAUUUACUUGAUGGAAAUUGCAGUCAAGAAAAGCAUAGAAUGAGUCGAGUACCUUCUGGUUUGCCCAAUUUGCUUGUGGUCAUCAAAGGUGUUCUCGAGAUCAAACAACCAAGUAUGAACUCCCAAACUUCUGACCAAAUAGCAGGGUGUACACCUUAAACCACAGAGAAUAGAGAGCCGGCCCGUGUUAGAGAUUAUAUGAGAGGUAGGCAAAAAAGUAAUGGUCUUAAAAUAAAAUGAGGGAUGUCUCAGAUAUCUUUACCCUUGUCAGAAUCCAGUUUAGAACAUAGGGAAUAUUUAGGGAGCCUUGUUGCAGAAAUAUAGCAUGCCAUUUUCAAUCACCCAAUGUUUUUGAAGCUGAAACUGAACCGAUUGGCACUAUUGAUUUAUCACACUUCUCAGAGAUCAGAAUCCUUCCCAUGGCGCCUCAUUCCGACUGUACGCAUACCCAUGCCAAAUUAAUCACAUUUGUAGAACGGUGCUCCAAUGAUGUAAUCUGAGAAUUUGUACAAGACAAAAUUUUCUGAAUACAAGCAAGUGUAAGUCGGAUGAAAGUUUACACAUAAUUCAGUCCAAGGGUCUAUGUUGGGCGAGCAGGAGUCACAGCAGCGUGCAGCUUAGCCGCGUACAGCACGGCGGCUAAUCUGAUUGAAUGUGAACUGAUAUACAGAAUUUGUCUGAAUGCUACAUUGAUGUACAGAAUUUUGUGAUGUAAUCUGACUAAGUGUGAACUGAUAUAGUCCGUCUAUGUAAUCUGUCCAUGUAUGUUGCUGUCAAAUGUUAUCACUGACGAUCCAUAUGAACUUUGGGUACUGUUUACUUAACUCAUGGAGUGAAUCAGUUCAUUUUGCCAAUAAUUUUUGACAAGAACUCUUAUGGACAGAAGUUCAUCUUGCCAAUAAUUUGAAGCAACGAAAUGGGAGGUGGGGAGGAAGAGGGGAGGGCCGUACCAUUUCGGGCCUGAGGAAGACGGUCCUGCCGAGCAUGAUGAAGGAUCCGGACUCGUCGAGCGCGCGCGCAACGAAGGGCCCGUCGUCCGCGCCCGCGGCGUCGCAGCAGAGGCGCAGGAACUCGGCGUAGGGCACGGUGCCCUCGCGGGACGCCCGCACCCCCGCGCGCGCCGCCUCCAUCUGCGUGGCGCGCAGCACCUUCCGCGCCUCCUCCACCGUGAGGCUGCCCACCACCGCGGCGGCCUCCCUCUCCCUCGUCGGCUGGGUCUGGGGGCGGGCGGCACGAGGCCGUCGAGGUUGAUGCGCGGGAAGGAGACGCCGAGGUGGUCGCGGAUCCGGUCGGCCAGGGGCAUGAAUCCCACGUCCGGGGGCACCGCAGGGCGGAAGGCGGGGCGCUCCUGCAUGAAGCGGCGGGGCAUCCCGUAGGCCUGCUGCCGCGCUGCCGACGCCGCGAAGCGCUGNNNNNNNNNNNNNNNNNNNNNNNNNNNNNNNNNNNNNNNNNNNNNNNNNNNNNNNNNNNNNNNNNNNNNNNNNNNNNNNNNNNNNNNNNNNNNNNNNNNNNNNNNNNNNNNNNNNNNNNNNNNNNNNNNNNNNNNNNNNNNNNNNNNNNNNNNNNNNNNNNNNNNNNNNNNNNNNNNNNNNNNNNNNNNNNNNNNNNNNNNNNNNNNNNNNNNNNNNNNNNNNNNNNNNNNNNNNNNNNNNNNNNNNNNNNNNNNNNNNNNNNNNNNNNNNNNNNNNNNNNNNNNNNNNNNNNNNNNNNNNNNNNNNNNNNNNNNNNNNNNNNGUGGGUGGGGAGGAGGCCGGGCGGCGGCGGGGAGAAGACGUGGUGCGGGGUCGCGGGGAGGAGAGGAGGCAGGCGGCGACGCGCGAGAAAGGGAGCGAGGUGGCUAGGGUUUCACCACGGGCGUGGCUGCCUUUUAUACCCGUGCGAGUGAAAUGACGGAAAUGCCCCCGGCGGGGCAGGCUAUUUACGCGCGGUGGCACGAUCGAGGUGAAAUUGUUCAUUGCAACAGUAUUUUUUUUAUCCGACGGACGAGGUCAUUCCAGGGCUCGAUCCGACGGCUUCGAUUGCAUCAAGCAACCAGAUCCAACGGCCAGGAAGCCCAAAUCGCUGAGGAAGCGGGAGGAUGCUCGGCAUUCUUAUUUCUCGAUUCCAACAAUCUGAUACGUACAUGAAAAGGAUGGUUGGGAAAAAACAACACGAAGGUUGGAGACACAUUUGGACUACCAUCCAACAACGUGUGCUGCAUGGCUUGAAUAGGGGUAUUUAUACAACAGGCAUCCAUGAACCUCUCACCCUUCUUCAUGCAAUUGACAUUAACCUGCUCAUUUCAUGAGUUUUUUCACUCUUUUUCCUUCUCUUCCUGCAAGAGGAAACAAACACAUGCAAAUAGAAUGAUCACAUGAUUUUGCAGUGCGUACUCACAUGAUAAGAGAGAGAUAAUAGAACACUCCUUCAAUGACUUGCCAACACACUUGCCACAUGCUUAGCUAACCAAAACAACGUAUAGCCCUAUAUAUACUCACUUGCCUUAUGAAUUAGUAUGUCAAAGGUCCAAUGUUGUAUCGUUAGUAUUUUUUUCUUUUCUAUUUUGGUGUCUAGUCUAUGGGAUACCCUGAAAUGAAAUAUUGGGGGGAAACAAAAUAUAAUGGUAUUUCCCCAAUCAGCGCCAUGGUGCACGCCACCAACCAUGCCGCCCAUGCAGCGUCGACCGUUGUAUCCGGCGGUGCAGCCUUGCAGCCCGGCCGCGCCCCGUCCUUCCUCUGGCUCCGGCGCCUACACAAUCUGCGAUGUCUAUGCCAUGGAGCGGUCAGAGCAGCCCUCCGCUGCCUCGUGGCAGCAGAGACCUUGUGGGCGCCAGAUAUGUCAGCAAUCUCGCCACUGAAACUGGCGCCCUGUGUAGUGCUGGAAAGGAGGACCAUGGAGAGGUGGAAGGCGAAUAAGGCGCCGUAGCUGCCAGAGUACCAAGCGGCCAGGAGCUAGAGUCAACGGUGUUCGACGGAGUGGUUUGACACCUGGUGGAGCAUCCAAUGGACGCCGAAGCCGAUACUUCCUUGUUCUUUGGGGUGAUUACACCGAGAGAUUCAAGAGUUCAAUGGUAACAACAUCCCUGAGAAAACAUUUGUGACACACCUCACUCAGAUGUUGGUGAUCCUCACCUUUCACGGACAAAAUGACCGUCAUCAAGUCGGGAGAACGCUUGACAAUUCGCAGAGCUGAGUUUGGACCUCUUCGAGGUUAGGGAUGGUGUCAAUCUGUUGAGCUACCAAGCAGACAAGGAGGGUAUGCUGCCAUGUAGCGGAUCACGCAGUGGAACAUCGAUUUCACUAUAGUUGGGCUAACAUAUGUGUUGGACCACCUGGUUAUGUGAGUACUGAAUUCUCGACCCCCUCCUAAUAAGAAUGGGAAUGAUACGUGACCUUUCAGACUAGGACAUGUUUAGAAGAGAUUUUCACACCUCUAGGUCUUUUUGAACCUAUUGAAUGUCAACGUGAUAGUUUUUUUUUUGCGAGAUCAAUAGUAGUUUAUUCCACUAUAAGAUUGUGUUACAAUCCUUCGGCAAGAGAUCCUCAAUACAUGGGGUCCUGUGUCGAGACACACAACCGUAGCACGUUCAAAGCGAUUAUACCUUGCCAGACAAGCUGCAAUGCUAUUCUGAAAUCUAUGAAGUUUCUAGGGAAUACCUAUCGAUCAUAAGGGACUCGACUUCAGAUACUAAAUGACCAUAAAACGUGAUAGUUGAUAAACAAAUUGGUUAACUUACAUCUAUGCACUGAAGUAGGUAAUUAUGUUUUCUCUGGUGUCUUAUAGGAUAAUAAAGAGCAUAGUCUGGCCACACUAGGUGUGUGUUGGCGUCAUAUAACAUGCCUAUGGGAAUUGUGAGCGGUCACUUUGUGCAGAUUUUUCUUCUUCUGAAUUUGGGUCCAGCUACCAAUUGUUGUCCAUUUUGAUCGAAACCAAUUGUCAGAAAUCAUUUGCUGAAAGAUGCUUUUCCUUGGUCAAUGAGAAUGCACCACACUUCAGCGCAUCAAUUAUAGGCUGCACCUGAUCUUUCACGGCGCAAUGGGCUUGGAUUCUCUCUUCCUAAUGAGGCAUGCCAAGGGAUGGUAUUUUCCAGUCAUAUGCAUAUUUAGUUCUUCUUUGGCCACCGUUGACCCUUCUAAGGUUCAAAACUCAUGCCUCUGUGAUCAUGGCUAACCUGUUUUUAUUUUUGCACCAUACAGGUCAGAUUACAGAACCCCUGUGAAGAGUCUGUACCUUUGCGGCAAUGGUGCACACCCAGGCAGCGGGGUGAUGGGUGCCCCUGGUCGCAAUGCUGCUGCCAUGGUUUUGCAUGACCCAAAGGCAAGAUAAAUCUAGUUCAUGGGAAAUGGACAAUGGCAGCUGACACUAGGGUAUCACUAUCAAGCACAAGGUUGCAAAAACUGUGUAUAUUCACGUUGUAGUUGUUCCGCCGCUUGGGUUGUAGAUAGUUCUUUCAGAGUGCUGUCAUGUGGGGGUGUGUUUGUUUGUGUCCAAUGGUCAUUUGCACUCUGAAGGUAGCUCUUUAAGUGUGAUGUUUUCUCUGUGUGGGUGUGUGUGUAGUCCUUUUUGUGGUAACAAGGAGUCGAUUCAGCAUCUAUUCUUUCAUUACCCACUUGCCAAGCUAUUAUGGUGAUCUGUCCAUAUACUCCCUCCGGUCUUUUUUACUCUGCAUAUAAGAAUUGUCUAAAUCAAACUUCAUAAAGUUUGACCAUAUUAUAUGAAAAAAAUAUCAACAUAUACAUGCUAAAGUUAUACAAUAUGAAAAUUUAAGUCAUGACGCAUCUACUGACAUUGAUUUCACAUUGUGAAUGUUGGCAUUUUUUCUAUAAAGUUGGUGAAACUUUAUGAGGCUUGACUUCAGACAAAUCUUAUAUGCGAACUAAAAAGGACCGGAGGGAGUAACUUUUAAUCUACCUCCACCAACAAGUAGUACAAAUAUGUUCGGAAACUGGUUAGUUGGGGUACAUAUCCCAAGUUGAAGUCUCGGAUCCGUGUGAGAAUUUAUACUUUACGUUGGCACAUUUUGAACACACAUAAUGAUUGUAUUUUCAAUAGAACAGAGGAUCCAAACUUUUUGUAGGUUAUCUUCAAAGCCAUCAACUCGAGCCAUACGUCAUACGUGAUCAUUACUUUGCAGGAGGAGGAGCAGGCGCCCAUGUUCUUUGGAAGCAAUCAAUGAGAGAUGGUCACUUAGCAUUUGUUCAACCAAUUUGGUUGGUGGCCUAGUUGGAUUUUUGAUGCAUGAAGCUCAUUUUUCUUUGCCUUUUUCAUUGCCCUUGGAGCAGCCAUAUGGCAUUUGAUCAAUUGAACUUUACUGAACUCAAGUGAUGAACUUUGAAAUCAUUAGCAAAAGGUUGUGCCCAUCACUUGAUGUAGAGGCCGAAGGCGUCCCCUCUUUUCGAUAAAAAAAACAUCAACAAACACAUAAAGAGUCUCUUAAGCACAUGUAACUCUUCAAAAUUCAUGAUUUAUACGAAGAUAGACUAUUUGGCAUGCAAAAGGAAUCAUAUAUAUUGGUCAUGCAUCCAUACAUGCUAGGAUCUAAAGCUAGUAAGUACGUACAUAAAUAUGUUGAUUUGUGCCCCUUUUGCGUUCAAUUCUUGAGCAUACUUUCGAUUGCAUAGCCGUACUCUAUAUGAAAAUCCUUAGUGUUUGCAUGAAUUUCGUCCAGUUAGUUUGAACCAUGUUUGAAAUGUAUGUGGGCAGCAAUAGAUGGCUGCCUCCGGCAUCAGUGUCCGCGGACUGAUCUCCCUGUCCGCAGAUGGAUGCUGGAGCAAAUUACGGGUCAUCGUUGGAGAUACCCUAAGUACAUACAUAUAUAUAUGUUGUUUGUAUGACUGCAUGACAACACAGUGUUUCUGAAUAUUUGAACAGCCGACCACAUAGCGGCAUGUCCUGAACAAGCUAGGCCAGCUGAAUGGGAGUACGUAUAAGCUGAACAGCAUGGCUUCUCACUGUUCCUCAUGCGAUUGACACUCGACUACUCGUUUCAUGAAGUUUUCACUAUUUUGUCUUCUCUUCUUGCAAGAGGAAACAAAACAUGGAAAUAGAGUGAUCACAUGAUUUUGCAGCGUGUAUUCACAUGAUACAAGAGAGAAUAAAAUGGUGCUUGCAUGACUUGACGAAGAC
rnacentral:lncRNA from 1 species